rnacentral:lncRNA from 1 species
AGCCAUUCCCUGAGCACAAGCCCCCUAAGAAAGGUGAGGAGCCCAAGAAGGGAAAGGGAGAGAAGCCGCCACCAAAGCACAAGCCACCACACGAGGGACACAUUCUCGUAGAGGAGGUCGAAGAGGACUCUAAGAAGCCAUUCCCUGAGCACAAGCCGCCAAAGAAAGGCGAGGAGCCAAAGAAGGGAAAGGGAGAGAAGCCGCCCCCGAAGCACAAACCAUCCCACGAGGGACACAUUCUCAUAGAGGAGGUGGAAGAGGACUCAAAGAAGCCAUUUCCCGAGCACAAACCGCCCAAGAAAGGUGAGGAGCCGAAGAAGGGCAAGGGAGAAAAGCCACCACCAAAGCACAAGCCACCACACGAGGGACACAUUCUAGUAGAGGAGGUGGAAGAGGACUCAAAGAAGCCUUUUCCUGAACACAAGCCGCCGAAGAAAGGCGAGGAGCCGAGGAAAGGCAAGGGUGAGAAGCCGCCGCACCACAAGCCACCACACAAGCCUCCCACCGAGAACUGAGUAUGCGUUCUACAAUGAAUGUAUAUGUCGUGUGCUUUUCACGGGUUCAAAUAAGAGCUGGUCCAUAGAGUGUCUGGCACUACCGUGUUAGCUGGUUCGCCGUUUGUGCUCCAUGCGAUAUGGGAUGUAUGUACUUUGCUUGGGCAGGUCCUUUGACUUUGUCUAAAUUGAUAUAUGCUGAGUACUUGCUAGCCAUGAGCUUUCCUUUCUAAAACUCUUCUAAGUGUCCCCUUCUGCAAUCUAACCUUGCCAUGUCCCGCGAGCACGAAAAGUUUGUUCAUACUCCUAAACCCUCCGCAAACAUAGAUGCACGGCUGGAAUCAGAUUAAUAAUUAAUGAAAGACGUAAAAUAGAAAGUUGAUUUGCACUAUUCAUUCGAAAAAGUCAUGCGGAAAGUAUUUAUUGGCAUGCUUAGAUAGGACUUGCUUAUUCAGAAAAGACAGCAGAUUUUCAUCCAAACAGGUGUACUAAGUACAGCUUUAAUCCAAAAAGCUUGGUUUGAUUAUCUAAGAUCUAAAAAUGGUGAUCAACUGCUUCUGACUCCCUUGUGAAGUAUGAGAAGUAAUAAUGAAUUUUUCGACAUAAUGAUAGUUGUACAUACAUGAGAUGAUAACAAUGGAUUGUAGCGAAAAUAUUGAUUCGAAUUGGAUAGAAUACUGAAGUAAGAUCUUUAGAGCUAUCAAGCCAGACUUUAAGGUAUUAUAUUACUUUCUUUGAAGAUUUAUUUGCUUCACAAUUGUUAUUAAUGGUUAUCAGCAAAUUUUUUCCAAGAUAUAAUAAAGUCCUAAAUGAGAAUACUAGAUAGUAAUUCUAAUAUUUCUUCAAGGUCUCUCUAUAAAACAUUUGGAGAAGAUGAUUAUAUAUCUUUUGAAAGAAAACAAAAAUGGGAAGAGAAAGAUUGUGAAAAGACUUGAAAGUUCUGCAAAUAAUUGAAUUGAAUAAUUAUAUUUGAAUGGAUACAACCUUUUAAAGAUGAAGAAGUUAUUUCCAAGCAAACACAAUGUUUCAAAGGUUGUAAGAGUGCCUAAUAACUAUUAGGCAAAAAUAAUAAAUUCUAGUUUAAAUAAUUAAAAAGUAAGGUCGCUCUAUUAUGAACAAUGACACUAUUUCAAUAAGAUGCAAAAAUUAUUUUAUUAUUAUAAUUUUUUUUUGGUGACCCAGGAUCCGCCGAACCCGACUUUCGUUUACGCCAAUUGUUAGCCCACGGCUUGUAUAGUGCGCGGUGCACCUUGGACCAAGAAUCAAUACCUGGGUGGGGAAGCUAACACAUGACCCACCACCAUGGCCCCCACUUAAGACAUGUUAGCAGCUGUGGAGUUUCGACUCUAAAACCUUUGCGUGCCUAAAAUCGAACCAACUCAGCUACCCACAAGUGGGUGUUAUUUAAUAAUUAAAGAAUUUUAAUUUUAAUGAAUAAAAAAUAAUGAUUGUUAAUUAGUGCAAAAUCUCAUUCACAUACGCACUCACGUUGACAAGGCACCUCUUAGUUUGUUUUACAAACAAACUACAAACAUAGAUGAAUUAGAAACAUCAAUUUUUUUCUAUUUAGAUAACUACUAAAGACUGUUAACAGAACCGUAUUAUUCUAAAUAGAUACUUACCGACGACCAAAAGCUACACUACACGUCCCAACAGAUUGAUCCGAUUUUACUUUUUGAAGAUAUGCUUCAAUUGACGUUUGACAAUUUGGCCAUCCUAAAUAGAUACCUACCGACGACUAAAAGCCACACUACACGUCCCAACGUAAUGAUCCGAUUUUAAAAAACUGUAAAAAGGAGAAAAAAAAAAGGGCCUUUUUGUGUAUAUUUCGGGAGAAGGAAAUAACAUAAGUCAAAUUAAGAAAAAAAAGGGUUAGUUCCACGUACAAUCUGGAAAAAGUUUGUGAUUACUCAUUUUUGUGUGUUUAAACUUAUGUUUCUGGCCUUAUCCUCACUUGGGGGAUUUUGAAAAUUGAAUCUAUGGAUAUUUAAAGGUGGAUGGGCAACAUACUGUUGGUAAUUUGUUUAUAAAACAAAUUGAGAGGUGCCUUGUCCCACAUCGAAAAGAUGUGAGUGCGCACGUGGACGAGAUUUGGCAUUAACCAACGAUCAUUAUUUUAUUUAUUGAGAAAAUUCGGAUUUAUUUAUAUAAAAUAUUAACUACAAAAUCUUGUUGAAACAGUGCAACUGUUCAUGAAAAGUUACAAUUAUUUAUUAUUUAUUAUUUAUUUAAUUCCGAAUUUUUAUAUCUUUUCAACGUAACCUUUGAGACGUACUUUUUCACGAAAGGUUAUCUUUGUUCUUUUGCAACCUUUUGAAGAGUUGCCUUUAUUCGAAAGAAAAAGAUAAAUACGUUUGUUUUGAGAUCAAACACACAUCUUCUUCCAUUUUUUUUCAUUUUCUUUUGAGAGAAACUACAGCCAUUGUUUCUAAUUGUUUCCCAUGAGAGAUCCUGGAGAAAUACUAGAAUUGCUAUCUAGUAUUCUCGUUUGAGACUUUGUUGUAUCUUGGAGGAAAUUUGCCAGUGACCAUUAGCAACGUAGUGGGGCAAAUAAAUCCUUAAAGAAAUAUCACGCCUCAAAGUCCGACUUGAGUACUCUAACGAUCCGACUUCAUUGUUCUACCCAAUACGAAGCCAUAUUUUCCCAACACAAACAAAUUGGGAGCGGCUAUUCGAUUAUAAAAAUGUUACAAGUCGGGGAAAUGGAAAAAUGGAAUUGUGUUAGGAGCAAUGAAGCAUGAAAGCCAGAAGUGGGUCUCUAUUGAUCAAAUUAAAUUUCGUCACGAAGGUAAAGGUUUUUUCUUUUUUUUGGUUAGUAAUAUAGAAGAUUCUAGACUGGUACCAUUAAGUACAUUUACCCCAAUUUAUUGUGGUACUGUUGUUUCAAUUUUACCCUUUAUAACCCUGUUCAAUUUAGGCGUCAAAUGUCUUAUGGGAUUAUAUGAUAAAUCCAUCCACGAUAACUUAGAUGUGAAUUUUACCACAUGAAGCAUUCUAAAAAAAAAUCCUAUUUGCCCUGACCCAUCUUCUUUCUCUAAUCCAUCUGCUUCUUCCCUUAAGACCCCGGCUUCCACGCCUCGCCUUCCUCGGGUGGUGCUCUCACCGGUGAGUACGUUUGAUCUUACAAAGAAAAAAAAAGGUACAAUUAGGUUAUUGCUAAUGCUCAUUCUUUGUCAUUGGGGUCAUUUGGGCACUGUGAGGAUUUUGAUAUAUUAUAUUUUCUUCUAAUCAUGAAUAUUGGAGUCUGUAACUUAGUGGGCGCCAUUAGUGCAAUAGGUAAAAUUUUACUCUUUGCGUGUAUUGUUAAGAUUCGGGUGAGGUCCCUUCAGUCUAGCGAUUGGCUAGAGGAAGAAGAAAGAGGAACAAAAAAUAAAGAGAAAAACAAAGGAAAAAAAGAGAAAAAAAUUACAAAAAAAAAAAAAAAUUAAAUUGUUAUUAAAAUUUGUUUACAUCAAUACUGGCUAUGUCACUUUAGUGCUAGUUAUGCUACAUUAACAGCUGGCUAAAUUUCACUAAAUGGACUGAAUUAGCACAAAUAUAAAAUGUUUAGAACUUAACUAGCCAAAAAAGUUUAGAAUUGAAUUAAUAUAAUUACAAUACAUUUAAGAUUUUUUUUUUUUUUUUGUAAUUCUUCCUUUUUUUCCUUGUUUGUCAAAUGGGUAAUUUUUGUAUAGUACAAGAAGAGUCUUAAAACUUCACAGAAGUAUGAUGUGCGUACCAGAGUAACCUAAAGUGAGUCAAUUGUUUAUGUAGUCAAUGGAAAAUAUAUCUCUAGAGGAAGCUCCAUACUAGAAUGAUGAUUAUUGAGAAAAGGAAAAUUGGGUUGAACCCCAUAUGUUGGAUCGGACUUUUUUUAUCUUGACGUUGGAUUUGCUUCUACUUUUCAAUAAACCAUCAUAGGGGUUCAAACUCAUGUGCACUGCAAAUAUAAUGUGGCAACAAGCACCAUGUACACACAUGGGCUAAUCCCGAAAAGGAAGCGUAUGAACCAAACUAAAUUGUCCGUCUUGAUCAAAUGUAGGCUAUGCAUGCUACAAAAAGGAUAUGAAAUUUAUACAUGCAAAGUACAUGCUUUAGACUAUUUUGACACAUUACGAUUUUAGGUACAAUUUGGUUGACAAAAUGUUAAAUAUAUAUAUAUAUAUAUAUAUAUUUGUAGUUUCGUAUGCAUUUUAGGGUUAUAUUACAGUUACACUUAGAAUGCAAAAAGAAAACUUGACAAAAAUUUUAUCUGUUCAAUUUUCGGUACUUUGUCAUCUAAUCUGUCCUAAUAAACUUAAAAGAGAAAAAAAAAAAAAAGUCGUCAUCAUUCUCCAAGUUGUCCAUGAUGUUCCAUAGAAAACCUUUAUGCAAAUAUCUCAAUCGGUAACUUAAAAGACUAUUGUCUAACCUUAACUCUCUCUCUCUCUCUCGACUCGACCAUUGCCCCAAUUCUUUCUUAGACACGCCACGUCUACAGUAGUGUAGGCUCCUAACUCUCUUUAAGGUCAAUGGACUAGUCGCAUUUGCUUUUUAUUCAAGGAACUUUUUAUUCAACUGCGUCCUUAAAUAAAAAGCAAGAAUAAGAAUCAAUCAGGGGUUUAGGUUUUGCAGUAUCGCGAUCACAUCUCCCUGUCCCCAUCGGCCGAAGAUGCUACAGGCAUAUCCGUGAUUGUUGGUCGCCAUUUCACUGUGGCAAAACAAGAAUAUCGGACGGGUAUUCGCGGGCUUCAUCUCAAACUUUCAACUCUGAUCUCAGAUAAUAAUUGAAGCGACGUUUUGUGUUGUGAAUUGGGAAAUCCCUUCCCACACGAAAGUUGAUAUUAGAUGAGAGUACCGUUGACUUCGAGAAUGUGAAAAUCGCUUGAGAGAGAUGGUUCAGCAUGUCUUCAAUCAGUUGAGGUUGAUCUUUUGCCAUAUGAACCGACAAUCAUGCAUUGAUACAUCCUAUAAUUCCAAAACAGGCUUUGUUAGUAUGACAUUUUUUGGGUUACUAUGAAAGUAAUAACUUGUUGUGAACUACAAACUUUUAAAAGAGUAUAUCCUAUAAUAAUUUAUAAUUAUUUGUUAUUUGAUUGUUUGUGGUCCAUAAAGACUAUUGUUGUCAUAGUAGAUUAAACAUUGUCACUCAAUCAUUUCUCUUCCAGAACCUUGAUUCAUUAAAUUCAACGUAACAUGUAAACAUCAACCUAGAAAUAUAGUUAAGGUUUUCGAGAGGAAAAUUUAAUUGUAUAGGUAAUUUACCAUAACUAAAACUGUUAUUAGGAAAAGCAAAAAUGUUAUUCUUUUUUUUCUUACAUCAAAAGAGAUCAGAAGUAAUAAAUACGGUGUGCUUGUGGUUUGGUUCAUUUUGGUUUGAAGAUCACUUUUAACCCACAAUUCAGUUAAUUGGUUUGAAAAGAAACUCAAUCAAAGCCAAGAUUAUACUAAUGAAAUCAUAGCACAAACGAAUUGAUGGCUUCAGCUUAUAAUAAUUUCAUUUCGUGUAUGUUAAGCGCACACUUAGAUAAGAAGCUUAAACAUCAACUAAGAAUGUCUAAUUAUGUAUUUGAUAAAUGCUAACCAAAGGCUGUUAUUGAGUCGAGUCGUGUCAACACCGUUAUAUACUCAAGCCUAACUCAACCCAAACAUCCAAGGCUCAACACUUGACUUGUACUCUAUUGGGAUUUACAUCUCAAGCUCAAGCUCAACUAGAAUAAAUCUUCAACAACCUCAAGCCUGACUCGACUAUAUUCACUUAUGGAGAUUCUUUUUAAAAUUAUCCCUGUCAAGAAUCAUCCCACAUUGGGACAAAUUUGAAAUGAAUGGUAGGAAUCUUUUUGCUCUCACUUGCAUCAAUCUUCGAAUAUUGCUUUUGCAGUGUAACUAGUACGGUAAUUUGAAGUGCCUUAAGAUGGCGAUGAGUAGUUAUUUAUUUAUCCUACACACUUUCAUCCAUUGCAUAGCCCACUUGAGCCUGCAAUUUCAUUUCUUUAAACUUAGUUGGUGAUCAUCCUCCACACUGGGGCAAAGCAAAAGGUAAAUGAAGACUCUUGAAAGUUUAAGUGUCAUUCAAAGUGUUGCUCGACGCAUGCAUUGUGUGUAAGGAUUGAAAUCAAAAUAGAACUAAGGGGCAUGAAAAAAAAAAGCAGUGUGCCUGGUAAAAGCAAGGCCAAUGCUCAUGAAAAAGAAGUGAAAAAAUGAAUGAGAGCUAAGGGCAUGGAAAAAACAGUGUGCCUGGUAAAAGCAAGGCCAAUGCCUAGAAAAGAGAAAGAAAUCAAACUCUUAAUAUAGUGAGUCAUAUCCCCAACAAUGAGAUACUAAAAGACUCAAAUGCUGUUUCAAUCAAUGAAGUUGUGAUAUGAAAAUCUUCGACAAUGGAGAAGGAAAGUGGUGGAAAUGUCAAGAUGAUCACCAACUUUGACCCCCCUAAACACUUUUUGAGCUUAAUAAUCCUUUCAUUUCUCAACCCAUGAGCCAAGCCUAUGUUACGUCCCUUGCAAAGUCUCUUCAGAUUAUGGCACUUGAAUUAACCUAGGGGUUCACAUGUUUUAAGCAUAACUCGAAGAAGUGCGAACAAGAUUAUUUCUUUCUCAUUUUGCAAGGUUCUUGACUUGUAAACCCGGAAAUGAUUGUGAAGCUGUCCUUUCAAUAGCCUUGACUCAAAGAGUCCCUUUGUUAAGCCGUUGACCAAGCUCACAAUAUAGUCCUUGUUAAAGAUCUCUCAGAUUGGUAAAGUCGUACCACUUGCGAGAAUACUUAGACCCCUAUCGAUAUGGUGAGAUGGAGUGAUUCUCUUUUAAAUGAGAGUGAGAGAAAGUCCUUUCAAAUCGAAAGUUUCUCAUUUGACAUUUUCAAGAUGUCUUCUUGUCUUGGUUAUAACUCUCCACAUGGGAUUCUAGUAAUAAUAGAAACGAGUGAUGAAUGCAUCUACUUGUUAUUACUAACCAUGUUUGAUAGGCAAAUUUCUCAUGAAAGUCAAGCGGCAAUUGGCCCUGAAGCAUUGGGAUUCGUCCAAACUGUUUGGUAACCCAAUCAAUCAAGCCUCCAAGAAAGGAGCCCCAGGUAAGUACCAAAUCUUUCAAAGUACUCAAGGUAAGACUCAGGUAACUCGUCUUCCAAUUUGGAUCUACAUGCAUAAAGAAAACAGAAUUUGAGCAUCUUCUCCAAUCUUCAGAAAUUGAGAGUCUAUGAAUCUCACCAAAAUCUUUCAACCCGAUCUUGACAUCUCAGUCUGAAUCUGGAUGUCUUAAUUCUUUUCAUUGAACAUUUCACUUUGGAUGUGAAUUUUUUUCGAUUUUUCUUGUUAUACCUUAGUUUGGAUCUAGGUAUUUCAAGUUCUAAAAUCUUGACAUCUUAGUUUGGACCUGGAUGUCCUAUUCGUUGAACAUUUCACUCUGGAUGUGAAAGUUUUUCGAUUUUUCCUGUUAUACCUUAGUUUGGAUUUAGGUAUUUCAAGUUCUAAAAUCUUGACAUCUUAGUUUGGACCUGGAUGUCCUAUUCGUUGAACAUUUCACUCUGAAUGUGAAUGUUUUUCGAUCUUUCUUGUUAUACCUUAGUUUUGAUAUAGGUAUUUCAAGUCUCAAAAUCUUGACAUCUCAGUCUGGAUCUGGAUGUCUAAACUAUUUUCAUCUAAACAUUUCACUCUAGAUGUGAAUGUUUUCCAAUCUUUUUCGUUAUGCCUUAGUUUGGAUCUAGGUAUUUCAAAUUCUAAAAUUUUGACAUCUAAGUUUGGACCUGGAUGUCCUAUUUGUUGAACAUUUCACUCUGGAUGUGAAUGUUUUACGAUCUUUUUUUAUAUACCUAAAUUUGGAUCUAGGUAUCUCAAGUCAUAAAAUCUUGACAUCUCAGUCUGGAUCUGGAUGUCUUAAUUCUUUUUGUUGAAUAUUUCACUUUGGAUGUGAAUGUUUUUUGAUCUUGCUCAUUAUAUCUUAGUUUGGACCUAGAUAUUUUGAGUUCCAAAAUCUUGACAUCUCAUUCACGCGACUGUAGAAAGAUGCAAGUCCUGGAAAGUGUUUCCUCAUUUAGGCAACCGUAGAAUGGUAUGGGUCCUAGACACAACCAAACACUGUCAUACUGGGCGACCGUAAAAUGGUACGGGUUCUGGGAAAGUAAUCUCUUUGCGAAGCCAUGUUACUAUUCUGGGCGACCGUAGAAUGGUACGAGUCCUAGACAUGUAACGCCAAUCUAUCUUGAGUUACUCUACCCUCCUCGAAGGUAAGUAAUUCCAGGUAAAGUUCCUUUAUCAUUUGCAUUAGUAUUUUCAUAAAUGACAUAAAUUGCAUUUCAAAAUAGAAUUCAUUUCCCUAUAAAAAAAAAAAAGAAAAAAAAAUGAAGGGAAUUCAUUUUCCAACAAAAAGUCAUUUAGUGCAUGUGCAUGAUCAAAAUUUAGGUCUCAACUUGUCUUUGAAGGCAACCUCUACGAGCUCACCUUCAAAGAGGGGCAGCUGUUGACAUCUAAUUUUAGCAAAUCUAGGAAAAUAAGGAAAAUAAAAAUUUCAUUUGAAUAAAUAAAAGGAAAAAAAUGAAAAAAAUAUGGGAGAAAUUGAUUUGAUUGAUUAUGCACGGAAAUUUGGAAUUCCGAUGAAUAUUCGGAUUUUGUCAAAUGCAGAAGCAAUUUGAUAAUCAAGUGAAUAAAUGGCAAGAAUUUUUACAAAAUAGAAGAAAUCGGAGCAAAAUCGAAUUGAUUGCGAAAUCACGCUCCGAUUUACGGCCUUAAUUUAAUGCGACAGAAGAUGGAAACUUGAAAGUUGCUAUAAAAAUGGCCAUCUGGAAAUCAUUAUAAAAAGGAGCCACAAUUUUCGUGACCAAGGGGGACGAAUUCGAAAAAAUCGGAGACAAAUUCUUGCUCGGUCGAAUUUAAACACAAAGAGGAGAGCUUGUUUUCUUUCUCCUUUCUUACUGUUCAUCUUCUCCGUGGCCUCCUUUUGUUGUGUGACAGACCCCUGCACCGCUGGUCUUCGAGCUGCACCCCCGGCCUCCGCUGCGCCUCGCCGGACUUGCCCCUGACACACUGUAGCAUCGCCGCCGCGCCCGACGCCGUUACCGCGCCCACGCCUCCGCCUGAGCCUCGCUUCGAACGCACCUCUGCCAAUGCCAGCGUCACGCCACCUCUGCCUGUUCGCUGCUGCUGCUACGUCACUACUCCAUGCACCAGCACCCGCAAGCACCACCACGUAGCGACCUGCUACCUGCAGCACCCGUGAGCCCCCUCACUGCUUGACCCGAUGCCCGUGCUUGCACCUCUGCCACGUAGCACUGCCGCCGAUGCCCGCGGUUGCUCCCUUGCAACUCCAUCCGCGCCUCAACCCUCGUCGACGCCCGCGCUCCUCGCCGUUCGCCGCUAAUUAACUUGCAGUGCCGGAUGCUAGAAGACCCGUCGCCGGCCACCACUUGACAACUUGCGACCCACGCCAGUAUCUCCGACUUCGUCGCCUUGCUGUAGCCACCAGUAGCCCCGUCGCCACUCGCCACCGCUCCAGAGCUCCCCCCCCCCCCCCCCCCCCCUCAACCGACGAUGCAUCUGCAUCACUGCGCAACCAGCAGCCCAGACCACAUCCGAUCCCCACGUGGACGCACCGCUGUCGUUUCCCCCUAGGUAGUUUUUAUUUUUACUUUUACUUUUCACCUUUUUAGUCUAGUUUAUUUCUUUGCUAUUUUUAUUUUUCAUGUUAUUUUUCUGUUUAUUUUAUUUGAUAGCAUUUUUUUUAAGUUGAGUUAUUUAAGUUGUAAUAUUGAAUGUUAAUCUUAAAAAUUUUUUAGGCAUUAUCCAUAGGGUUUUGUCCAAAAUUUUUAUAAUUAUUAAUUUGAUCCGAAAGAUGUCGGAUCAUUUUUUAAUUAUAUUAAUUUUUGGAAUUUUUGAUAGUAUUUUAAUAAUUAAAUCAAUAUAAUUAUUAAUUUAAUCCGUAAGACUUUGGAUUAGAUUUUUAAUUAUUUUGAGUUCUUUGUCGUAAUAAUUAGGGUUAGAAUAAUCGUUAAUUUGACCUGUGAAACAACAGGUUAUUUAUUCGAUUAUUUUAAUAAUUUAUUUUGUGGAUAGUUUAGAUUUAAUAUUUAUUAGUUAUCUUAAAAAAAAACUAACAAAAAAAACCAAAAAAUCAAAAAAAUCAAAAUUAUGCAUGAGCAUAUACGUUUAGUAAAUCAAACAUGUAGGUUUAGUAAAUUAGAAUUUUUUUAGGAUUACAUUUUUAGGUUGCAUCUUUAGAAAUAAGUUAGAGUUGGACCUAAAUAAUUUUUUUUUUUAAAAUAGGGUUUUAGAUAAUGUUCGCACAUUUUAAUUAUCUCAUUUUUCCAAAAAAAAAUAUUUUUCUAAGAUAGGAUAGGGUUUAACUCAAAUUAAUCCCUAAAAUAAAUUAGAAAAUUAUUUUUUUUAGAUACUUUAAUUAGGGUUUUUAUUAAUUUUGAAUUUCAAUAAAAAAAUUCAAAAAAUAUUAGGUGCAUGUUAAUUAGUUUGCAUAAUAGGUUGAUUGAAUUAGAAUUCAUUUAUUAUUAAAAUUAGGUCAUGUAGUUAAAAUGCAUGUUUUAUAAAUAAUUCUAAUUUCAAGAAAACCCCCAAAAAAAAAAAAUUUUUGAUUGCUUUGUGUGAUGCAAUUUAUUGAUUUAUUUGAAUGUUUAAUAGUGGAUGAGCAUCUGUGUGGUCACCAUAUUUGUAUGAUAGUAAUUUAGGUUAAAAUAAAUCCAAGCUGCCUGCAAAAACAUUUUUUUAAAUAAAAAGAAUGGUACCGAAAGGGUAUUAGAGAAAUCUCGUGUAACCAAGUCCCCGUACCCAUAAUCUCUGGUUCGUAGGAGUAAAAUAAUUUUUCAAUUAUUUUACUUAGGUGUCUAAUCGACCUACCAUAAAUUGAUUAGUGGCGACUCCUAGAUAAAAUCCAUUUGCAUGUUAAAUAUUUGAACCUUAAGUUGCGAAUUGGUAAGGGCUUGAGAGAGCUCGAGCUAAGUUUAAACACAUAGUAAUCCAUUAACCUAGUUUUAAAUGGUGCACUCAAAAUUUAGGUCGCGACACUUGUGUUCACAAUCACAUUUGACAAUUCCCUAUUCAUAGGUAUGCAAAGUGUUGGAUGAUUUUGUUAUUCUUUCAUCUCAAAAGUUAGCUUAAAGAAAGAGAUUUUUUCUCAUAUUUAUAAAUCGACUACCAACUUCUACAAUCGAAAUUCAAAUAAUCUUAUUCUCACAUAUCGGGCCUUGACUGGAAGCCGCAAUAAUCCGUAACUCAACCUGGGUUCUAAUAAUGAAUUCAGGUGAUUUCGAGCCUUACUCGUCCCAAAAGUUAACUUAAGGAGUGGAGUUUUUCCUCACAUUUAUAUACCAACUACUAGCUUUUUGUACAAUCAAUAUGGAAGAACCCCAAUUAAAGGGUGUAAAAAUUAGAUUUCUACAAGUUCAAUUACUAGUGAAGAAAUUUCAUUGCCCAAGUACCAUAAAAACUAAGCGAAGAGUUAGCGAUGUGUAUGGGACUUGCCUAUUUUAUGCGUUGACAUGAAUUUGAUUCAAACCCUUAAUAUGAUGCAUGGAUCCGUCUUAUGGUGAAUAAUCAGCAUUGGUUCGCUAUUGAUUGAAGCUACUGAACUUUUCGACUUGAACCGAAAUAAUAAGGAAUUUUUUUCAAAUCCACAAUUAUUGGAAAAUGAACCUACGUGAACACUUUUUGGAUUGGCAUAAUAUGUGACAUUUUCACGCAUUAAAAAUCGGUUGAGUUCAAGCAUAAAGCGAAGUUAACAUUUAUCUAAAAGAAGGAUUCGCACAAUGCAAAAUUGGACUAAACGUUGGAUUAAAGAGUGAUAUGGCUAGUAGAAAGCACAAGAGUCCAGAAUAGCACCUCACUUUCUUAUUCAGUGUGCUGUCUCAUAUGCCCCGUCCGACUAAUUCAAUCAGUAGUUGGAAAGCCCAAGUGAGGCCCUAUCAAAAUCAUCGUCGACCUAAGAAAUUUACCGAAAAAAAAAACCAAAUACCGAGUGACGUGCUCGCUGACGACGACAAUAAUCUCAAAACCCCUAUAAAUUGAGACGCUCCCUUCACUCCAGUCCCACACCAUCGGCUCUCUCUCACACAUCCUCUUCUCUGACACUAGUGACACAAUGUCUUCCAGGUACUUGCUAGUUUUGCUCCUGGGAGCGGUGCUUUUCGCCGCUGCCGUCCUCUCCGACGGCCACCACCCUUUAAAAAAAGAGCAUAAACCACACCACAAGCACCACCACAAACUGACAAAAAAAAAAAAAGCACCACCACAAGCACCACCCUGGUGGUCGCCGUCUCAUGGAGACCGUUGAAGCUGAGGACUCGCACAGCCAUUCCCUAAACACAAGCCCCCACACCACGACCACCCUCUCAAGCACAUUCUUGUCGAGGAGGUUGAAAAGGAAGACUCCCACAAAAAGCCAUUCCCCAGCAAGAAACCGCCCCACCACCCCAGCCACUUGCUUGCCGAGGAAGUGGAAGCCGAGGAAAAAAAGAAGCCAUUCCCCGAGCACAAACGCCCAAAGAAAGGCGACAAGCCACCAUCCCACGAGGGACACAUUCUCGUAGAGGUGGAAGAGGACUCGAAGAAGCCAUUCCCUGAGCACAAGCCCCCCAAGAAAGGUGAGGAGCCCAAGAAGGGAAAGGGAGAGAAGCCGCCACCAAAGCACAAGCCACCACACGAGGGAGACAUUCUCGUAGAGGAGGUCAAAGAGGACUCUAAGAAGCCAUUCCGUGAGCACAAGCCACCAAAGAAAGGCGAGGAGCCAAAGAAGGGAAAGGGAGAGAAGCUGCCCCCAAAGCACAAGCCACCACACAUGGGACACAUUCUCGUAGAGGAGGUCGAAGAGGACUCUAAGAAGCCAUUCCCUGAGCACAAGCCGCCAAAGAAAGGCGAGGAGCCAAAGAAGGGAAAGGGAGAGAGGCCACCCCGAAGGCACAAGCCACCAAAGAAAGGCAAGGAGCCAAAGAAGGGAAAGGGAGAGAAGCCGCCACGAAAGCACAAGCCACCCCAUGAGGGACACAUUCUCGUAGAGGAGGUAGAAGAGGACUCAAAGAUGUCGUUCUUGAGCACAAGCCGCCCAAGAAAGGUGAGGACCCGAAGAAGGGCAAGGGAGAAAAGCCACCACCAAAGCACAAGCCACCACACGAGGGACACAUUCUCAUAGAGGAGGUCGAAGAGGACUCUAAGAAGCCAUUCCCUGAGCACAAGCCGCCGAAGAAAGGCAAGGAGCCAAACAAGGGAAAGGGAGAGAAGCCACCCCGAAAGCACAAGCCACACCACGAGGGACACAUUCUCGUAGAGGAGGUGGAAGAGGACUCAAAGAAGUCGUUUCUUGAGCACAAGCCGCCCAAGAAAGGUGAGGAGCCAAAAAAAGGCAAGGGAGAAAAGCCACCACACGAGGGACACAUUCUCAUAGAGGAGGUCGAAGAGGACUCUAAGAAGCCAUUCCCUGAGCACAAGCCGCCAAAGAAAGGUGAUGAGCCAAAGAAGGGAAAUGGAAAGAAGCCACCCCGAAAGCACAAGCCACCCCACGAGGGACACAUUCUCAUAGAGGAGGUGGAAGAGGACUCAAAGAAGCCGUUUCCUAAGCACAAGCCUCCCAAGAAAGGUGUGGAGCCGAAGAAGGGCAAGGGAGAAAAGCCACCACCAAAGCACAAGCCACCACAUGAGGGACACAUUCUAGUAGAGAAGGUGGAAGAGGACUCAAAGAAGCCUUUCCCCGAACACAAGCCGCCGAAGAAAGGCGAGGAGCCGAAGAAGGGCAAGGGUGAGAAGCCGCCACACCACAAGCCACCACACAAGCCUCCCGAGAACUAAUUAUGCGUUCUUCAAUGAAUGUAUAUGUCGUGUGCUUUUCACGGGUUCAAAUAAGAGCUGGUCCAUAGAGUGUCUGGCACUACCGUGUUAGCUGGUUCGCUGUUUGUGCUCCAUGGGGAUAUAAAAUGUAUGUACUUUGCUUGGGCAUGUCCUUUGACUUUGCCUACGUUGAUAUAUGCUGAGUACUUGCUAGCCAUGAGCUUUCCUUUCUAAUUAUGCCUUUAAUUAGUAACUUACGAAUUAUGGACAUUGUCCCCUUGCAAUCUUAAGUAAAAAUAAAUAUGGGGUUUAUCCAUAAUUUUAAAUCAGAAAAUUGGUUGACCAAAGCUUCUUCUAAUCAAAGUUGGAGGAAGACAUGGCCCGUCUUUGUAGGUUUUUAAUAUGAUCCAGUUAUUCUAAUGCCUAUUAAUUACAACUUUCCACACCAUCCAACGUAUUAAUUUUGUAGAUUACCCUUGAUAUCAUGACACAAUAGUGGAGGUAUUUAUUGAGAUGAUUUACACACAUAGGUUGAAUCAUAAUGAUUUUCACCCCCUCGAAAACUCAAAUCAUAGAUUGAAACAGUGAUGCAUGGAACCAUUUAAGUUUGCCCCAGUGGCCACCUUUCCAACAUGGAAGGGGGAGGUGGAAUGUUCGAAUUCCCACCUUCUCAAGGGGUUGGGGUGGGGAUGAUUUAUUUUCAGGUAUAGGUUUCAACUCCCAUGCUCUGUAAGGAGGCAGGGCAAAAGUCUCAAAGUGAGAGUUAGUAGGAAUAGAGUAGGACCGACAAAAAAAAAGAAGAAAAAAAAAAAAGAGUGAUGCAUGGAAGCAUGCAUGCAUUUAUUGAUUUUGCAUAUUGCUAUAUGAACUUGUUAUCCCUCUCUUUGCACUUCACUACCUUAUUAUUUUCUUGAUCCUUCACGGGGAAUUUACAAGGGCAAAAUUACCAAACAACUCCAAAACCUAUUGUGCUUGUAUAAAUUGAUUCCUAAAUAUUUUAAUCAUGUCAAUUUAGUCCUAAAUAUUUUCAUGAUUUGCCAAUUUAUUCAUAAACUCUUUGUCAAUUUAGUCAUUUUAGCUAAUUUUGGCCCAAAAAACACUGACGCGGGUCUAGUCAGCAUCAAUCAUUCUAUUACUACUACUACUACUAUUGGCUUGUUUUUGUGGCCCUUGCCUAUGGCCAACAAUGGUUAGCUAGUGACCUCCAUGCCCUUGCUAGCUAAGAGUUGGAAAAAAAGGUAAAGAAAAACGAAUACAAAAUUCAGAAAAAAUUAUCCACAUCAGCUUUUUUUCAGCAACAAUUAGUUGAAAUAACUAAAUUGACAAUUCGUCCAAAGGUUUAAGACUAAAUUGAUAUAAUUAAAAUAUUUAGGCUGAUUGGCAAAUUGUCAAAAAAUUUAUAACUAAAUUGGCCAAGUUUAAAACUUAGGACCGAAUUAGCACAAGUAUGAUGGAUUCAGAUUUUUUUUUUUUUUUUGAUAUUUUCCAAUUUACAAGUUAACAUAGAAUACUCUCAUUUUAUCGUGAACUUGUUUAAUCCGAUCAUGAUAUAGUUGAGGAACUUCAUGAAUAACAGGUUUCUCACUAUACUUAAUUGCAUAGGAUACUAAAAAAUAAUCAUGUUAGAAAGACCUGGACGUGUGGUUAGUAUUGGAUGUGGUGUCGGCGAAUAUAUUAUCUUCAUAAAACUGAUAUGCCUAACCGACCUAAGUUUCAUAUAUGGAAACAAUGAUUAUAUGUCAAGAAAGCGAUGGUAUGGGAGACUCCAGAAACACGAUAAGAAGAUGCGUCCUAAUCAUGCCAAACACGAUUGCUAGAAUGACGAAGCCCAUCACAUGCUCCAGUUUCACUGUUCAAAUUGUUGCACGAUGAAGGGAACAGCAUGUGAGCAUUUGAGAUCCUGAUCAGUUGAGUCCCGGUAGAGAGAGGGAUUUUGCGGCGUCUUUUCUUGGUUUCCCAUUUCAGAUGGGGACCCUUUGAUUUCAUACGUUUAACUAAAACGUGGAGGCAUUAGAGACGAUGAAAAAAGGGCCCUCCACUCAUUAUAAUCUUGUCUAUUAUUUUCCUUAUAUUUUGCACAUUUUUCCUUAUCUCCGCAAGCAACAUUUUGCACGAAAACUAGGGGGGAUGAACAUUGAAACAUUGUUAGGUGAGCUCAUGAUAUGGGAUGGAUAGGUGGAUUUUUAUUAGAUGCAUUGGAUGCUCGAGCCCUUCGGUUUAUGUAAUCUCCAUUCACGCAUGCUGGGUGUUUUCGUCCACCUAAAUCGUGAUAUGUGUUUGGAGGCACUGUAAAAAUUUUGUCAACCAUCACCUAAGUUCUUUUUUUUUUCUUUUUUUUAAUCAAAAUCACAUAAGUUUAAGUUGUUAAAUGAAUGCGCAAUCUAUUAAAUAAAUAAUGUUAUACUCCCUCUUGCGCAUAAACUAGACUUUGAUAUAAGAUUUAGAAAGUGAGCACCAUUUUCAUAUAAAAAUACUUUAAAUCUCCAUCUCAUGCAUAAACAGGUUCAGUUCUUGAUUCCAAUCUUCUAUAAUCAAUGUUCAUGGGUUGGUUUCUAAUUUGAUAUAUGAAACCAAUCACUCAUACUAACAUUAAAGCUUGGGAUCAAGAAUUGAGUCAACUUGGUUUCGAUUGUCCCCACUAAAACCGAAGCACAUAAGUUGAAAAUAUAUAUAUUAAGAAAAAUUUUCGUGGGAUCACUAAUAAGUAUUUAAAAAGCUUAAAUCUGUUAUUUAAUAUCUCAAGCAUGGUAUUCACACUAAAUCUCACUAAACAACCUUAUAAGUCUCCGACACCCUUUUGGUGUGUGCGCGCACGGCAUCUUCCUUUCCCUUCUCCCAAGGACAACCUGCAAUUACUUAAAUUCAAACAUGAUGUCACCGCGCAUGUCAACCACGACAGCGACUUCACCGGAUCGUGCGCCGGAAUGAAUAAAGACCCGAAAGAGAGACAGAGAGAGAAACGGGGUGGAUCCCCUCGGAAGGCUACAGGGUUUACGAUCGUUGAUUGUUAAAGGUCGAAAAGGUGGACAUUUCGCCCCGUUGGGAUUAGUUACGAUAAAAUCUUCUUUUGAGUCGAACAGCGCCGACAUCGGUGCUGCGUAUUUUACCUGGAUUUCAGUCUUGAUUCUGCUGAGAAAGACGUAGACUAGACCCAGGUUCUUGACACCUCAUUCUCCCUCAUCCUUCCGUUUUUCUGUGGUUUCCGUCAUCAUGUCAAACUUCUUCAUCCUUGCACUACGACUAGCCUAAGCAAAUAUCUGUAUAUUCUCGUUAUCAGUCUUUUCGUGUUACUUGAAUUCAAUAUUUUAAAAAUUAAGCCGCGGCAUCUCUAUCGUGUUCGGAAAGUAACUUUGAAUUUCUCAUAUAAAAUCAACAUGUGAAGUGAUAAUUUUAGUUGAGCCAUGGUAUCAGUGAGAGUUGAUUGGUUGACUAAAUCGGAUGAAAACAUCAAGGUUUCGCUCUUUAAUAGAGUGCCCAUUGAGUUGCUUAGUAUAUUCUUUUUUAUCUUUAUUUUUUGUCAUUUAGUUUAGGAGUCCUACCCAACUUUAAAAUAUAUAUAUAUAUAUAUAUAUAUAUAUAUAUAUAUAUAUAUAUAUAUAUAAGAAAGAGGACUCAAAGUUUCACAAUGUAAAUCAUUUUUAAUAAUUAUACGGUUCAUUGAAACUUUUGGCUCUAAAUACUUUGCACGGAUAGGCGCAGAUUGCCCUGUCUAGACAUUUACGUCUAUCAAAAAAAGCUUACGUGCCGUCUAAUUUAUUGUAGAGGAUAAUUCAUAUAAUUAUACCACGACAUACAUGAAAAUAAUACAUAUCUUACUUGACAGCUCUUAGAAAAAACAUAAAUGAAUCAGUUUGAAACGAAUCUAAUGCUUCAUUGAAUAACUAUACAAAAGUAUUUCGAGCAUGGUAUGUCGGUAAUAUCCUCUAAAUCAUUUGACACAUUGCUAGUUUUUUAUCAUCUAGAAUAGGGUUUAAAAGUACCAAGUCAUCUCAUGUUACGAACUCAUGUCUCAAUUAUAACUAGAGCACGAGCUUUUCCAUCAGCAAUUUAUGUCAUGCUUAUAAAGCGUUGGUUUACUAUAAGAAAUCAAUAGCACGUCGUUUGUCUUUCAUUACGUAUCAAAUUAUCCUCUUACGAACCCUCUUUCUUGCUGAGUUUUCUGCUACUAUAGCUAGAAUCACCCUUUCACCACAAAAGAUACAGAGACGAUCUUGCAGGCCGACGUGGUCCUGCAACGAUAAUGCCAUCGCAACCUAUGGGAGCCACACAAAAGGUGGUCGGCAUUGUUUCUCUCUGCCCCAUUCGCCACACGUGCGUGAAACUGCACCCGAUUCUUAUUCGCCCGGUUAUGGCACAAUCUAGCUUGUCUCUGCCAAUCGAAGGGCACCGUCCUAACUGACAUCGGCAGUGACGUCAAAAUUAGAAAAUAAUUAGUAAUACCAUAAUAAUAUAUUCAUUGAAUAUAUGUUUUUGAAUCUAAAACCUCCAUGCAAUUAAUGGUUGCACUUGUUUGAUCAGGAGGCUGCAGGAUUUGCGAUCGUUGAUUGCGAUUUUGGUGGCAAAAGCAAGUGUGAAUCGUCGAAAAGGUGGACAUUUCGCCUCGUGGGGGUUAGUUACGACAAAAUCCUCUUUUGACUCGAACAGCGCCGACAUCGGUUGCGAGGGGCGAUCGUUGUGCGUAUUUGACCAGGAUCUCAGUCUCGAUUCAGCUUUGAAAGACGUAGCAGACUCGACCAAGGUUCUUGACGUCUCAUCCCUCAUUCUUCCUUUUUCUGAGGUUUACGGGAUUUAUGUCCAAACUUCUUAAUCCUUCCACGGCAACUUAUCCUAAGGAAAUUUAUCUGUUGUCGUUAUCUAGUCAUUUCGUGUUUCUUGUAAUCAAUAUUUAUAAAAUUAAAUCAUGUCAUAUCAGUCAUAUUUGAAAAGUAUUUUGAAAGACUUAUUAAAAAUCAAGAGUGAUUGGUUUCAUAGUGACUCGAUUCUCACCCAAAAACUGUGAAAUGACCCACUUGAUCUUGAAAUUGAACUAAACCGGAACUAUUUCUUGGAUGGACCCGAGAAUUGACGAGGAUAUCUUUCUUUUCUUUUUUCCCUAUGUAGGAUCAUUCGUUUGCUCACUCAUUAGUCAGCAUAAUUUCAUACUUUGUAACACCCCCAUAAAUAGUAACAGACCUCCGCCCAAAUCUCUCAUCCCUUACUUCUUCACUGUUGCUAUUUAGGAUUCCCAAUCUCCAUUGGAAUAAUCGUUCUUAGAAAAUUAAAGGAAAAGGUAUGUAACAAAACAAACACCGAAUUUUUGGGGGGAAAGGGGCGCCUCUUGCCUCUCUUUCAACCCCCGGCACCGUCUCCUGGUACGUCUCCUCUCCUUGUUCGCAUGGCUAUCUAUGGUUAGGGUUCUGCCCGCCUGCUUGCUGCUGUGAUUCAUAGUUGAGAUGGAAUCGGAGUCGAUGAGGGCUCGAAAUGAGGAGAAAGGGACAAGUUCCCAUGGUGGACCUCCCAUUCUGACUAAGGAACCUUCGUUGUUGACUGUUAUGGGAGGAAAUUCGAGUUCGGACACCAUGUCUGGUCCGAACGAAGCGCGAGUUCCUCGCCCAAAUGGUGGGGCACGACUUGUCCAGCGAGGAAGGUCCCGCUCAGCUAAGCCUCAAGGCAGGGAUGCCUCUAAGAAUCCAUCAGGGAAAUCGUGGGUUGCGGUGGCAAGAACCGUGCCCAAGGGCUACGAUCUGGUGUAUACCCCACCGAAUAUGGUGAACAAUAGACCUGUGAUUGAGAUCACUGAUCAAGAUCUGGAAACUGCAGAUCCCAAGAUGUUUGAAUGUUUAAUGGGCCAAUUCAUUGGUUGCCGAAUGCCUUUUAAGGUAGUUGAGGAGGCUAUGAAGAAAGUGUGGGGGCCGAACCUUGUUGAAGUCCUGUCAAAUGGCAAAGGUCUUUUUAUGUUUCGCAUUCCUGAUAGGGAAUUCCGCCGAAGUGUGCUUGAAAGUGGUCGGAUGACGGUUGCUAGAAUACCACUUGUAUUGCAGCAAUGGUCCCCUGGACUUGAGCUGAGGAGGGAGAUCCACCGUACGGUUCCUGUUUGGGUUAGACUAUCGAAUAUUCCCUUCUCGUGUUGGUCCGCCCACUUCAUCGGGAGGGUUGCAAGUGCGCUUGGCAAACCCCUUUAUGUGGAUAAGAGAACAGAACAGGUGAGUAGCCUUACCUUUGCUAGGGUCUGCAUUGAAAUUUCUGCUGAUCAACCUGAUUGUAAAAUGAUUAAGACAACCCAUAAUGGUACGAAGUGUGAAAUAGGAGUGGAGUUUGAGUGGCGACCCACUGCCUGUGCUGUAUGUGGCAUUUUUGGCCACAAUUGUGCAAUGGCUAGUAGGCCUGGUAGACCUGAAACAAAACACGCUGAUACUGGUCGUCCUUCAGAGGAGUCUGAACCUCUUAGCAAGGCCGCAAGUGGGAGCAGCUCUCAGCAAACCAGACCACCUUCGAUGGCGUCUGAGGAUCAAAGGGGAAUGUCUUCGGGUAUGCCUGUGGUCCCUCUUCUGGAAUCUCCAAUUGAUGCAGGACAGAACAGAAGCUCCUCUGGUGGUUCCUUCCCUCAUGUUCAGCUGGUUGUGGAUCUGGAGGAACCUCUUCCAUCGCACCAAAGUGACCUUGCUCAGCAUGGGAAUCAGGUCAAAGACAAAGAGAAGGAGCAGGAGCCGCAGAAUCUGAAUGCUUCGCUGAUACCAUUCUCGGAGGAAGGGCUGUCUCGCAACCUUAAGGAAGCUGUGCCUGGCCAAAAGCCUCCUAAAGCCCCUGCUAAACCACUUGGAAAAAACACUCAGGCUUCUGACUUGGCCCCGGAUUCCGUGCCGUUUGGAGACCAGAAAGAUGAUACCAGCAAUUCAUCUAAUGAAGACGGUGGCCACACGCCUAGACCCGCUCCUUUGAGUGGUCCUUCGGAACCUACUGGGGUUGGUUCGAGCCAAGAUCAGCUUCUCCUUUUGCUGCUCGACCCGCUGGGACCUUCGCCUGCGGAGGACUCGAAACCAAAUAAAGGUAGGCGUAGGAACGCCAAGCGGAAAUAAUUCUAUCCUUUUGCUUCUAUGUUUUUUGGCUUUUGGAAUGUUAGAGGUAUUAUGAACCCUGUCAGAAGGGCGGAGAUUAGGAAGUUUGCUGUUGCUAAUAAGCUUUGCCUUAUGGGGCUUUUUGAAACUAAGGUCCCUGAGCCUUUGUUUGGUUCCAUUUCUUCCAAUAUUUUGAGAGGCUGGAAUUGGAUUGCGAACUAUGAUUUUGCUCCUCGCGGUAGAGUCUGGAUUGGAUGGGAUCUAGCUACCAUCAGUUUUGAGUUGAUCUCUGCAAAUGACCAAGCCAUCCAUGGGUGCAUGAAGGGGUUAUCUUCUAAUUUUACUUGCUGUGUUUCUGCUAUUUAUGGAGAGCAUUCCUUUGUGAGGAGGCGGCCUCUUUGGUCUGAUCUUAUCCAGUGUGACGAUCUUUUUCAAGACUAUGCCUGGAUAGUAGCGGGAGAUUUCAAUGCAAUCAAGGACCCUUCUGAUCGCGUUGGUAGCUCUAAUGCCUGGAUCCCCUGUUUUGAUGAAUUCAAGCUUUGUCUGGACCAAACGGAACUUGAGGAUCUCAGGUACUCUGGCCUUCGUUUUACCUGGUCGACUUCGGUGGGUGCAAAUAGGAAGAUGCGAAAAAUUGACAGAGUUCUUGUCAACUCUAAAUGGAGAAUGGACUUUUCAUACUCGGAGGCGUCUUUUCUCAAUCCUGGAAUUUCUGACCAUACUCCUAUGGUUGUCAGGGUUGUGGAUCCGCGUCCAAGGAGGAAGCCGUUUAAGUAUUUUGAUUUCUGGGUUGACCACCCGGAUUUCCAUUCUACGGUUUUGCAGGUGUGGGAUAGUCAAGUUUGGGGAUUUCCCAUGUUUAAAUUAGUCUCGAAGCUGAAACUGUUGAAAUCUCGCCUCAAGGAACUUAAUCUGAAGGCUUUCUCGGAUAUUUCUCUAAGAACUCUUGAAGCGAGGGAAGCCUUGCGUUCUACUCAGCAUCUCCUUCAGUUGGAUCCUGAAAAUAUUCCACUAGCUGAACUUGAAAGAGGGCAGCGUCGUGCUUUUAUAGACCUUCGUGGUCAAGAGGAAUCGUUCUAUAAGCAAAAAUCAAGAAUUAGAUGGCUGAAGGAAGGAGAUCGCAACACGAGAUUCUUCCAUAACUGUGUUAAAGCUAGACAUCUCAAUAACCGUAUCCUCUCUGUCAAAGACACUGCAGGUACGGUGAUCUCGGAUCCUGAUUUGGUGCCCCAAGUUUUUAUAUCUUUCUUUUCGGAUCUUCUUGCUCCUCGAGUUGGCUUAGCUAAGCCUGAUCUUCAAGAGCUUACUUCUCUCAUUCGAAAGCCGCUAUCCGAUAGCCAGGUAUGUUCCCUAGCUUCGCUCGUCUCUGAUUUGGAAGUUAAGAAGACCUUGUUCUCGCUUGCAAAGGGGAAAGCCCCCGGUCCAGAUGGUUUUACAGCAGAAUUCUUUAAAAGUAACUGGGAUAUUGUGGGCUCUUUAGUUACAGAGGCUGUGAAAGAUUUCUUCUCAGUAGGUUGUCUUCUUAAAGAAGUUAAUGCGACUAUCCUAACGUUAAUUCCCAAGGUGUCGAAUGCUUGUGAAGUAAACGAUUCCAGACCGAUUGCUUGCUGCAACACUAUCUAUAAACUUAUCACCAAGAUCUUGGCCAAUAGAAUUGCGCCUGUACUUCAAGAUAUUGUUAGUCCGUCCCAGAAUGCGUUUGUGAAGGGUAGAAGGUUAAGGGAUAAUAUAUUAUUGGCUCAAGAGCUUUUUGCAGGCUUCCACUUAGACCCAUACCUCCCAAGAUGUGCAGUCAAAGUGGAUUUUUGCAAGGCCUAUGACACUGUGGACUGGGAUUUCCUAGAGCUUACCCUUACUGCCUUCCGGUUUCCUCUGUGGAUUAUUCGCCGGAUUAUGGUUUGUGUACGCACACCUAGAUUCUCUAUUUCUAUUAAUGGGGAGCUUCAUGGCUUCUUCCCAGGAGGCAGAGGCCUUAGGCAGGGCGACCCAAUGUCACCUUAUCUAUUUACAUUGAUCAUGGAAAUCUUCUCCGGAAUUUUGAACCAAAGGUCUUCGGCUAAAGAAUUCAAAUGUUAUUGGCGAUGUAAGUCUCCUAAGCUCACUCAUCUGUUUUUUGCAGACGAUGUGUUCCUUUUUUGCCAAGCAGAUUGGAAAUCGGCUGUGAUCCUUAAAAGAAGCCUCGACAUUUUCUCUUCAUGGAGUGGUCUUCUCCCCAACAAAAAUAAGAGCGACAUCUUUCUUUCGGGAGGCGAUCCUGCUUUGUGCAACAGAAUCCUCCUAGCAUUUGGCUUUCAGGAAGGUAAACUUCCGAUUAGAUAUCUUGGAGUGCCGAUCAUCUCAAAGAGGUUGACUAAGGCUGACUGUACUCAAUUAAUUGAUCGCAUUACCGCGCGAGCCCGCUCCUGGUCCCACAGGUUCCUCUCUUUUGCUGGAAGACUUCAGCUCAUUAGGUCAGUGCUUCAUGCUAUUCAGUCUUUUUGGGCUAGUGUUUUCACUUUGCCCUCUUCGGUUAUUUUGGGGAUUGAAAGCAUUCUUCGUAGAUUUCUUUGGAAGGGCACCUCCUUGGAUAAGGGAGGUGCAAAAGUCUCAUGGGCGGAUGUUUGUUUGCCUAAGGAGGAAGGGGGCCUGGGUAUUCGGUCUAUCAAGGACUGUAACAAAGCCUCAAUACUGAAAUUUAUUUGGAUCCUCUUUACGGAUAAGGAAUCUCUGUGGUGCCGUUGGAUACACUCCAACUUUUUAAAGAAACAUAACUUAUGGGUUGCCCCUCAGCCUUCGAUCUGUGCCUGGAGCUGGAAGAAGAUCCUUCAUCUUCGGGGCUGUUGUAGACAAUCCUUCGGUUGGGAGGUCGGUGACGGCCGGUCUACUUCAUUGUGGUUCGAUAGCUGGUUGCCUUGUGGCCCUCUUCAUCUACAAGUUCCUCAUUCUUUUUUGUUGGACCCCGACGUUCCUGCUAAGGCGACUAUGGCUUCUUUAUAUUCUUAUGUUGGUAGAUCCUGUAAAGUCCGGUUAGAGAAUUGUGGCUUCUCGCUUCCUCCUCUUUCGGUUAAUAACAAUCGUUUUGUGUGGCGUCAUGUUUCUUCGGGGGCCUUCUCCGUAGCUUCUGCUUGGAAUGUCAUCAGAGCUUCUAAAGCCAAAGCACCUUGGACUUCUUUUGUGUGGGAUAAGGAUGUAGCCCCUCGGUUUCAAUUCCUUUUGUGGCUUAUUACUAAAAAUCGCUUGCCAACGCAGUCACUUCUCCUCUCAUAUGGAAGGAUUGAUUACUCGGCUUGCACUUUUUGUAAUACUCAGCUAGACUCGACCAACCAUUUGUACUUUGACUGCAAUCUUUCUAAGACCAUUAUCUACUUUUGGGCAACUAGGUGCAAUUUGCCGUGGAGGAACGGCACUUGGGCGGAAAACCUUGCUUGGGCUAUGAGAUUCCUUGCUGGUAAGGACUUCUCUCACAGUCUUUCUCGCUAUUCCUUUGGAGCUCUUUGCUAUCUAAUUUGGAAGAAGAGAAAUGCUAUGAUUUUCCGAGGGGAAUCUCUUGAUAUUCCCGCUUUGAAGAACCAUUUGAUAAAGAUGGUUAAAGAUAAAGCAAUUACCUAUAAGGAUGUCCCUGACAAUCCAAGGAAUCGGCGUCUUCAGAGGGGUUGGAAUCUCGACCCUAUUAUCUUCACAUAACCCUUUGGGUUUUUUAUCAUUUGAUCUUGCUCGGUCGCCCCCGGUGCGGAUGUUCUGACUCUCGGAUUCCCAGGCGUCCAUGGAGUCUGGUGGCUGAAUCUGGUGGUCGCGUUGUGUCUGUUGUUUGCGCUCUUUUGUCCUUGCCUCUUGAGGUUUUUGCGCGGCUCCCUUCCACUCUUUUGUUCACAAUGAGAGUGUAAGUUUUGGUGCCGUUUGUGUACAUUGGUCCUUAGUUUUUCAUUAUAUUCUUACCUUUACCAAAAAAAAAAAAAACAAAAAAAAAACAAACACCGAAUGAGAGAGGCACGUGACUGUGUGAGACUAAGAUUGAGAGUGAGAAGUGUGAGACUAAGUGAGUAAGAGGAACUGAGGGAGGUACCACAUGAGAUUGAGUGAGAGCAAAUAGGGAUGAGUAGUGAGUGAAAAUGAGAAAUUAGGGUUUUGAGAAUUGUUUUAUAAUAAAAAAAAAAUUAUAUAUAAAAAAACUUAUUCACCUAGUUAAGAUGGUCUGACAGAUCGGUCCACAUUAAAACCGGGAACUAAACCGAUAAUCACUAAUUCCAAAUCACCAAUUCCGUCUGGUUUCAUGCUCACCCCUAUUAAAAAUAACAUGUGAAGUAUUAAUUAUAGUCAAGCCAUGGUAUCGGUGACAGUUGAACAUUUGACUAAGUUGGAGGUAAACACCAAAGUUUGUGUCGUGUUUCGCUUUCCUUUUUAAAAGAGUGCCCAUUGAGUUGCUUGCAAUGCCCAUUGAGUUGCUUGCUAAAUUCUUUCUUUAUGUUUAACUUUUUAUUAUUUAGUUUAGACCCUUACGCAAACUUUAACAAAAGAUAAACAAGAACAUAGACUGUCAGAAAGAUCACUCAACAUUUUCUUUUUUCUUUUUUGGGUCGAAGAUGACUCAAAAUUUUACUAUGCGGAAUUUCUAUUGAUAAUACGGGUCCCUAGAGUUUUUGGCCUCGAAUACUCAUCACAAAUGUGCGCAGGUCAGUCUCGUCUGGACGUCCACUUCCAUCAUAGAAGGCAAACAUGCCCUCAACGUUACUUUUUAGAAUAAUCCAUAGAAUUGUUACCCGCCUAUGCAAUGACUACAACAAUACUACAUAUCUUUAUGCAUCAAAACCUUUAUUACUCGACCACUCAUAGAAGAACAUAAAGUUAAUCGGUUCGAAACAAACCUAAUACUUUGCUAAUCAAUUGUGCAAAAGUAGUUUGAGCAUGGUACAUUGCGGAUCCUGUCUAUAUCAUUUAACAAGUUUCUACUUUCCUUGUCAUCCCAAUUGGGUUGGGAAGUACUAGGUCGCCUUACUUUACAAAAUUCAACCCACAAUAAUAAGUAAAACACGAGCUUUCCAAUAAGCAAUUUAUGGUAUGUUAGUAUAGUCUUGAUUUAUUAUAUAGAAUCAAUAGUGUGUCUUGAUUAUUUGUGAGAUUAUCCUCUUACAAUUACACUUUCCUUAGUAGGACAGGCAAUGAGGUUUACGGUACUAUAGUUAUAAUAACUUUUUUCACUCUUAAAUUACAAGGUUUCAGCAAGAAAUGCGUUUUAGAAAAAACCGGCAAGAUCAUGAUUGUUCAAGCGACGGUCCCCUUCCGCUCCGACAAUGGAGCUCUCUCUCUACCGCCUGAGUAGCAUCCUCCUCCCUUUUUGGGUAGGUCUCGAUUCUGCAGCUUUGGAAUCCUCCCGCAUCGUAAUCCAUCUGUCAUCUUCUUCCACCCCAGCACCAAUGACACAGAGUAUAUUGGAGUUGGAAAACCCUAAACCCAUCCCUCGUUUCAUCGCACAUAAUAAACCCUAAAACCCAUCAUCUCACCAUCGCCUCUGUAGCAAGCUCUCUUCCCCAAUCUCUAUCAUUCCCACUCACCACAUCAUCCCCUUCUGUCUUCUCCCGCAGAAUCAGAGCUCCCUUGAUCCAUAUUUAGCUUUUGCCCUAUACAGAAAAACCAACUGAUUACUGAAGAAUCAGGCUAGCUCUCUAUCUCUGUUCCCGGUAAUGCUGUUGUUUUCAGAAGAUGGCAAACCAGUAUGACGAAGAGCGAAGGUUGGUUGCCCUCUGCAAAAGUCUGGGCAAUCUAUGGUCUGAGGAAGUCGUGGUGGAUAUCCCAGGUGAAAUCCCUGAAGAAAACCUGCUAGCAUGUUGGAAAACGUUAUAUGGGAAGUUUUUUAACAAGCCUAAUGUGAAUUUUAAUGCAUUCAUCACUACAAUGAAAAAAGUUUGGUGGAACAAAAGUUUUACCUAUGCUGUAAUAGAGCCUGGAUACUACUCAUUUUCCUUCAAAUCGGAGGCUGAAAAAUAGCGAAUAUUAGACUCAGAGCCGUGAUAUUUCUCAAGCAAUUUAUUGGUUCUAAAGCAAUGCGAUCCCGACACCCCUGAUAUCUGUUAUGAAUUUAACCAUUGUGACUUCUGGGUAAAUCUAUUUGGCCUCCCUUUUGGAAGAGUUACAUAUGAGGUAGUUACUGAAAUUACAUAAAAAAUCAGAGAUGUUGCGGAGGUGAAAUUAGAAGCGAAAGAGAAUAGCAAUUACAAGGUGGGUAGGGCCAGAAUUAAGUUGAAUUUGGAAAACCCUCUUAAAAUUGGAGUUCUUGUGAUCUUGACAACAAGAGUUUGUGGGUAGAAUUCAAGUACGAAAGGCUACCGCAUUAUUGCUAUUCAUGUGGGAGAAUUGGCCAUUAUGCGACAUUUUGCAAAGAAAUACUAUAUGAGGAAUCAGAGCUAGCUGAGAACUUACCAGGCUGCUUUGGACAUUGGCUAAGAGCGGAAGCGUGGGAGCUUAGUCCUUAUGGGAAAAUCUUUUAUGGUAAACAAUAAUUUCAACAUGAAAAAGAGGAGAGUGUGCCCGAAACCCCCAUUUCACCAGUCCCUAUAAUAGAACGGCAGCAACAUGAUCAAUAUCUGCAGCAACAUGAUCAAUAUCUGCAGCAAACUCAACAUCUCGCCCUAUUGGAUAAUGUAGAAAAUUCAUGUUCCAAAGAAUGCAACAAUCAUCUUCCUUCUCAAGCACUAGUUCUCUUGAAAGAGAAGGGCCCUCAAAAAAGAGGAAGCAGUUGCCUUGAUGAGGAAUCUGUCAUGGUACUAUAUGAGGAACAGAGGAAGGAGAUUGAAGCAUAAAUGGUUGACAAUUUUGCAGGGAAAGGACCAAACAAAGAGAAAACUAAAAGCGCCAAACGUUCUUCCUCAAAAAAAGGAAAACGAUUCUGUCCUUAUGGUGCUCAAACAUCCAACAUAGCAGUGGUUGAUACCACUCAGCUAGUGGAAACCCCUAUUCGUGUGGCAAACAAGUCUGACCAGUGGGCUUUGGUGGCUAGCCCUAAUAAGCCACCCACUCAUCCAUGAAGAUUUUAAGCUUGAAUUGUCAAGGGCUGGGCAAUCCCUUGACAAUUCAAGCUCUAAGAGUCCUAGUGACUCAAGAAAGGCCCAAUAUUGUCUUUAUUAUGGAGACAAAAAAUCAGGAGCAAAAGGUGCAAAGAUUACGGCGGCGACUUAAUUUCCAACACUAUUUCUUAGUGAAUCCAGAAGGUACAGCAGGGGGUUUAGUAAUCUUUUGGGAUGACCAGGUACUUCUGUUCAUUAACUCUUUCACAGAAAAUGUAAUUUUCACUCAAUGCCAACUACAAGCAAACAACCAGCGUAUGCACAUCACGUUUACACAUGCCCCAAAUGAAUUUAAGGAGAGAAUUAGAUUAUGGGAGAAUAUUUAUCGGGAAAGUCUACACUAUCAUUUCCCUUGGUUGUGUAUGGACGAUUUUAAUGAAAUCCUAUAUCAUUGGGAGAAAGUGGGAAAGAAAAGAGCAAAAACUUACCAGCUUACAGCAUUCAGAGAUUUCCUGUAUAAAUGUUCUCUACUGGAUUUGGAAUGUAAGGGAUGCGCCUUUACCUAGACCAACAACAGAGAGGGAGAAAAUCUGGUCAAGAAGCGAUUAGACAGAGUAUUAUGUAGUUCAGAAUGGCGCAUUAACUAUCCCACAACUGAAUGCAUUGCCUUACCUGCCAUUGGUUCCGAUCACACACCAAUUAUUCUUUUGACAAGCCCGCCGAGGAAAAAGGAAGGGGAAGAGCUUUAAAUACGAAGCUUUAUGGGCAGAGGAGGAGGAUUGUGUGACUCUCGUAAGGGAUACUUGGGCUGAACCGGCUUUCCAACAGUUUAGCAUGGUGGAGAAACUGCAGAUAGUGUCAAAAAAGUUGUUAAAAUGGAGCUAGAACAAAUUCACCAAUGCUAAAAAAAAAGGAUUACUUGGCUGAAUAGAGAGCUACAACACGUAAUGAACAGCAUAGGAAUAUCCAAUGAGAGCAAGGCAACAAAGGAAUUAAGAAAAGAAAUUGAUCAAUUGUGGAGACAAGAAGAAAUGUAUUGGGGAAUGCGGUCAAGAAUCAAUUGGUUAAAAUGGGGGGAUAAAAAUACCAAAUUCUUCCAUGCCACAACUAUCCAAAGGAGAAUCAGAAACCAUAUAUCAUUGUUGAAAAAUGCAGAAGAUGUUUGGGUGCGUGAGGAGCAGUAGCUAAAAGGAUGACCGGUACCUACUUUCAAAAGCUAUACGAGUCAGUGGGGCCUCGAAACUUUCAGCCCCUUUUACAACAAAUUCCAGUUUUGGUGGAUGUGAGAAUGAAUCAAUGACUAGUCGAAUCUGUUAGUAUGGAGGAAAUCAUGACAGCUAUGCAGCGAUUAGGAGCCAAUAAAGCGCCUGGACUAGAUGGCAUGCAUGACAUUUUUUUUUUUCAAAAAUUACUGGCCAGAUAUUUGUCAGGACAUAUUUACAGAAAUACAUAAUUUUUUCACCACCGGUUAUCUCAAUCCUAAUCUGAACAAAACACUUAUAACCCUUAUUCCUAAGACCCCAAACCCAGAAAAGCUGGAAUAGUUCCGCCCCAUCAGCCUUUGCAAUUUUAUAUAUAAAAUCAUCUCAAAAGUGUUGUCUAAUAGAUUAAAACCUCUACUACCUCAACUCAUUGCAAAAGAACAAAGUGCUUUUGUGGGGGGAAGGCAAAUACAAGACAAUAUAUUGAUUGUACAAGAGAUUCUUCACAGAUUACGAACUCGGGAAAGGAAAAAGAAGUUUCAAGUAGUCUUAAAGUUAGAUAUGCAGAAGGCGUAUGAUCGGAUUGAAUGGGAUUUCCUAAGAGCAUGUUUAACUAGAAUGGGAUUCUGCGAACAAUGGGUGCAAUGGCUAAUGCAGUGUGUUUCCACAAUUACAUUCAGUGUAAAUUUUAAUGGGGAGGUUCUUUCUUCUUUCAGGCCAACUAGAGGAAUUCACGAAGGUGAUCCACUAUCACCCUAUCUUUUUAUAUUAGUAGCUAAUGUUCUAUCAACCAUGAUGAGAAAAGCAGUGGAUGAUGGCACACUUAGAGGAAUUAAACUGAACAAUAGUUGCCCUACCCUUUCACACUUGUUAUUUGCAGAUGACUCUAUCUUUUUCCUCAAUGGCACUACCCUAGAAUGUCAAAAUCUAGCGAUGAUCCUACAUGAAUACUGCUUUGCUUCUGGUCAGGCCAUUAACCUUAAUAAAUCAGGUGUAUAUUUCAGCAAAUUUUGCCCUACUACAUUGAGGAGGAACAUGGCCACAGCAUUGCGAGUCCCAGAGAUAGAAAAAACAGGGAAAUACUUAGGAAUUCCCUCGGAUUGGGGCUUCUCGAAGAAAUAUAUGUUCGCGUGGAUCCUAGCGCGAGUAAAUAGAAAGAUAGAAAACUGGAAGGAAAGCUUGUUAUCAAAAGCGGGGAAUGAGAUUUUAAUAAAAUCAGUGGUUCAGGUUAUCCCUCAAUAUGCUAUGUCCAUUUUCAGAAUCCCAAUUUCUAUUUGCAAAGCUAUUGAGAAGAGGACCGCAAAUUUCUGGUGGAAAACGAACAGUAGACAUGCCGGUAUACAUUGGAAGAAAUGAGAAUCCUUGAAACUCAGAAAGGAUGAAAGGGGUAUUGGCUUUAGGCUGCGUUUGGGAACUACUUUCCCAAGGAUCUUUGGGGGGCUAAAGGCCUUUGGGCCAAGGAGAGAGUGUUUGGGAAGAUUUUUUUUACUUGCCUUUGGGAAAGGCAAGCCUUCCCAAGGCUGAAAGCUCAAGGCACCCUUAGGGCUGCCUUAGGCAUUCAGCCUUCUCGGAAGGCUGAUGGAGAGUAAGAAAAAUUUUUUUUCCAUAAAUGUCAUUGCUAACAUUUCAUUUUUCCGGUUUUGUCCUCGUAACUAUUCACCUUCUUCUUCAUUGACGUUGGCUGGCGAAGUUGCGCCGAGCUGUGAGGGGCCAGCAACAAGCUGGAUAGAGGCAGUAAGAGGCCGGUGUGUCACGGCGACCGUCAGUGGCCAAUCACGUGGCCUCGGUGCCCCCCUGUGAGUCGUGUCGCCGCGACCGCUGCAACCCUCGGCAACCACCCAGAUCUGGGUCACAGCAGACCACUGUAACCCUGGCGACGCUGCGACGCCCGACAGAUCUGGGUCACCGAAGGUCUCCGUGACCCAGAUUCGGGCCACGCAACCUCCGGUGACCCAAAUCGUGCGCAGAUCUAGGUCCCCGGAGGUCGCCACAACCCAGAUCUGGGCCGCGCGACCUCCAGCGACCCAAAUCGAGCGAUCUGGUCGCGAUGAUUUGGUCGCGAUCGGGGUUGCCGCAAUCAAAUCAAGUGGCCCGGGCAACCUCCGCACGGAGGUCGCAAUGCGGCGGGUUGUGCAACCUUCAGGCGAGGGUCGCCACGACCCACAUCUCACGAUUUGGGUCAUUGCGACCCUCACCGGACGGUUGCCGCGACCCGCCGCACCGCAACCUCCGUGCAGAGGUCGCCGGGAUCGCUCGAUCUGGUUGCGGCGACCCUCGUCGGCCACCUGCCUCUCGCUGGACCGCCUGCCCCUCCCAGACCCUCACCGGACUGCCUGCCCCUCACCGGCGGUAACCAGCCAAUUCUUUUUUUUUUUCCUUUUUUUUUAAUGACAAAAGUCUUUUACACAGUUAAUUUGUCCAAACACUAUUUUGCUCAAACAUACUUUACAAUGGACUUUUACAAAGACGAUUUACCAAACACAAUUUGCAUAUUCAAAAACCCUUUUAGCUCAAAGGCCUUUACAUUUUCUCAAGGACUUUCCCCAAAAGUCUUCCCAAACACACCCUUAAAGAUCUUAUAGCUUUCAAUAUAGCUAUGCUGGGGAAACAAGCGUGGCGAACUCACAGAGUCCUCAGUCCCUACUGAGUAAAGUAAUGAAGGGUUUGUAUUAUCCACAGGGUGAUUUCUGGAAAGCUGGAAAAGGCUCUCGUCCGUCAUAGUGUUGGCAAAGUAUAACUUGGGGAAGAGAUUUUAUCAUGCCACAUAUAAUGUACUCAGUUGGGAAUGGGAAAGACCUCUAAAUCCGAGAAGACAAAUGGCUAAAGAGUGGCCCUAUAGGCGGUCUAGCAACAAGAACAAACUAGUUCAAGUGGCAGAUUUAAUAGAACAAGGGACUGGAAAGUGGAAUACAGAGAAGGUGGAAAUGAUGUUUGAUGAAAGAAUUGUGAGGGAAAUACUCGCCACCCCUAUUGGUUUGCCCAAUUCGAAAGACAAACUGGUCUGGAUGAACACUAAAUCUAGUAUUUACUCAACUAAAAGUGGCUAUUUUUCAGCAAGAGAAGACCCAACUAAUAACCAUACCACAGCAGCAACCUCAUCACAUCAAAUAAAUCUAGAUCUCUGGAAAUACAUUUGGCAUUCUCAAACCCUACCCAAAAUCAGACUAUUUCUUUGGCAAGCAUGUCACAACGCACUACCAACAAGGGAUAACCUUCACAGGAGAAAGAUAGUACCUGAUCUUUUAUGUUCCAUUUACAAUAUGGAAGCUGAAACCACUGAACACAUCCUCUUACACUGUCCAUGGACAGCUCAAAUUUGGAGCGUCGCACCCGUGCACAUCAAAAUUUCCAGAUUUGGGUUAACACGGUUUGAUGACUGGCUUUUUCAACUGAAAAACAACCCGACACUCACUAAGUAUUUCGACCAAGUUAUUGCUCUUCUCUGGAGUAUCUGGAAGGACUAGAACCAGCAUAUCUUUGGCCACCGUCCCUUGUCACCAAAACACACUUUAUUCUCAGAUCUUCGACUAAUCUACCAAAAAGUGAAAAGAAGAAAGCUACUUCACCUUCUCAUUGACGACCUCCCCCUCACGGCACCCUAAAAAUUAAUGUAGACGCGUCCUUCUUUGAACUGAACGAAGCGGAAGCAGAGACUGAAGAAGACUUGUGAUCGGCAAAGAACAUAGUAGCGAUCGCGUGUCUCUGUAGAGAUCUCGAGGAUGUCUCGUUGAUGGCUUCGUGAAAAUCGUCGAUGCUUCCUCGGCUACACAAGCGGAAGCCCUAGCUCUCCUUCAAACCCUAGAUCUGCUCUCCAAUCGAACGGAACUUCAUCUGGAAGUACAAUCUGAUUGUCUUCCCCUCGUGCAAGCGGUAAUGUCUUCGAAGGAGUUAAACUGGCAAGUGAAGCCUCUACUGGACUAGGCCCAAAGCAAGUUGAAGGAGUUCCAGCACAUUUCCUUGGCCCAUUGCACCAGAAACGCCAACAGGUCUACAGAUUGGCUUGCCAAAGCAUGUCGCUUAAAUUAUCUUCCCUCUAAUUGGUUGUUUAAUCCCCCGCCUGCUCUACUAGACCUUUUAAGCACCAAUGCUUUUGAUGUAUUUCCUCAAAACUUUAUGAAGUAAAUCUAGUAAUUGCAUUUCAGAUCAAAAAAAAUUACAAGGUUUCAAUCCUAAUUUUAGAUUUCCAUCUAGGUAAUCUUUAGUUUGGAAAGGGUCUAUAAAAUCUCUAUGUUCAUCACAUAAGAUUAGAUAUCAAUUUGGAGGCCGAUGUGGUCCUAGAACGAUGAUGCCAUUGCAACCUAUGGGAGCCCCCUCAAGGGUGGUCGGCCCUGUCUAUCUGCCCCAUUCGCCACUCGUGCAUGGAUCGUCAAAGGCUCAGCAUCGACCUGUAUUGGUGCAUGCCUGUCGUAAUUUGCCACGUGGCGCAUGGAGCUACACUACGACGUCUCGCGAAGUCUACGUUAAUCAAGUAGCAAGAGUACCCGCCCAAUUCUUAUUUGAUUGAAUAUGACUCAAUCUGGCUUGUCUCUACCAAUCGAAGGUCAUUGUCCUGGCUGACAUGAACAAUGACGUCAAUAUUUAAAAAGAAAAUUUGUAAUACCAUAAUAAUAUAUUCAUUUAAUAUAAGUUUUUAAAUCUAAUGACUCAAUAUAAUUAAGGUAGAAGUACAACACAAGUCUCAAAACUUAGCAUAGGGGCUUAAGUGCCAAAAGUUCCAAAAAGUACAUUUAAGUACCAUUUUUUUAAAAAAAGAAAAACCAAAACAAUGUCGUUUUGCCUCUUAUUUAAUUAAAUUAAAUUAAAAAUUAAAUUAUUAAAAAAGAAAAAAGAAAAAAAAAGGGAAUUGCAUCAAGUAGCCCUCAUCGCUGCCGCCCCAUUAUCGCUGGAAUGGGCCGGUGACAAUGGGGGGAGAGUCUGCCGAGGUCGCCUAGCCCCCCACUACUGUCGGUCCUUCCUAGCGAUGGUGGGGCAGCAAGGGCGAGAGUUGCACAGCACUUGCGAAACAUGUUGCAAUCCCCCCCCCCCCUUUUUUUUUUCCUUUUUUGUCUUUUUUUUUUAAAAAUUAUUUUUAAAUUUAGUUUGAUUAAUAUUUAUAUUAAAUUCAAAUCUGAUGCAAAAUGACGUCGUUUUUUGCUUAUCUAACCACAUUAGCGUGCAAAACGUCAUUUUUGGCUUAUAUAGUCAGGUUAGCAUGCAAAAUGAUAUUGUUUUCUACUUGUUUUGCUAGAAAAACGCCACAUCAAUAUUUUUGCUAGAUUUUCUCGCCAUUGGCACUUAAUUGAUCAAUUUUGCUCCGAUUUUGAUACUUAAGUGUACAUUUUUGAAAUUUUGGCACUAGUGUCUUCCUGUGUUAAGUUUUGAUACUUCAGAUGUCCGCGCCUCUAUAAUUAAUGGUUGUGCUUGUUUGUGUUCUCAAACCCAUGUGAGUCUUGUCCACUUCGGCGUAGAAAACCUCAAAAAUUGUUCAUUUGAUAAUACUAGGGUGCACAUGUGUAGGUGUUGCGGUAACUGUUAGCCCAUGGGAUGCGCUUACUUGUAAAAUGAGAAUAUUAGUUAUAUAAUAAUCUUGUGUUCACUAUCACGUUUGACAAUUCCCUGUGCUCAGGUAUGCAAAGGUUGAUGAAUUUAGAUUUCUACAAGUUCUGAUUACUAUUGAAGAGUUUUCAUUGACCAAAUACCACGUUCAUGCAACACGAUAAUAAUUAAUAAAAAAAACCGAUCACGUUUGUAGCCUGUAGGGACUUGCCCAUUUCACGAGUAAACAUGAAUUUGAUACGAACCUUAGAAUGAUGCAUGGACCCAUCUUAUGUUAAAUAAUUGACAUCGAUAUGCUAUUGAUUAUAGCUAGGGAAGCUUUUGACUUGAAUCGGACAACUAAGGAUUUUUCUUAGAUCCGCCAUUUUUGUAACUACAUCUAAACAAAGACUUUUUGAUUGGCAUGAUAUGUGACGAUUUCACACACAAAAAAUCAUUGAGUAUAGCCAUAAAGCGAAGUUCUUCAUGAACAUUUGUCUACACAAAGAUGGAUUCGGAUAAUGCAAAAUUGGACCAAACAUUCAAUUAGAGAGUGAUAUAGCCAGAAGAAAGCUAGAGAAUCUAGUACAGCACCUCACUUUCUUUUUCAAUGUAAUUGAUCCAAUGACUUAUACAUAUGUCGUUUGUUAUCCCCAUAAGAUUUGUGGGUAGAUGCAAUGAAAUAUGAGAUGUAAUCUAUGAAUUAUCCUGGUGUUUGUGAGCUUAUUGAAUUGUCUGAAAGUUAUAAGUCCAUCGGCUGCAAAUGGGCAUAUAAGACUAAAAAGAGACUAAAAAAAAGAUUGAGAAGUUUAAAGUCAAACUAAUAGCCAAGAGUUUUACUCAAGAAAAGAAUAAGCUAUGAAUGAACUUUUUCCUCGUUCUUUUCUAAAGAUUCUUUUAAAGUAAUCAUGGCAUUAGUAUCUCAUAUUGAUAUGUAGUUACAAUAGAUGUAUAUUUAAAAAAAUGGAUACCAAGAUGAGGAGGUCUAUAUGGUGCAAACCGAAGGCUUUGCAACAAAUAAUUCAAGUAGACUUAUAUGUAUAUUGAUAAAGUAUAUUUAUGACCUCAAGCAAGCUUCUAGACAAUGGUACUUGAAGGUUCAUUAUGUUGUCACUUCAUUUAGUUUUGUUGAGAACAAAGUAGAUUAGUGUAUAUACUACAAAGCCAAUGGAAUGAAAUUCAUUUUUCUCAUACUUUAUGUAGAUGAUAUCUUGCUUGCGGGCAGUGAUAUUGGAUUACUACAUGAGACAAAGCGGAUCAUGUUGAAAAAAAUUUGAAAUGAAGGAUUUUGAUGAUACAUCUUUUGUCCUUGACAUUCAGAUCCGUACGGAUCGUUCUCGCCGUAUGUUGGGAUUGUCAUAGAGGGUAUAUGUUAAUCGUAUUUUGGAAAGAUUUUGUAAUUUUUUUUUUUUUUGGUAAGUAUCACUCCAGAGGGUAAGUUUGGAAAAGAUUUUGUUUGUAGCAUUGUAAGUCAAAAAUUGCCUAUGUCAUUAAGGGUGAUAAAAUGAAUCUCUCACAAUGUCCUCAUUCAAAUUUUGAAAAAUCCCAAAUGAAUGAUGUACUUCAUGCUAGGAUACUUGGAAAUAUCACGUAUGCUUAAGUUUGCAUUGGAUCAAACAUUGCUUUUGCGAUAUGACUUCUGAGCUAAUAUCAAUCAAAUUGCUGCCAAGAAGGUUUUAAGAUACCUAAGAAGGACAAGAAACUAUAUGCUGAUUUACAAACACGUUCAAGAUUUGCAUUUAGUAAGCUAUUCAGAUGUAGACUUUGCUAGCUAUUUGGAUAAUUUGAAGUCGACAAUAGGAUAUAUCUUUAAGUUAGCAAGAGUUACAAUGUUAUAAAUAAGAAAGAAACAGAAAUCUAUGUCAUCCUCAACCAUGCAAGUGGAGUUGGUAGCAUACUUUUCGAUUGCUACUAAGGCUAUUUGAUUCCAAAACCUUAUUAGGGAGUUGGCCAUAUUUGAUUUUAUGAAUAGACUUAUAUAAUUGUAUUGUAAUAAUAAUUGUGCAUUGUUGUUUAUCAACAACGACAACAGAUGUCUUAAGGUAUCUAAGCAUAUGGUGGUUAAGUUUUUGAAUAGUUUAGAAUGUUGGUGCUACAGUAGAGCAUAAGCCCAUCACAUGCAUGCCAAUGAGCCUUCGUGACUUUGCUCCAGUUUCACUGUUCAAAUUGUUGCACGAUGAAGGGAAAAGCAUGUGAGCAUUUGAGAUCCUGAUCAAUUGAGUCCCGGUCGAGAGAGGGAUUUUGCGGCGUCUUUUCUUGGUUUCUCAUUUCAGAUGGGGACCCUUUGAUUUAUUACGUUUAACUAAAACGUGGAGGCAUUAGAGACGAUGAGAAAAGGGCCCUCCAAUCAUUAUUAUCUUGUCUAUUAUUUUCCUUAUAUUUUGCACAUUUUUCCUUAUCUCCGCAAGUAACAUUUUGCACGAAAACUAGGGGGGAUGAACAUCGAAACAUUGUUAGGUGAGCUCAUGAUAUGGGAUGGACAGGUGGAUUGUUAUUAGAUGCAUGGAAUGCUCGAGCCCUUCAAUUGAUGUAAUCUCCAUUCACGCAUGGUGGGUUUUUCCGUCCGCCUAAAUCGUGAUGUCUGAGCAUAGCUCCUGAGUCAUUACAUAUGUGUUAGGAGGAACUGUAAAAUUUUGUUGGCCGUCGCCUAAGUUUUUUUUUUUUUUUAAUCAAAAUCGUCUAAGUUUAAGUUGUUAAAUGAAUGCGCAAUCUAAUAAAUAAAUAUGUUAUACUCCCUCUUCCGCAUAAGCUAGACUUUGAUAUAAGAUUUAGAAAGUGAGCACCAUUUUAAUAUAAAAAUACUAAAUCUCCAUCUCAUGCAUAAACUAGCUGUUUUGGACUUAUAAAUUAGUCAUUAGUUGCAAAAUCAACAGGUUGGAUUCUCAAUUCUAAUCUUUUGUAACCAAUGUUCAUGGGGUUGAUUUCUAAUUUGAUGUAUGAAACCAAUCACCCAUACUAACAUUAAAGCUUGUGACCAAGAAUUGACUCAACUUGGUUUCGAUUGCCCCUACUAAAAUGGGAGAAUUACCAAAAAAGUCAUAAACCUAUUGUAAUUGUGCCAAUUCAAUCCUAAACUUUUUUUUUGGGCAAUUUAGUCCUAAACCUUUUACAAUUAUGCCAAUUCCGUCCAUCCGGUCAAAAUUGGCCGGCCGACGCUGACGUAGACGCCGGCCGUCCGGCGAACGCUGACGUGGCAUUUAAAAAAAAAAUCUAAAUUUUUAAUAUUUUUUUCGAAAUUUUUAAUAUUUUUCGAAUUUUUUUAUUCUUUAUUCCUUUUUUUUCCCACCAUCUUCUUUGCCUCUUGGCCGGCCGGCACCGGCUAGAGGCGAGGGCUGGUGAGGUAAGCCUCGCCGGCCACUGGCGAGGGCGAGGCCCUGCCAGAUCCGGCGAGGGCGAGGCCCUGCCAGAUCCGGCGAGCUCGGCCCUCGCCAGAUUCGGUAGGGCCUUGCCCAGCCAAGGCGAGGGUUGACCUCGCCAGUGGCCGGCGAGGCGACCUCGCCCACCAUCCACAAUGCGGCAGCGAUCAGAAGCCGCGAGCUCGCUCGCACUCCGGAGGCGCAAUCGCAAGGCACGGAUUUAGGUGGAGAGAGAGAAUGGUUCCGAGCGAGUGGCGAGGCGACCUCCUCAACCGGAGAAUCUUCGGGUGACUAUCCCUCUCUCUCUCUCUCUCUCUCUCUCUCUCUCUCUCUCUCUCUCUCUCUCUCUCUCUCUCUCUCGUUCGAAGUGACCGAGCGGCGGUGACGUAGCAGAUGGCGACGGGGCACGCGGUGCGGUUGCAGUAAGCGCGGAGUACGCUCGGCCAAUUGUGACAGAGACGUGGUGGCCGAUAGGGUUUCGAGGGAAGACAACGGCGACGACUCGUCGAGCAGCAGCUUGUCACCUAUUCGUAGCGAGGGUAUGGCACGGCGGCGUUGCUGGUCAGCGAGAUGGCGUCAAUUGCUGCGACGGCGACAGACAGUAGGGAUUUGUCUCUAGGACAAUGUCGGGGCUACACUGAAGCAGAUGCUGGCGAGCGAUAGUGACGCGGUGGAGAUCUGGUGCAACGAUGGCGUCGGGGGGUUCGGGCAGCGUCAACAGCACCUCCUUCCUUCUCGGAUCUAACCCCCUUCUCUAGUUUCUCUUCCUCUCUCCGGCCCCUCUUCGCAGAUCUAGAACUCCCUUGCCCAAAAUUCCUACCCUCUGGCUAGAUUUGAGAUCUCUGCCUCGCCCUCGCCAAUGGUCGGCGAGGCUGACCUCACCAGAUUUGGCGGGGUCUCGCCCUCGCCAGUGGCCGGCCAGGUUGACCUCGCCGGCCUUCACCUCCAGCAGGUAGGGGCGAGCCUUGCCAUUGGCCGGCGAGGCUGACCUCGCCAACCCUCGCCUCUGGCCGGCCGAAGAAGAUGAUAGGAAAAAAAUAAAAAUAAAAGAAAUAUAAAAUUCGAAAAAAAAAAUUAAUUUUUUUUAAAUGCCACAUCAGCAUUCGCCGGACGGCCGGCGUCCACGUCAGCGUCAGCCUGCCAAUUUUGGUCGAAUGGACUGAAUUUGCACAAUUGUAAAAGGUUUAGGACUAAAUUGGCAAAAAAAAAAAAGUUUAAAACUGAAUUGGCACAAUUACAAUAGGUUUAUGACUUUUUUGGUAAUUCUCCCUUACUAAAACUAUAGUGCACAAGUUGGAAUUUUUUUUUUUGUGGGAUCACUAAUUAGUAUUUAAAAAGCAGGGUAUUCACACUAAAUCUCACUAAACAACCUCAUAAGUCUCUGACACCCUUUUGUUGUCUGUGCGCACGGCACCUUCCUUUCCCUUCUCCCAAGGACAACCUUCAAUCACUUAAAUUCAAAUAUGAUGUCACCGCGCAUGUCAAUCAUUAUCAGAAAAGGCUUACAUGCCGUCUAAUUUACUAUAGAGGAUAAUUCAUAUAAUUAUACCACGACAUACAUGAAAAUAAUAUAUAUCUUACUUGACAACUCGUAGAAAAACAUAAAUGAAUAAAUUUGAAAUGAAUAUAAUGCUUCACUGAAUAACUGUACAAAAGUAUUUUGAGCACGGUAUGUCGGUAAUAUCCUCUAAAUCAUUUGACACGUUGCUAGUUUUCUCGUCAUCUAGAAUAGGGUCAAGAAAUACCGAGUCAUCUUACAUUACGAACUCAUGCAACAAUGAUAACUAGAACACGAGCUUUUCCAUCAGCAAUUUAUGUCAUGCUUAUAUAGCGUUGGUUUACUAUAAGAAAUCAAUAGCACGUCGUUCGUCCUUCAUUACGUAUCAGAUUAUCCUCUUACGAACCCUCUUUCUUGCUGGGUUUUCUGCUACUAUAGCUAGAAUCACUUCUUUCACCACAUAAGAUACAGAGACGAUCUUGCAGGCCGACGUGGUCCUGCAACGAUAAUGCCAUCGCAACCUAUGCGAGCCACACAAAAGGUGGUCGGCACUGUUUCUCUCUGCCCCACUCGCCACACGUGCGUGAAACUGCACCCGAUUCUUAUUCGCCCGGUUAUGGUACAAUCUAGCUUGUCUCUGCCAAUCGAAAGGCACCGUCCUAACUGACAUCGGUGAUGACGUCAAAAUUCAAAAAAAGAUUAGUAUACCACAAUAAUAUAUUCAUUGAAUAUAUGUUUUUGAAUCUAAAGCCUCCAUGCAAUCAAUGGUUGCACUUGUUUGUUUCUCGACCCCAUGUGAGUAUUGUCAGCUUAGAAAUAGAAAACCUAGAAAUUGUUCAUUUCAUAAUAUUGGGGAUGCAACUUGUGUGUAGGUGUUGUAGGGUUCUGUCGUGCCUUGUGGUGCACUUACUCGUAAAAUGAGAACAUUAAUCAUAUAAUAAUCUUGUGUUCACAAUCACGUUUGACAAUUAUGUAUUCAUAGAUAUGCAAAGUGUUGGAUGAUUUUGUCAUUUUCUCAUCUCAAAAGUUAGCUUAAAGAAUAAGACUUUUCCUCAUAUUUAUAAAUCGACUGCCAAUUUCUACAAUUGAAAUUCAAAUAAUCUCCUUCUCACAUAUUAGGCCUUAAUUGGAAGCCGCAAUAAUCCGUAACUCCUGGGCUCUAAUAAUGAUAUAAGGUGAUUUUGAGCCUUACUCGUCUCAAAAGUUAACUUAAGGAGUGGAGUUUUUCCUCACAUUUAUAAAUCAACUACUAGCUUUUUGCACAAUCAAUGUGGAAGAACCCCAAUUAAAGGGUGUAAAAAUCAGAUUUCUACAAGUUCAAUUACUAGUGAAGAAAUUUCAUUCCCCAAGUACCAUAAAAACUAAGCGAACAGUUAGCGAUGUGUAUGGGCAUCUUAUGGUGAAUAAUCAGCAUUGGUUCACUAUUGAUUGAAGCUACUGAACUUUCGACUUGAAACGGAAUAAUAAGGAAUUUUUUUCAAAUCCACAAUUAUUGGAAAAUGAACCUACGUGAACACUUUUUGGAUUGGCAUAAUAUGUGACAUUUUCACGCAUAAAAAAUAGGUUGAGUUCAAGCAUAAAGCGAAGUUAACAUUUAUCUAAAAGAAGGAUUCGCACAAUGCAAAAUUGGACUAAACGUUGGAUUAAAGAGUGAUAUGGGUAGUAGAAAGCACAAGAGUCCAGAAUAGCACCUCACUUUCUUAUUCAAUGUGCUGUUUCAUAUGCCCCGUCCGACUAAUUCAAUCAGUAGUUGGAAAGCCCAAGUGGGGCCCUAUCAAAAUCACGGUCGACCUAAGAAGUUUACUGAAAGAAAAAUCCAAAUACCGAGUGACGUGCUUGCUGACGACGACAAUAAUCUCAAAACCCCUAUAAAUUGAGACGCUCCCUUCACUCCAGUCCCACAGCAUUGGCUCUCUCUCACACAUCCUCUUCUCUGAUACUAGGGACACAAUGUCUUCCAGGUACUUGCUAGUUUUGCUCCUGGGAGCGGUGCUUUCCGCCGCUGCCGUCGUCUCCGACGGCCACCACCCUUUAAAAAAAGAGCAUAAACCACACCACAAGCACCACCACAAACUGACCAAAAAAAAAGCACCACCACAAGCACCACCCUGGUGGUUGCCGUCUCAUGGAGACCGUCGAAGCCGAGGACUCGCACAAGCCAUUCCCUAAACACAAGCCCCCACACCACGAUCACCCUCUCGAGGACAUUCUUGUCGAGGAGGUUGAAAAGGAAGACUCCCACAAAAAGCCAUUCCCCGGCAAGAAACCGCCCCACCACCCCGGCCAUUUGCUUGCCGAGGAAGUGGAAGCUGAUGAAAAAAAGAAGCCAUUCCCCGAGCACAAACCCCCAAAGAAAGGCAACAAGCCACCACCGAAGAACAAGCCACUCCACGAGGGACACAUUCUUGUAGAGGAGGUGGAAGAGGACUCGAAGAAGCCAUUCCCUGAGCACAAGCCCCCCAAGAAAGGUGAGGAGCCCAAGAAGGGAAAGGGAGAGAAGCCGCCACCAAAGCACAAGCCACCACACGAGGGACACAUUCUCAUAGAAGAGGUGGAAGAGGACUCUAAGUAGCCAUUCCCUGAGCACAAGCUGCCAAAGAAAGGCAAGGAGCCAAAGAAGGGAAAGGGAGAGAAGUCGCCACCAGAGCACAAGCCACCACACGAGGGACACAUUCUCAUAGAAGAGGUCGAAGAGGACUCUAAGAAGCCAUUCCCUAACCACAAGCCGCCAAGGAAAGGCGAGGAGCCAAAGAAGGGAAAGGGAGAGAAGCCGCCACCAAAGCACAAGCCACCACAUGAGGGACACAUUCUCAUAGAAGAGUUUGAAGAGGAUUCUAAGAAGCUAUUCCCUGAGCACAAGCUGCCAAAGAAAGUCAAGGAGCCAAAGAAGGGAUGUCGCGACCAAUUUUUUUGGGUUUGAACUACCUAGGGUUUGGUUAAUGGAUUGUUAAGCCUAGACUUAACUUGGGCUCUCCCAAGCCCAUAUCAAUUCGCGACUUAGGUUUGAAUUGUUAACAUGCAAUUUUUUUAAUUAGGAGUCGCCACUAAUCUAUUUUUGAUGGGUCGAUUAGAAACCCUAGUAAAGUAACGGGAGAUUUACUUUACUCCUACAAACCAGAGACUAAGGGUACGGGGACUUGGUUACGUUAGAUUUCUCUAACGCCCUUUCGGUACCUUUCUUUUUAUUUUGAAAAAUGUUUGGCAAGCAGCUCGAAUUGAUUUUAAAUUAUCUUCCUAACAUGUGAGGUGCUCAUGCAGGUGCGUAAACCACCAAUUUAACACCCAAGAAAACAAUUAAAUAAUGCAGGACUUACCUCCAAAGCUACGAAAGCAUCUGCAAUAUUAAAUUAAAAUCCAUAUCAACAACCCUAGAUAUGGUUUCUAAUUAACAAGCAAUUACUCAAUUUUUGUUUCCUCUUUUUCAAUGAAAAUAUAGUCCAUAUGCAAUGCAAUGCUUCUAAUCUAAUAUGAAAUGAUAUGGCAUGGCAAUAUGUCAUAAACUAUACGAAUGAAUAAGAAUUUUUGUGAUUUCUUAAUGAACAUGCAAUAAUUAAAUAUGCAAUCUAGAUGACUUAAUUCUAAUGACGUGCAAUGCAAUGCAAUGCAAUGACGUACAAAAUUAUUUCAACUAAAAUGACGUGCAAUGCAAUGCAAUGACGUACAAAAUUAUUUCAACUAAAAUGACAUGCAACAUGCAAUUUAAUAUGCGAGGUAUAUGUCAGGCGACAUUUAUUAAAUUACAUAAUCUAAUUAUGGGCAAUUUCUAAUUAGAAAUGAACCUAACAAUAAUCACUAAAAUGACAUGCAUUUCAUGAACCUAAUUCUAUAUGACAUGCAAAUGACAUUUUUUUUAUUUUAAAAAUGCAAUCUAUCCUAGAAAUUGCAACUAAUUUAACCUAAGACAAAUUUUAUGAAAUUUGAAAUGAUCUAGCUAGAUUAAUAUUCUAUCUAAUUUAAACUAGGGAUUAAGUCAUAUUAAAUCCUAAUUUAAACUAAGACAUUAUCUAAAUCUAAAAUGCAAUUUAUCUGAAAAAGGUGAUAUAAAUUUAAAAUGAAACAUGCAAUUCUAAUCUAAUAUGCACAAUGAUUUUUUUUUGUGUUUUUCUUUAAUCUCGAAAUUAAAACUAACACAUAAUUAACAUGCAAUUCAAAUAAAAAACUAACAACCUAAAUGAAUGCACUUUCUUUUUUUGGAUUUUUUUAUUUAAAAAUUCAUAAUAAGAUUGCAAUCCUAAAUAUGCAAGAUGACAACAAACAUAAUCCUAAUUAAGAUUUUUUUUUAUUUUUUAUUUUUAUGAAAAUAAGAUUUGACUCAACCAACUUGACGAUAGCAAAUCAAACAAAAGAUAAGAUUGAUAUCCAAAAAUUAGCGAAUUAUAUCUCGCGCAUGAGAUCGGGUUGACCAAUUUUAAUUUUAAAUCGUGAAUCAAAUCUCGGGCUUGAGAUUGGAUUGUCGAUUUUUAUAAGGGAUUGCGAGUCGGAUUUCGGGCGCGAAAAUCGGACUGUCAAUCCCUAACUUGAGGGACUAUUUCAUAUUGGGAUCUCAAUCACAUAUUUAAAGGGAACAAUUUCACUAAAAGAAUAAAAUAAAAAGGAAAGAAAAAGAAAACGGUAAGUAAAUAAAUAAAUAAAAACUACCUAAUUUUCCUUUUUCCUUUUUUUUUCUUUUCCUUCCAAGCUUCGUGUUCGUGGCAAGUCACCAAAGCAAAGGAUCGGAGGUCCGGCAGGGGAAACUCCGGCAAAGGCAGUGGCUGUGUGGUGGGUCACCGUCAUAGGAAGUCACGGUGGUCGGAGCUCCGGCGAAGGGACUCGGUGGCUGGUGGACACAGCUGCAGCAGCUGGUCACGGGUGCUACAACGGCGUCGCUCGGAUGGGGAGCAAGCUCGGAACGGCGUGCAGGGGCGGAGACCGACUCGGCGGAGGGCUGCUACAGGCGUCGUAGGUCGUCGCAAGGACUUGGGUGGCAGCAGGCCACCGGGAUCGCGAGAUCUGGAUAGUGGGCCACGAGCAGAGGACUUCGGGUCGCGGCACGGUAGAGCAACUCAGGUGUCAGCACUUGGGCAGCAAGAGCGUCGGAUCGCUAGACCUCGGGGCAACGUCGUCAGGCUUCAAUGGGGCCAGCGGCGAAGCUUCAGGUGCUGGGCUAGGCGAAAGCAGCAAGGUGCAGGCGGUGGGCGGACGAACGGCGAUGGUGUUGCGGGCAAGGCCGGCAGGGCGACGGAUCGACGCUGGGUCGCCGGUGAGGUGUAGCUCCGUUGCUGGGGUUGAACAGCGAGGCGGGAGCAGCGUGUUUGAAGAAGAGCCAGCCGGUUAAUUGCAGAGGUGGGGCAGCGAAUUUGGGAAGACAAUGAACAGUAAGGGUCAAAUCACUCCCUCUUUGUCUCUGUCUUCUCUCUCUGCCUUUUCUUUUUACCUUUUUUUCUCUCUCUUUUUUUCGACGAAGAGAAUCCCCUCCUAUUUAUAGAGUGAAAACCCAAUCUGUUCUACCUACGAAGAUUUGCAUAACAACCCAAUCGCUGAGGAUUACCCUUCGAAAAAACGAGAUGUGCUCAACCAAAAAGAGGUUCAAAAAUCUAAAAUCAUCUAUUAAAAUCUUCUAAGCUGACUCACUUGAUCAUUGAAGAUUUUAUAUACUGACUCAGCGAUUGAAGAUAAUCUGAAAUUUUUUGUGAAUAUUUUCCAGAUAAUUUAUUCAAGAUAAAGCUUCAUUAUCCAACUCUAAAAUCUUCCAAAAUGUCUAUCCGCAACAAAAUAUUUUAGAUUAUUCCUUAUCCUCUUUAACAUUCCCAACGAUUUUACCACCAAAAGACUAAAGAUAAGAUUGCGAUAUGAUUUUUUUAAAUAUCAAAAACCACCAUAAUAUCGCAUCAAAUCUCAAUUUUCCACGAUAUAAUUUUCAAUAAAAAACAUGGGUUUGGGCCAACUUGCUCACUUUGUGGGCUUAGUCCAACUAAUUUGAACCCAUCCGCACCGACCCAAUAGAUAAAAUGCAAAAUUAAAAACAAAUGCACCUAAAUCUAUAUGCUAUGCAAUUAAUAUUUUUUUAGGGGUUAAAAUUAAUCCAUAAUUUCUUAAUGCGACAAACGACUGAAUUGGGUAGCCAAAAUUUAGGUGUCAACAAGGGAAAGGGAGAGAAGCCGCCACCAAAGCACAAGCCACCACAUGAGGGAUACAUUCUCAUAGAGGAGGUCGAAGAGGACUCUAAGAAGCCAUUCCCUGAGCACAAGCCGCCAAAGAAAGGCGAGGAGCCAAAGAAGGGAAAGGGAGAGAAGCCGCCACCAAAGCACAAGCCACCACACGAGGGACACAUUCUCAUAGAGGAGGUCGAAGAGGACUCUAAGAAGCCAUUCCCUGAGUACAAGCCGCCGAAGAAAGGCGAUGAGCUAAAGAAGGGAAAGGGAGAGAAGCCACCCCGAAAGCACAAGCCACCAAAGAAAGGUGAGGAGCCAAAGAUGGGAAAGGGAGAGAAGCCACCCCACAAGGGACACAUUCUCGUAUAGGAGGUGGAAGAGGACUCAAAGAAGCCGCUUCUUAAGCACAAGCCGCCCAAGAAAGGUGAGGAGCCGAAGAAGGGCAAGGGAGAAAAGCCACCACCAAAACACAAGCCACCACACGAGGGACAUUCUAGUAGAGGAGGUGGAAGAGGACUCAAAGAAGCCUUUCCCCAAACACAAGCCGCCGAAGAAAGGCGAGGAGCCAAAGAAGGGCAAGGGUGUGAAGCCGCCACACCACAAGCCACCACACAAGCCUCCCACCGAGAACUGAUUAUGCAUUCUUCAAUGAAUGUAUAUGUCGUGUGCUUUUCACGGGUUCAAAUAGGAGCUGGUCCAUAGUGUCUGACACUACCGUGUUAGCUGGUUCGCUGUUUGUGCUCCAUGGGGAUAUAAAAUGUAUGUACUUUGCUUGGUCAUGUCCUUUGACUUUGCCUACGUUGAUAUAUGCUGAGUACUUGCUAGCCAUGAGCUUUCCUUUCUAAUUAUGCCUUUAAUUAGUAACUUACGAAUUAUGGACAUUGUCCCCUUGCAAUCUUAAGUAAAAAUAAAUAUGGGGUUUAUCCAUAAUUUUAAAUCAGAAAAUUGGUUGACCAAAGCUUCUUCUAAUCAAAGUUGGAGGAAGACAUGGCCCUUCUUUGUAGGUUUUUAAUAUGAUCUAGUUAUUCUAACGCCUAUUAAUUACAACUUUCCACACCAUCCAACGUAUUAAUUUUGUAGAUUACCCUUGAUAUAUCUAACAUUAUUGGCCCAAAUACUAGUAUCAUGACACAAUAGUGAAGGUAUUUAUUGAGAUGAUUUACACACAUAGGUUGAAUCAUAAUGAUUUUCACCCCCCCUCAAAAACUCAAAUCAUAGAUUGAAAGAGUGAUGCAUGGAACCACUAAAGUUUACCCCAGUAGCCACCCUUCCAACAUGGAAGAGGGAGGUGGGGUGUUCGAAUCCCCACAUUCUCGAGGGGUUGGGGUGGGGAUGGUUUAUUUUCAGGUAUAGGUUUCAACUCCCAUGCUCUGUAAGGAGGUAGGACAAAAGUCUCAAAAUGAGAGUUAGUAGGAAUAGAGUAAGACCGACAAAAAAAAAGAAGAAAAAAAAAGAGUGAUGCAUGGAAGCAUGCAUGCAUUUAUUGAUUUUGCAUAUUGCUAUAUGAACUUGUUAUCCCUCUCUUUGCACUUCACCAUCCAAUUAUUUUCUUGAUCCUUCACGGGGAAUUUACAAGGGCAAAAUUACCAAACAAGUCCAAAACCUAUUGUGCUUGUAUAAAUUCAUUCCUAAGUAUUUUAAUCAUGUCAAUUUAGUCCUAAAUAUUUUCACAAUUUGCCAAUUUAUUCAUAAACUCUUUGUCAAUUUAGUCAUUUUAGCUAAUUUUGGCUCGAAAAACACUGACGCGGGUCUAGUCAGCGUCAACCAUCUACUACUACUAUUUGCUUGUUUUUGUGGCCCUUGCCUAUGGCCAACAAUGGUUGGCUAGUGACCUCCAUGCCCUUGCUAGCUAAGAGUUGGAAAAAAAAGGUAAAGAAAAAAGAAUACAAAAUUCAGAAAAAAUUAUCCACAUAAGCUUUUUUUUCAGCAACAAUUAGUUGAAAUAACUAAAUUGACAAUUCGUCCAAAGGUUUAAGACUAAAUUGAUAUAAUUAAAAUAUUUAGACUGAUUGGCAAAUUGUCAAAAAAUUUAUAACUAAAUUGGCCAAGUUAAAAACUUAGGACCGAAUUAGCACAAGUAUGAUGGAUUCAGAAUUUUUUUUUUUUUUUUUGUUGAUAUUUUCCAAUUUACAAGUUAACAUAGAACACUCUCAUUUUAUCGUGAACUUGUUUAAUCCGAUCGUGAUAUAGUUGAGGAACUUCAUGAAUAACAGGUUUCUCACUAUACUUAAUUGCAUAGGAUACUAAAAAAUAAUCAUGUUAGAAAGACCUGGACGUGUGGUUAGUAUUGGAUGUGGUGUCGGCGAAUAUAUUAUCUUCAUAAAACUGAUAUGCCUAACCGACCUAAGUUUCAUACUUGGAAACAAUGAUUAUAUGUCAAGAAAGCGAUGGUAUGGGAGACUCCAGAAACACGAUAAGAAGAUGCGUCCUAAUUAUGCCAAACAUGAUUGCUAGAAUGACGAAGCCCGUCACAUGCUCCAGUUUCACUGUUCAAAUUGUUGCACGAUGAAGGGAACAGCAUGUGAGCAUUUGAGAUCCUGAUCAGUUGGGUCCCGGUUGAGAGAGGGAUUUUGCGGCGUCUUUUCUUGGUUUCCCAUUUCAGAUGGGGACCCUUUGAUUUAGUACGUUUAACUAAAACGUGGAGGCAUUAGAGACGAUGAAAAAAGGGCCCUCCACUCAUUAUUAUCUUGUCUAUUAUUUUCCUUAUAUUUUGCACAUUUUUCCUUAUCUCCGCAAGCAACAUUUUGCACGAAAACUAGGGGGGAGGGGGGGAUGAACAUUGAAACAUUGUUAGGUGAGCUCAUGAUAUGGGAUGGAUAGGUGGAUUUUUAUUAGAUGCAUUGGAUGCUCGAGCCCUUCGGUUUAUGUAAUCUCCAUUCACGCGUGCUGGGGUUUUUCGUCCACCUAAAUCGUGAUGCGUGAGCAUGGCUCCUGAGUCAUUAUAUAUGUGUUUGGAGGCACUGUAAAUUUUUUGUCAACCAUCACCUAAGUUUUUUUCUGAUCAAAAUCACAUAAGUUUAAGUUGUUAAAUGAAUGCGCAAUCUAUUAAAUAAAUACUGUUAUACUCCCUCUUGCGCAUAAGCUAGACUUUGAUAUAAAAUCUAGAAAGUAAGCACCAUUUUAAUAUAAAAAUACUUUAAAUCUCCAUCGCAUGCAUAAACAACCUGUUUUGGAUUUAUGGAUUAGUUAUUAGUUGCAAAACCAACAGGUUCGGUUCUCAAUUCCAAUCUUCCGUAACCAAUGUUCAUGGGGUUGGUUUCUAAUUUGAUGUAUGAAACCAAUCGCUCAUACUAGCAUUAAAGCUUGUGAUCAAGAACUGAGUCAACUUGGUUUCGAGUGCCCCCGCUAAAACCAAAGCACAUAAAUUGAAAAUAUAUAUUAAGCAAAUUUUUCGUGGGAUCACUAAUAAGUAUUUAAAAAGCUUAAAUCUGUUAUUUAAUAUCUCAAGCAUGGUUUUCACACUAAAUCUCACUAAACAACCUUAUAAGUCUCCGACACCCUUUUGGUGUGUGCGCGCACGGCAUCUUCCUUUCCCUUCUCCCAAGGACAACCUGCAAUUACUUAAAUUCAAAUAUGAUGUCACCAAGCAUGUCAGCCACGACAGCGACUUCACCGGAUCGUGCGCCGGAAUGAAUAAAGACCCGACAGAGAGACAGACAGAGAAACGGGUGGAUCCGAUCGGAAGGCUACAGGGUUUACGAUCGUUGAUCGCGAUUUUGGUGGCAAAAGCCUGUGUGAAAGGUCGAAAAGGUGGACAUUUCGCCCCGUUGAGAUUAGUUACGAUAAAAUCUUCUUUUGAGUCGAACAGCCCCGACAUCGGUGCUGCGUAUUUUACCUGGAUUUCAGUCUCGAUUCUGCUGAGAAAGACGUAGAGUAGACUAGACCCAGGCUCUUGACACCUCAUCCCCGGCAUCCUUCCGUUUUUCUGUGGUUUCCGUGAUCAUGUCAAACUUCUUCAUCCUUGCACUACGACUAGCCUAAGCAAAUUUCUGUCUAUUCUCGUUAUCAGUCUUUUCGUGUUUCUUGACUUCAAUAUUUUAAAAAUUAAGCCGCGGCAUCUCUAUCGUGUUCGGCAAGUAACUUUGAAUUUCUCAUAUAAAAUCAACACGUGAAGUGAUAAUUUUAGUUGAGCCAUGGUAUCAGUGAGAGUUGAUUGGUUGACUAAAUUGGAUGAAAACAUCAAGGUUUCGCUCUUUAAUAGAGUGCCCAUUGAGUUGCUUGGAGUGCCCAUUGAGUUGCUUAGUAUAUAGUUUCUUAUCUUCAUUUUUUGUCAUUUAGUUUAGGAUUUCUACCCAUUUUUUGUUAAUAAAAAAACAUAAAGCAUAAGAAAGAGGACUCAAAGUUUCCCAAUGUACAUUAUUUUUAAUAAUUAUACGGUUCAUUGAAACUUUUGGCUCUGAAUACUUUGCACGGAUUUGCGUAGAUUGCCCUGUCUAGAUAUUUACGUCUAUCAGAAAAAGCUUACAUGCCGUCUAAUUUACUGUAGAGAAUAAUUUAUAUAAUUAUACCAGGACAUACAUGAAAAUAAUACAUAUCUUACUCAACAGCUCUUAGAAGAACAUAAGUGAAUCGGUUUGAAACAAAUCUAAUGCUUCACUGAACAAUUGUACAAAAGUAAUUUAAGUAUGGUAUGUCAGUAAUAUCCUCUAAAUCAUUUGACACGUUGCUAGUUUUCUCAUCAUCCAGAAUAGGGUUAAGAAGUACCUAGUCAUCUCACAUUACGAACUCAUGCCACAAUGAUAACUAGAACACGAGCUUUUCCAUUAGCAAUUUAUGUCAUGCUUAUAUAGCAUUGGUUUACUAUAAGAAAUCAAUAGCACGUCGUUUGUCUUUCAUUACGUAUCAAAUUAUCCUCUUAGGAACCCUCUUUCUUGCUGGGUGUUCUGCUACUAUAGCUAGAAUCACUCUUUUCACCACAUAAGAUACAGAGACGAUCUUGCAGGCCGACGUGGUCCUGCAACGAUAAUGCCAUCGCGACCUAUGGGAGCCACACAAAAGGUGGUCGGCACUGUUUCUCUCUGCCCCACUCGCCACAUGUGCGUGAAACUGCACCCGAUUCUUAUUCGCCCGGUUAUGGCACAAUCUAGCUUGUCUCUGCCAAUCGAAGGGCACCGUCCUAACUGACAUCGGCGGUGACGUCAAAAUUAGAAAAUAAUUAGUAAUACCACAAUAAUAUAUUCAUUGAAUAUAUGUUUUUGAAUCUAAAGCCUCCAUGCAAUUAAUGGUUGCACUUGUUUGUUUCUCGACCCCAUGUGAGUAUUGUCAGCUUAGCAAUAGAAAACCUAGAAAUUGUUCAUUUCAUAAUAUUUGGGGUGCAACUUGUGUGUAGGUGUUGUAGGGUUCUGUCGUGCCUUGUGGUGCGCUUACUCGUAAAAUGAGAACAUUAAUCAUAUAAUAAUCUUGUGUUCACAAUCACGUUUGACAAUUCCCUAUUCGUAGGUAUGCAAAGUAUUGGAUGAUUUUGUCAUUUUCUCAUCUCAAAAGUUAGCUUAAAGAAUGAGACUUUUACUCAUAUUUAUAAAUCGACUGCCAACUUCUAUAAUCGAAAUUCAAAUAAUCUUCUUCUCAUAAAUUGGGCCUUGACUGGAAGCCGCAAUAAUCUAUAACUCAACCUGGGCUCUAAUAAUAAUAUCAGGUGAUUUCGAGCCUUACUCAUCCCAAAAGUUAACUUAAGGAGUGGAGUUUUUCCUCACAUUUAUAAACCAACUACUAGCUUUUUGCACAAUCAAUGUGGAAGAACCCCAAUUAAAGGGUGUAAAAAUUAGAUUUCUACAAGUUCAAUUACUAGUGAAGAAAUUUCAUUGCCCAAGUACCAUAAAAACUAAGCGAAGAGUUAGCGAUGUGUAUGGGCGUCUUAUGGUGAAUAAUCAGCAUUGGCGCUAUUGAUUGAAGCUACUGAACUUUCGACUUGAAUCGGAAUAAUAAGGAAUUUUUUUCAAAUCCACAAUUAUUGGAAAAUGAACCUACGUGAACACUUUUUGGAUUGGCAUAGUAUGUGACAUUUUCACGCAUAAAAAAUAGGUUGAGUUCAAGCAUAAAGCGAAGUUAACAUUUAUCUAAAAGAAGGAUUCGCACAAUGCAAAAUUGGACUAAACGUUGGAUUAAAGAGUGAUAUGGGUAGUAGAAAGCACAAGAGUCCAGAAUAGCACCUCACUUUCUUAUUCAAUGUGCUGUUUCAUAUGCCCCGUCCGACUAAUUCAAUCAGUGGUUGGAAAGCCCAAGUGGGGCCCUAUCAAAAUCAUGGUCGACCUAAGAAAUUUACUGAAAGAAAAAUCAAAAUACCGAGUGACGUGCUUGCUGACGACGACAAUAAUCUCAAAACCCCUAUAAAUUGAGACGCUCCCUUCACUCCAGUCCCACACCAUUGGCUCUCUCUCACACAUCCUCCUCUGAAACUAGUGACGCAAUGUCUUCCAGGUACUUGCUAGUUUUGCUCCUGGGAGCGGUGCUUUUCGCCGCUGCCGUCCUCUCCGACGGCCACCACCCUUUCAAAAAAGAGCAUAAACCACACCACAAACACCACCACAAGCACCCCCCUGGUGGUCGCCGUCUCUUGGAGACCGUCGAAGCCGAGGACUCGCACAAGCCAUUCCCUAAACACAAGCCCCCGCACCACGGCCACCCUCACGAGCACAUUCUUGUCGAGGAGGUUGAAAAGGAAGACUCCCACAAAAAGCCAUUCCCCGGCAAGAAACCGCCCCACCACCCUGGCCACUUGCUUGCCGAGGAAGUGGAAGCCGAUGAAAAAAGGAAGCCAUUCCCUGAGCACAAACCCCCAAAGAAAGGCGACAAGCCACCACCAAAGCACAAGCCACCCCACGAGGGACACAUUUUGGUAGAGGAGGUGGAAGAGGACUCGAAGAAGCCAUUCCCUGAGCACAAGCCGCCCAAGAAAGGUGAGGAGCCCAAGAAGGGAAAGGGAGAGAAGCCGCCACCAAAGCACAAGCCACCACACGAGGGACACAUUCUCAUAGAGGAGGUCGAAGAGGACUCUAAGAAGCCAUUCCCUGAGCACAAGCCGCCCAAGAAAGGUGAGGAGCCCAAGAAGGGAAAGGGAGAGAAGCCGCCACCAAAGCACAAGCCACCACACGAGGGACACAUUCUCAUAGAGGAGGUCGAAGAGGACUCUAAGAAGCCAUUCCCUGAGCACAAGCCACCAAAGAAAGGCGAGGAGCCAAAGAAGGGAAAGGGCGAGAAGCCGCCCCCAAAGCACAAGCCACCCCAUGAGGGACACAUUCUUGUAGAGGAGGUGGAAGAGGACUCAAAGAAGCCGUUUCCUGAGCACAAGCCGCCCAAGAAAGGUGAGGAGCCGAAGAAAGGCAAGGGAGAAAAGCCACCACCUAAGCACAAGCCACCACACGAGGGACACAUUCUAGUAGAGGAGGUGGAAGAGGACUCAAAGAAGCCUUUUCCCGAACACAAGCCGCCGAAGAAAGGCGAGGAGCCGAAGAAGGGCAAAGGUGAGAAGCCGCCGCACCACAAGUCACCACACAAGCCUCCCACUGAGAACUGAGUAUGCGUUCUUCAAUGAAUGUAUAUGUCGUGUGUUUUUCACGGGUUCAAAUAAGAGCUGGUCCAUAGAGUGUCUGGCACUAUCGUGUUAGCUGGUCCGCUGUUUGUGCUCCAUGAGAUAAAGGAUGUAUGUACUUUGCUUGGGCAUGUCCUUUGACUUUGCCCACGUUGAUAUAUGCUGAGUACUUGCUAGCCAUGAGCUUUCCUUUCUAAAACUCUUCUAAGUGUCCCCUUCUGCAAUCUAACCUUGCCAUGUCCCGCGAGCACGAAAAGUUUGUUCAUACUCCUAAACCCUCAGCAAACAUAGAUGCACGACUAGAAUCUGAUUAAUAAUUAAGUGAAAGACGUAAAAUAGAAAGUUGAUUUGCACUAUUCAUUUGAAAAAUUCAUGCGGAAAGUAUUUAUCGGAGUGCUUAGAUAGGACUUGCUUAUUCAGAAUAGACACAGCAGAUUUUCAUCCAAACAAGUGUGCGAAGUACAGCUUUAAUCCAAAAAGCUUGGUUUGAUUAUCUAAGAUCUAAAAAUUGUGAUCAACUGCUUCUGACCCCCUUGUGAAGUAUGAAAAUGAAUAAUGAAUUUUUUGACAUAUUGAUAGUUGUACAUACAUGAGAUGAUAACAAUGGAUUGUAAGGAAAAUAUUGAUUCGAAUUGGGUAGAACACUGAAGUCAGAUUUUUAGAACAAACAAGUCAGACUUUUAAAGGUGAUAUUACUUUCUUUGAAGAUUUAUUUGCUUCAUAAUUGUUGUUAAUGGUUAUCAGCAAAUUUUCUCCAAAAUACAAUAAAGUCUUAAAUGAGAAUACUAGAUAGUAAUUCUAAUAUUUCUUCAGGGUCUCUCUAUAAAACAUUUGGAAAAGAUGAUUAUAUAUAUUUUGAAAGAAAACAAAAAUGGGAAGAGAAAGUUUGUGAAAAGACUUGAAAGUUCUACAAAGAAUUGAAUUGAAUAUUUAUAUUUGAAUGGAUGCAACCUUUCAGAGAUGAAGAAGUUAUUUCCAAGUAAACACAACCUUUCAAAGGUUGUAAUAGUGCCUAAUAACUAUUAGGCAAAAAUAAUAAAUUCUAGUUUAAAUAAUUAAAAAGUAACCAUCACUCUAUUAUGAACAAUGACAUUGUUUCACUAGGGCGCAAAAGUUAUUAUAUAUAUAUAUAUAUUUGGCGACCUAAGAUCCGCCGGGCCCGACUUUCACUUAUAAUCGCUAGCCCACGGCCCGUACAGUACGUGAUACACCUCGGACCAAGUAUCAAUACCUAAGAGGAAGCUAGCACAGGACCCCACCACCAUGGCCCCUCACUUAAGACGUGUUAGCAGCUGUGGAGUUUCGGCGAACCAACUCAGCUGUCCACCGGAGGGUGUUAUUUUAUAAUUAUUAAUUUUAAUUUUAAUGAAUAAAAAAUAAUUGUUGUUAAUUAGUGCAAAAUCUCGUUCACAUACGCACUCGCAUCGACAAGGCACCGCUUAGUUUGUUUUACAAACAAACUACAAACAUAGAUGAAUUAGAAACAUCAAUUUUUUCUAUUUAGCUAACUACUAAAGACUGUUAACAGAACCGUAUUAUUCUAAAUAGAUACUUACCGACGACCAAAAGCUACACUACACGUCCCAACAGAUUGAUCCGAUUUUACUUUUUAAAGAUAUGCUUCAAUUGACGUUUGACAAUUUGGCCAUCCUAAAUAGAUACCUACCGACGACUAAAAGCCACACUACACGUCCCAACGUAAUGAUCCGAUUUUGCUUCUUACAGAUAUGCUUCAAUUGACGUUUGACAAUUUGGCCUAACUGCUUUUGGACUGAUUUACCAAAUGGCCCACUAAUUCCUUCGUUUAGCACUUAUGCUAGUCAAAAUAUGAAUUUUCAUAUAACCUAAUUGGGUCGAGCAUUUCGGAUGUACCUAGUUAUAGAGCUAAAAUGUGCCAUAGUUUAUUUGGAAAGUUCUAACAAAGUUAAUUUAGCUCUUUUUUUGGAUGACCAUUUUCAUAUCUUCAUAUUUACACCGGUUUGCUAUCUCUAGACAAAACACCUAAAAAGACCAAAUUACUCUCCCAUACAAGUACCCAAGCCUGCGAACCCUCUCAUGAACCCUAGCCACUAUUGCCGACAAAUCCCUUCUCUCCCUCAACACACAUCACCAUCAGUUGCCAUCAAACCCCUAGCCCACCUUUAUAAAUCUUCAAGCCUUGAAACUCUCCCAAUUCCGAUAUCAAUUUAUAGAAUCUAAUGAUAUCUAAAAGUUUAUUUUCUAACAAUGAUGAUAUUUGAUUUAUCGUAUCAUCUCAUAAAAAAAGAAAAAGAUAAACUCCACCUUUUUCAUAAAGUCAGUACGUUCACCACGUAAAUUAAGAUUGACCAUAUGUUUGUAGGUGCUAUGGUCCUGCGUCCUAUACAUACAAACACCUAUGUGACCCACCAAGGUGGCCGGUACCACCAAUAACUCAAUAUGCUCCCACUUGCCGCACGUGCUUGGAUUUGUAAUGGUUCCAAUCAAUUUGUAUGUAUAUCCAAGACAAGUUAUGUACUUUGUAUUAUUUUUUUGACUAAUUUCAUGAACCCAGUUAAUCAAAAUGUUGAAUCAUGUGAAACCAUAUAAGAGUCGACAUGUGAUCUAAUGGAUAUAGUGGUUCAUAUGUGAGACCAUAUAAUGUAGCGAUUAUAGUACAUCAAGCUCAUACGUAUCUAAUACAUGCAAUGCUGGUGGAUACUUGAUGUGAGUGCCCUCGCGACGUGGGACGAUACCGUGAAGUCAAAAGAAGUCUAUACUACCCUAGACUUACCAGCCCAAUUCCAAUUCCCCCAGAUUUUAUUCGAUGUUGUACCCUAUCAAUUAAUGCCUCCUUUGUCGGGUACGUUGCCUAAUUUAAGGUCACAGUCCCAAAUGAUAUGGGCAGUGACGUCAUAUUAAAGCAAUUUAGUAAUUUGAAUGUGCUUUAUAUUCAAGACACAAUCCCUAAAAAUGAGGCCCUCGAUGUUAUAGUGAAUACACUCCUUUGUAUAUCGCCCAAGUAAGCAUAAGUUUUUCUGAAUUCACCUCGUUAAUGGAAAAUGAACAAAGUUGCACGUUAACGACUUCGGAUAAGACAAGCUAGUAGUUUAUUAUGCUCUUAGGAGGUGCAAUCUGUACGCGAUAAAACAAAGUUGUUUAUUCUCUCCGUGCCCUGUGAUUUUUGCUUGUAACUUAAGAACAUCGAUAUUGACCAAGUGUGUAAGUUUUAAGAACAAGGAUUUUAGCAAUUCUAUCGUCAGUGAAGAAUUUCUAUUGCACAAACGCUAUUGAUCUCGUGGUGUCGGUAAACUUGACAUAAACUCUUAUUAGGUCUAUCAUUAAAGUGGAAAAAUUUAUUGAAACCACACUUUAGAUCGAUGAUACGUAAAAAUUACAAUCACAUUGGACCAUCGGCCGAUGAUCACGUUGGAUAUAUCAUUGAAGAACAUGAAAUAUUUUGGAGAAAAAGAAUUCCUUUUCAAUAUAUUUUCAUAUCUCUUCUUGAUACCAAGAAACACACGCGCACACACAAGAGAACCCUACUAUAGGUUAAUCCUAAGAUUCCCUUUAAAUAAAGAAGCACAACAGGUAACAAAUUAGUAUACAAAACUUCCUAAUUUAGUUCCAAUUUAUAGCUCACACCAACACUCCCCCUCAAGUUGGUGCAUAAAUCUCUUCGAUGCCCAACAUGUCAAGUGUGCUAUAGAAGAUCUUGCUCAAUACAACCUUUGCCAGUAUAUCAGCCCGUUGAUCUUCAUAUUUAACAAAAGGAAAUCGAACUAUCUCGGUAUCUAGAUUCCAUCUAAUAAAAUGUUGAUCUACCUCAAUAUACUUUGUACGAUGGUGCUGAAUUGGACUGUGAGAAAUAUCAAUGGUUGCCUAAUUGUCACAAAACAAAUUCAUCUUAGACUUAGGAGUGAAGCCAAGUUCUGACAUCAACCUCUUAAGCCAAAGAAGUCACAAUGUCCUUUGGUCAUUUCCGUAAAUUUAGCCUCUACACUCGACAACACUAUCACUUUUUGUUUCUUGCUUCUCCGAGUGACUAAAUUCCUUCUUAGUAGGGAUAUACAAAACAAAGUGCCCAAACCAAGAACUGCCUAGACCAGACUGGCUGGUGUGGUCCAGUUUCCAAGAGUAUCGGUUCGGUUCCAAGUUCCUAAAAGUGGAGUUGGUUUUUGAACAGUAUGGUUCUUGGUUCCAAGGGAAAACCGAACUGGACCGAUUAAAUGUAUUUUAUUUAUUUAUUUUUAUUUCUUAAAAAAAUUAGUAAAAUUUGAAGUAAACACAAUCUCGAUCUAGUUUCAAGUAAUGAAAAAAAAAGUAAAGGGAAAAAAGUAAUCAUGAAAAAUCAAUGAUCAUUUCCAUUGCUUAGACCAAUGAUUCGAUUUAGUUUUCGAUCCUACAACUAACUGGUUUGGUCCCUGAUUCCUAUUUUUGGAAAUUGGACUGAACUAAUUGGAUCAGGAACCGAUCACCCCGACUUCCACAAGAGUACAGUUUCAUAAUAUCGAUUUCCUGUUAGAAACACUUCCCGCCCAAUCUGCAUCUACAAAACCUUCAAUUUCAAGAUGAGCAUUCCUUGAAAAGAAAAGUCUUUCCUUGGAGCAAACUUCAAGUAGCGAAAGAUUUGAACCACAACAGCCAUAUGAUCUUCAUUAGGUUCAUGCAUAAAUUGACUAACAAUGCUUAUAGCAUAUGUAAUAUUUGGGCAAGUAUGGGACAAAUAGAUUAACUUGCCCACUAACCUUUGAUAUCUCUCCUUAUCGAUUGGUACCUGAUUUAAAUAUUACCCAAGUCCGUGAUUCUGAACAAUUGAAGUAUUAGUUGGCUUACAAUCUAGCAUUGCCACCUAUAUCAAUAGAUCCAGUACAUAUUUCAUUUGAGACUACUUCAAUUCCUAAGAAAAACUUGAGUCUCCUAAGAUUCUUCAUUUCAAACUCCGUCAUAAGAGCAGCGUCAUUGACCUGGCAUGUGAGCAAUAGCCAUGGUAGACCAAAUUGAAUUGGCGACCCUACAUGGGCGCGAUGAGCCUCCCUCUAUAGCAGCAAUCCUUGAUGAUUUGACAAUGAAGAUGCAAUAGAUUUUGACCCAGAAUCAUACCAUAAGUCUUCCACAACCCAGAUCACCACCAAGUUGGGCAACACUAGCUAUGGACUUCAGUUCUAAGUUGUUGAGAUGUAUACCUCUAGAAAAGACAAAUUGUGAUGUAUUAAUGGGGACCUUCCACAACCCCAAUUGAUAGACCCAAGCUUUAGAAAGUGGAAAAAUGAAGAUUCAAUAGUGAAAGUAUGGUUAAUUAAUUCCAUUGAUCCAACCUUAAUAGGUAACUUUAUCAAGUCCCCAACUACAAAGACGAUAUGGGAUUCGGUUGCUAUUACUUUUUUGAUGGAAUUGAUACUUCUCAAGUUUAUGAUUUGAAGAGAAAUGUGACCAGAAUGAUAUAGGCUGGGGGGGGGGGGUAAGUACAUUAUCAAUGUCAAAAGUUGUAUACGGCGCUCACUUUGGUGCAAAAGUUUCCGUUAGAUCACUUAAGUACCAAAUCGGAGAAAAAACGAUCACUUCGGUGCCACCGGCAAGAGAUUCUGGCCCAGAUUAAUUACGUGGCUUUUAUAUUUUUUUUAAAAAUAAGUUGCAGUGGCUUUAAAACGAUGUCGUUUUCCAUCCUCCUCAAGAAACGAUGUCGUUUUGCCGUCAUAUGUGGACAUCCUCAUAGAAAUGACGCCGUAUAGCUCAUAUGGGGAUUGAAAUUAGGGUUUGUUUGUUGUUCACCGCUCGGCCACUGUCGUUCGCCCACCAUCACUUGGCCACCGUCACUCGGCCACCAUUGUAGUUGCUCGACCAAGUUAGCGGGGAGAGACUAAGAUUGUUGCUCAAGCAAUAAGUGGCGGGAAGAAUAGGAGGCGAGGGUGGAGGAGGAGGAGGAAGAAGAGCGAUCGAAGGUGCCGCCGCUGGUGCGCUACUGCUGUUGCUAGUGUCAUUGCUGGUGCUAUUGCUGGUGCAUUGCUGCUGGUGCUGUUGGUGCGCUACUGUUGCUAGUGCGUUGUUGUUCUUCGAGGAAGAAGAAGACGACAUGCUUCUCUCUCUCUCUCUCUCUCUCUCAAUUUGAGGAUUUAGGGUUCUAAGUUAAGGGAAAUAUGCCAAACGACGUCAUUUUGUUGUUUGGAUGUUGAUUGUAAUCUCCAACGAGCCGCGUCAGCUUCAAAAAUUAAUAAAAAAGUGCCACGUCAGAUUUCCGGCCAUUUUGAUCGGCGUUGGCACUAAAAUGAUCAUUCUUCAAAUUUGUUGGCAUUUAAGUGAUCCAAAAUAAACUUUUGGCACCAAAGUGAGCGUCGUACACAACUUUUGGCACUGAUAGUAUACUUACCCCGACAGGUUGGAGGAGCCAUUGAAACUUACUACAAUGGUCUUCAAGGCUUGUGGUGGGAGAUGGAUUUCCACCACCCAAAUCCGAUUGUAUAUCCUAUUAAUAUAGAGAGAUGCAAGUCAGCUAUAUAAGAAGAUAGAGUGUAUCUUUUCCUUGAUGGAUUGGAUGAUCGCUUGGAUAAAGUCCGAGUUGAUGUGCUCCAAAUGCAACCAUUCCCCACAAUUGAGCAAGCUUAUGCUAAUGUUUGACGGGAAGAUGUACGACAAACGAUGAUGUUGACGAGCAUAGACACCACACACACACACACGCCAUUGUCAUGGCGUUGAGGGGGAUUAAGAUAGAACCCAGGAGGUGCCAAUGCUAUGAAUGUCCAAGAUGGUUGUCUCUACAAGUGGUGGAAAGAAUAGUACUAUCCCAAGGCAGAAAUCUCAAACAAUUAGUCAAUGCACUCACCAUGGUAACAUGAAACAUAGUCAUGAGACGUGCUUUAAGUUAUAUGGGUAUCUAGAUUGGCGUAAAGAACUCAAGGCACGAAAAUAGGUUAAAGGUGAGGCAAAUGGAAAAAAAGGAAAUAACCUACAUAUAUAUACACUAAUGAUAUUCUCUAACAAGGAAACCUCUGAUCUCCAUAUAUAUAUAUAUAUAUAUAUAUAUAUUUUUUAAUCACUACCCUCAAGCUAGAGCAUCCAACUUGCAUAUGAUUAGUGCAAAUUACUUUGAAAUUUUGUGAGCAAGUGCCUUAUAAGCCAGACCUUACACUAAACAAAUCGGAUUUGAUAAGCGCUAAAGCAACACAUGCUUAGAAAGUUGACAUAUUUUUCUCAUACAAACUUGAUAGAAUCGUGUGGAACCCAACUUGAAUCGUAGCAAACUAAACUACAUCACCCUACAAUGCUCAUCCUCGGCUACUUGAUGAAGUUUGUUCAACUACAACUCUCAUAGCUACUUGGAUACUUGAUGACAUCACUCCAUGGCGCUCAUCCUUGGCUACCCAACGAAGGUAUGCUUGACUCCGGUGCUCACAGCUAUCUAGAUAUUUGACAGUGACUUCACCUGUUGAUGUUACUCACAAUUAGAAGAGAGUACCCCAAUGGAUAAUGUCCAUAGUAGCAUUGUUGAGUGUUGACAAUAUGAGGAAGUUACUGAAGAUGAGACAACUAAAGAUAGCAUAAAGGAAGAAAAGCUGAGGUUCGAUUUAAUUCCUUCUCUCUUGGUGGCUAUGAUACCAUGAAGAAAAGGAAAGACUUGGAGAAGAAGAAUUCUUUUCCAGUAUACUUUCAUAUCUCUUCCUAAUGAAAAAAAAAACAUAUAAUUUAUCGCAUAUAUAAUAAGAGAACCCUAUUUUAAGCUAAUAUUAAGAUUCAGUUUAAAUCAAGAAGCAUAACAGAUAACAAAUUAGUAUAAAAACUUCUUGAUUUAAUUUUAAUUUAAAAAUCACACCAAUAAUCAUGUCGUCUAAAAAAAAGUAGAUAAAUUCCACCUAUUUCCAUGAUAUUAUUAGGUUCACCACAUAGAAUAAUAUUGUCCAUAUAUUUGUAUGUGGUAUGGUUGUCUAUGUGCCUCACGAAGGUGGUUGGUACUACCAAUAGCUCGUUAUGCCUCAACUGCCGCACGUCCAUGGAUUAGUAACAGUAGCAAUGAAGUUGCAUGUAUUUCCUUGUUAAGUUAUAUACUUUGUAUUUUUCUUGAGUGAUUCUUUGAACCCAAUUAAUCACAAUGUUGAAUCGUGGGGGACCAUAUAAGCACCACAUGUGAUUUAACGGAUGUAGUGAUUCAUAUGAGAAAUCCUUAUAAUGUAACAAUCAUAGUACAUCUAGCACAUACGAAUCUAAUAUGUUCAGUUUUGGUCGAUACUUGAUGUGGGUCCAUUUGCCACGUGGAAAGGUUCUGUGAAGUCAAAAGAAGUCUAUAAUAUAAUUAGAAUAACCAGCCCAAAUAUAAAUCGCCCGCUUAUAACUCAAUCUUGUAGUUUAUCUUUUUGUGCCACCUUUGUCGGGUGCCUUGCCUAAUUUAAGAUUACAGUCCCAAGUGACAUACGCAGUGACGUCAUAUUAAAGUAAUUUAAUAAUUUGAAUGUGCUUUAUAGUCCAGACACAAUCCCCAAACUGAAGCCGUAGAAAGUGUGAUUGCCAAUACACUCCUUUUAUUUCUCGCCCAUGUGAGCGUAAGUUAAACCUACCUAUUUCACCGCCGUUAACAGAGGAUGAAGAAAAUGGCACCUUGCUGACUUCAGUACACUAGCUAAUAUUGUUUAUUAUAGUCUUAGGAGGUGCAAUCUGUAGGAUGAUUAAAUAGAGUAGUUUACUCUUUCUAUGUCAAGUGAUUUUUGCUCGUAACAUAAGAACACUAACAUCGAUUAUGUGUAUAAGUCUUAGUUUUAAAUUGUUGAAAUCCAGGUUGUCGCAAUUUUUCUCGAGAUGAACCAUCAAGGGAAAGUUAAUGAAUUAAUAAGUAUGCAUGAACGGUUGCUCAUUAAAAAGAUAGUGCAAUUGCCUAGUGCAAACUUCCCCAAACCCAUGCCAAUGACAACUUGAAUUUUAAUUUAAACACGUAAUAUAUCUUACUUUUUAGAGCUGUCACUACUUAUGGGUUGAUUAGAGAGUAUGCCUUACUUUUGUGAAACAGAGAUUCUAAAUAUGUGUCACAACCUCCCUUUCGAGCCCCCUUACUUGCGAGCAUGGCAGAGGCUAAUGGCUUGCUAAGUAUUAGGCUUAGUACAGGCUCCUUCAAGCCCAUCAAUUCACGACUUAUAGUUCGAGUAUUUAACUUGCAAGUCAAUUUCAAAUAUGAGUCGUCACUAAUCGAUUUGGGGUAGGCCGAUUAGAGACUCAAGUGAAAGAUUUGAAGAAAUACUUCACUCCUUCGCAAUUAGAGAAAUUAUGAUCAAUGACUUGGUUACACUAGUUAAUCACUAAUACUUUUUCGAUACCUAAUCUUGUUUAAAUAUCAAGUAAAGCAUUUGUGUAGCAUUUUUAUACCAAUCAUGAAUUCUAGAAUUCAAUUCUUCACCAAAGUAAGGAAAUAGAAAUCCAUGCAUCAUAAGAGCGUAAUUAGAAUAAGUCAAUAUUUACUUCCAAGAACUUAAACAUGAUUCUUUUUCUUUUUUUAGGUUUUUCGAUGCAUUUAUGGAGGAAACUAACCAAAAACUAUUUUUUAGACCUUUUCUGAUUUUUUUGGAAAACAUAAAUCAUUUUUGGAUUUUUUUUAUUUAAAAAAAAUAAUUUUUUUCAGAUUUUAAAUUAAAAUAACAAUAAAACAAAAGUUGACCUGGUGGGUGAAACCCACGAGCCGGCCCGACCGGGAUCCGGCCCGAUCAACUCGGGUCGCACCUCCGGGGGCUAGACGCGAGGUCCCCCUGUCUCCUAUUUUCCUUUACUCUUUUAUCCCUUUCCUUGAUCAUUUCCUUUUAUCUCUCUCUCUUCCUUGUCUUGUCUUUUCUUCUCUCUUCACACGUCAGACUAGUGAGAGAGAGAGAGAGAGAGAGAGAGAGACCCAUUUUGUCUUUACUCUUUUUUGACUUUUCUUUCUUCUCUCUUUGUUUCUCUCUGUUGGGAAUGAUUGAUCCCCGAAAACCGGAUUCGACACUAAAUCGAACCCCUAAAUCAAUGCGGAAGACGAAGCCCGGGAAAAACACGUAUCACCGAUCGUAAAGCACACCACGGAUUCGAGCGUACCUUGUUAGCCACAGAUUAGACACCAAUGCCGAUAGAGGAAGAGCAAUUUGUCCUUUGUUCGAUCCGAUGACGCUUGAAGGGGAGAAAACAGUGGCCUUGUGCUUACUGUCCUUUUUCUUUUGUUGGAGAGAGAGCGAGGGAGAGAACGUACGUAUGUUCUGAUUCCAAGAGUUAUCUUCUCUCUCUCUCUCUCUCCUCCCUUUUAUAGCUUCCCCCUCCACGGGCCCUAAUCCCGUGGGCCGGGCCUUUUGGGCCGAGCAUGGGCGGACGGGCCUUGAGCCCAAUACAUAUAAAACCAUCAUCUCCCACUCGCACAUGGUGGGCUGAACAUGAUUCUCUUUACCUCUCUUCAACAUUCAUACCGAUGAAUAAUCCGUGCGACCAGCAUACUUUGAGAGCUCGUUGCUAUACAUCUGUUAGGAAUAUAUAGCAGCUCAUAAUGGGCAUCACACUCCGAGUAGAUUUAGUAUGUAAUACCCUAGAUCGAUUGAUCACAUUUAUAUCUCUCUUGAUCUCUUUUCAAACGAUGAUAUAUAUAUAUAUAUAUAUAUAUAUAUUGUAUUCACAAUUAUGAUUAUCACAAAGACAAUCAUAAUUGGUUAACCGGUGAAUACAAAACUACAAUGUGAUUCUCCAAAAUCAAUCUUCCUCUUUCCUUCAAACUCUCAAUUUCAGUUCAGCUUGCUUUUCUAGAAAUGCCCCAUUAGAUCGAAUCAAACUCAUGACCAUUGGCAACAUCCUAAGAUAGCAAACAUUAAAUAGAAAUCUUGAGAAUAAGUAAGAGUCAUGAGGGGACUAAAAAAUUGAGGAACUCUUUUCCUCAAGAGUCUCACACGACAUAAAAAAGUUGAGAUCAAACUUUUGCCACUCUUAUUGGUCGUCUCAUGCAUACGUAGUAUGAAAUACGUAUUACGGUAUCAACUCCUUUCCCAUGGAGCGUAUGUCUACACCUUUCAAUACCGUACAGAUGAUAGUUCAGACAUACCCAAUGUCUAACUUGAGUUCACGUAUCUACUCAUUCACUAAAUUCAUCAGAACUCACAUCUAGCAUCAUAUACAGAUAAAGUAAAAUAUGUGGGGUAUUUUACUCUCGGACAUAGUAAGUAUUAUGUCCUCAUCUUAACACCCAGUUAAGGCAACAUACGUGUUUUAAGCUUGAGCUCUCGAUUAUCACCUAGAUAAUAAGCUUAAAAACAGUCUCAUCUCUAUUUAUCACACAGUAAAUAGAGGCGAUUACCCGUGUGAGUGGGCUAAUCUCAUAUCUGUUCGACAUACUUUCCUAACUUAAAGUAAUGCACUGAGCAUUAAGAUGCAUAAAGAUCAAACAAAGAUUCAUAGGCAUUAAUGAUGAAAAACAUAAAUUCAUCAUAUGUGAACACUUAGGGAAAAUUAUAAUAUUCAGUACAUUAGCCUCUACGCAGUCCUAGAGAUUUCAUAUGGCCACAAAACACAUCUCUAGGUACUGGCUUUGUCAUAGGAUCUGCUACCAUUCUAUGCGUAGUAUGUACUCUAAGUUCACAUCUUUUUGUGCAAUCAUAUCCAUGACAAAAUUAUACUUGGUAUCUAUAUGUUUGGUCUUGUCAUGAUAUUUUGGAUCUUUGGUGUACGCUUUUGCUGCUUGGCUAUCAUAAUUAACUAACAAUUAAUCUGCAGCACUUCCAAUAACACCUAAAUGAUCCAAAAAAUCUCUUAAGCCAAACAUCUUCUUAUACUGCUGCUGAUAAUGCCACGAACUCAAUUCCCAUCGUGGACAAGGCUAUACACUUUUGUUUCUUACUGCUCCAACACAUGGUGCCAUUAUUCGGUAAGAAAACAAACCUAGAGGUAGAUUUCCUUUUAUUUAAAUCUCCUCCCCAAUCAUCAUCAGAAUAGCCUUAGAGUCGCAGAUCCUUUCCAUAAUAACUCAGCGUAUAAUCAGCAGUCCCCUUUAGAUACCUUAGUAUUCUUUUAACGGCUUUCCAACAUGCUUGACCUGGAUUGGAUUGGUAUCUGCUCACCAUUCCAACUACAUAACAUAUGUCAGGUCUUGUACACAUCAUAGCAUACAUCAAGCUCCCAACAGCACUAGCAUAAGGAACAUGUUUCAUUUGUUCCUUCUCUUGUGGAGUCCUUGGACACAAUCUAUGGCUCAAUCCUUCACCUUUUGCAAUAGGAGUGUUUAUGGGUUUACAAUCCCAUAUCAUUCAUCUCAAAAUUGGAAGACAACCAACUUUUGACAGUAUGAACAAACUCCAUAUUACUUUCGGCAAUUAGUAUAUCAUCAACAUAUAAUGAUAUGAUCACAAAUUGAUCCUUGGAUCUUUUGAUAUAUAUACAAUGAUCCUCAUCUAUCAUUGUAAGAUCAUAUGCUAUUAUGGCAUUACGAAAACGUAUAUAUCAUUGUCAUGACGACUGCUUAAGGCCAUAUAUCGACCCCCAAAGUCAACAUACCUUUUCUUCUUGGCCUUUCACUAUGAAACCAACAGGUUGUUCCAUAUUUAUUUAUUCCUCUAAUUCUCCAUUGAGGAAAGCAGUCUUUACAUCCAUUUGAUGUAACUUAAGAUCCAUACUAGCCACUAUUGCCAGAAUAAUGCGAAUCGAGAUAAAUCCCUCUACAGGAGAAAAUGUAUCUUCAUAAUCAAUUCAUUCCUGUUGAUUAUACCCCUUCGCCACAAGGUGAGCCUUAUGCUUUCUAUCGAGCCAUCAGCCUUUCGCUUUAUUUUGAGAACCCACUUGUUCCCAAUAGCUCUGCGUCCCUUUUGGAAGAUCAACCAGUUCCCAGACUUGGUUUGACUUCAUUAACUCCAUCUCCUCUUUUAUUGCAUAAAUCCAUUUUUCCUUACUAGGGCGUUUAAGAGCCUCAUUAAUAUUUCUUGGCUCAUACUCAUCUUGUGGAGCAACCAUAAAAGUUUCCCUUUCAAUGUCAAAACAUCGACGGGGAAUACUUUGACGACUUGUUCACCGUAUGGGAGAUUGUACACUUAGCACAUCAUUCCCCAUUAUGCUCCCACUUGGAUUAGGUAAUGAUGAUGUCGUCACAUCAGGUGGUUGCAAUUGAGAAUGAGUUGAAUUCAAUUCAUCACAUCUCAUAUUACUCCCACUUGGACGAACUCAACCAAUAUCAUUAUCUAGAUCCAAGGUUUCAAAUAGGAAGUAAUCUUUCCCUAUUUCGCCCUUCUUAAGAAAUUCAUCCACUAAGAAUGUGACAUCCUGUGAUUCAAAUUCAGUUAUUCUCCCACUUUCCUGCUCACCUACGAACACAUACCAUUUUGAGUGUUCGGAGUAUCUCAUUAAAAUACUCUUAUUUCCUUUAGGACUCAAUUUCCCAAACUUGUGAGAGAACUCAUGAGUAUAGACAGCAUAACCCCAUGGCUUAAGUAAACUUAAGUCCGGUUUUCUACCUAUCCAUAACUCAUAUGGAGUGGAACUAACUGAUUUGGAAGGCACCCGGUUAAGUAUUUAGGCAGCAGUUAACAACGCAUCACUCCAAAAAGUGAUAUGUAAGUUAGCAUACGCCAUCAUGGACCUAACCAUUUCUAGUAGGGUUCUGUUUCUUCUCUCUGCAACACCAUUUUGUUGAGGAGUAUAUGGAAUAGACAACUAUCUUUCUAUUCCUUUUUCAUCACAUAAUUUUCUAAACUUAUCAGAUAAAUAUUCUCAACAUCGAUCGGAUCUAAAUACCUUUAUUUUCUUGUCUAAUUGAUUUUCUGUUAGGUUCAUAAACCUUCUGAAACAACUUAUGCUUCAGAUUCAUGAGAAAUCAAAUAGACACAUCCGAAUCGAGUAUAAUCAUAUAUUAAAAGUGAUGAAGUAAACAGUCCCAUGCCUUUCUCUCACAUUCAUUGAACCACAAACGUCAUAAUGGAUUAAAUGCAGAGGAACAUUAGCUCUUUUACUUUUUCCAAAUGGUUUCCUUGUCGUUUUCCCUUCUAGGCAAUGCUUACAUAUGGACAAAUCGACUUAUUCAAUAUUGCCCAACAAGCCAUCUUUGGCUAGUCUAUUCAUAUGUUGUUGGCCAAUAUGACCAAGUCUAGCAUGCCACACAUUCACAUCAUUAUCACAUGAAGUAAAAGACGUGAAACAAGGGAAUAACAUAUUGACAUCACCACAGUCAACAUUCAGUACAAUAAAACCAUCCAGAAAGUGACCACAACCAUAGUAGUUUGUAUCCAAAUACAAAUCUACACAGUUAUUACGGAAGUUCACACUAAAACCAAGCUUAACCAACAUCAAAACAGACAAUUAAAUUUCGACGAAUCUCCAGAGCAUUUAGAACAUCAUGUAGGAACAAGUUGCGUCCACCACACAUGUUCAGUUGGCAGGUGCCAAUCCUUUUAACUUCAGCUCUGGAGUUGUUUUCCACAUAGAUCCACUCAGUUCUAGUUGGUAUUCGUCGGAAUUCCACGAAGGAUCCUUUAUCCUUCGCUACAUCGUCUGUUGCUCCUGAAUCUACAGUCCACAAAGGAUUGGAUUCGGCCAAUAAUUCAGAACUUGACACAUAAUCAAAGUUCUCAAAUGUACAAGAGGUGUUUACUUUCUUUGGCUCACAACAGUCGCGAGCAUAGUGACCCUUCUUGUCACAAUUGUAACACCUCACCCUUGACAUUUUCUUCACUUGAGGACAUUUUCCUCUCUUGUGUUGGUUAAGUCUUGAUUUCUUGCAAUAAGGACUUGAUCCUUUGCAUUCCCACAUAUUGAACGAAUCAAUACGCUUGCGCUUAGAGCACAGAGCCCUUUCUGAGCUAGAACCAGCAUUGCAAAUAUCUAUUUUCUGUUCAAAUGCUGUUAGUCGGUCCUCAGCUAGCUCAAAGUGGCGCACAUCAUUUAUAAGAUCUUCCAUAACAUGGUCAAGAGCUUCUAGUGCUUCUUGCUUUUUCAGCACAUAUUGAAUCUUCAUAUUCAAUAUUUCACAAUUGUUGCCGUUCAUAUCAACAAUUACAUUCUUAGUUGCUGAAACCAUCGAUAUGAACAAAUCAGACAUAUAUGCACGAAUAAUUAAUGCCUAUCAUUUAUGCAUCCACUUUUACAUAGACCCAUCAUAUUAAUGAAUAAUUUCAAGUAAGGCUUCAGAAUCAAAAGGUCACUAUGUUUCCAAUCAUCCUCCAAAAAUCCUAACUUAAAACUAUCAUUAAUAUGAUUGUCAUAUGCAAAAUCAAUUCUAUGAAGCUACAAAAACUUCUAACACUACCCACAGCUAAUUACCCACAGCAACCAGCAAUAACAGAAAGCAAAUAAAAUCUAAUAUCCAAUAAUAUAACAAUGCUUUCAUAUGAUACAACUAACAUAUCAGUUGCUAUAUCAACAACAAUCAGGUAGUAAACAUUGCAUAAUUAAUCAAAGAAAUAAAUAGGGAAUGUCCCUUCUAAUCUAUCAAUCAAAACAUCUGAGAAAACUGAAGGCACAUUUGCCAACUAUGGAAAAUUUUUUGGAGAGCAUUCAUGUCGCCACCAAGGCGCAUUCACUCUACGCCAUGUGGCGCUCAAUCUAAGGGUUGAAGUUUUGGCCAACUCAAUCCUAUAGUACUCUCUUACAAAAGCUUCCACUAGCCCCCUGUAAUCCGGGACCACGUUGACCUCCCAUAGCCGAUCUAACACUGCUUGCCAUUCAGGUGGAAGAGUGUUCAUCAAAGCCGGCACCUUCUCAAAAUCCGGCAUAAGAUAACCAUUCCAGAUGAUUUCCUGUAUCAUCUGAUUCACCUUGACCAUGUGUGAUACUAAAUCACCAUCAAGCCACCGAUAAUCAGCUAACUCUUUCAUCAGCCUUUUCAGUCUAGCUCUUCCUUCGUCCGUUCUUGGGAUUGCAGGUAUCCGUGCAUAACGCAUCAUAGUUCCUGCAACAAAUGCAGAACUAAAAUGGAUCACUUAUAAUCCAUAAUAAACAAAUGGAAAAUACAUAAUUUUCCAUGAUUCAUGCAACAAAUGCAGAAUGAAAAAUGGAUUACCUACAACCCACACAGACAUAAUUGAAAAAGAAACAAAUUCUUUUUUUUUUCUUCUUUUUUUUUUCGGGUCAACGGUCAACGGUCGGUCACGGUCAACCGUCGGUCAACGAUCGGUCAACGGGUCAACGGUCGCUGGUCGCCGGACGAACCGGGCGGACCGGACAGACUGGUCAGGCCGGUUCGGGCGAACCGGACAGACCGGUCAGGCCGGUUCGGGCGAACCGUCCGCACGUGCCGCGCGCGUGCGCGAGAUGACGUCACGAAGACGUCACUCGGCACGUGCCGCGCGCGUGCCGGGCGUCGCGGUUCAGGUCGGGUCGUCGUCGGGUCGGGUCGUCGGCUGGUGACCGCCCGGCGAAACGUUGUCGGCGAUGACGUCAUCGAUGACGUCAUCCGAGCGGUUACCGACCGUUGGAUGAUGUCACGGUGAUGUCAUCACGUGACGUCAGCACAUGUCGUUCCGCGGACCGGCGCGUGCCGUUUCGCCGGUCGCCGGCCCGCACGUGCCGGUUCGUCACCGGCGCGUGUGGCGCACGCGCUGGCCAUUGCCAGUGCUUCGGGCACGUGGCUCCCACGUGCAGGGGCUUGUGGCCGCGCGUGUGGGCGCAUGCGGCGUCGUCCGGCAACGCACAACAUGUCGCCGGACUUGUCUCGACGACCUCUUUCACCCCGUGCUUUCAGAAUUCAAUUUCGACUUACGAAAACUCAGAAAAAUGGCCAAACAGCGCUCGGGUGUCUGGAUUUUUCGCCCCGAUCCGUACGGCCGAAGUUCUUUCGCGAAAAAUCAAUCAAAAACUUCAAAUUGAUCGGGAAAAACUUUAACUAGGGCUCUGAUACCAAUGUUGGGAAUGAUUGAUCCCCGAAAACCGGAUUCGACACUAAAUCGAACCCCUAAAUCAAUGCGGAAGACGAAGCCCGGGAAAAACACGUAUCACCGAUCGUAAAGCACACCACGUAUUCGAGCGUAUCUUGUUAGUCACAGAUUAUACACCAAUGCCGAUAGAGGAAGAGCAAUUUGUCCUUUGUUCGAUUCGAUGACGCUUGAAGGGGAGAAAACAGUGGCCUUGUGCUUACUGUCCUUUUUCUUUUGUUGGAGAGAGAGCGAGGGAGAGAACGUACGUACGUUCUGAUUCCAAGAGUUAUCUUCUCUCUCUCUCUCUCCUCCCUUUUAUAGCUUCCCCCUCCACGGGCCCUAUUCCCGUGGGCCGGGCCUUUUGGGCCGAGCAUGGGCGGACGGGCCUUGAGCCCAAUACAUAUAAAACCAUCACUCUCCUCUCUCUAUCUUAUGUCUUUCGGGUCUCUCCUUCACUUUGCACGAAAUGGCUGAAACACUGCCGACCUCACCUUUCCCAAUGAUCGCCAGCUCAAACGUAAAAAUAAGACUUAGACUUAACUAACUAGAAAAAGGAAACAAAAAAGAAAGGCACAAGAACGAGGGAGUCGCGCCCAGCUACCACCGCCACUCUCCAACCUCGCCGGGCAAGAAUCAAUCGCUUGUAAAACCAGGAUGCAUGCUGAUAAUAACCAUGAAACGAGGUAGACCGAGCAAAAGAUGUCAGUGGAAAUCUACAAAAACGUAUUCGACAAACCAUGAACACCAAGAAUGAAUGCAUAUAUCUCAACCAGGCAUUUCAACAAGCACAUAGGGUGCAUCGGUAAGGGAGUUAGAGAUGAGGAUAACGCGCUUGGUAUCAAGCCGUGAUUGAAAGCCAACGACACCCAAAACUUUGCGAUCGCAGUUCGCACCUAAAAGAGGUUGGAGACUGACCCGACCCGAAGGAUGGCAGCUCAACCGAUGGGCCCGAAACAGAGUACGAAACAAGGUACUACAGGUGUUCGGUUGAAGGAGCCCUACCCGGCUUGACGGUAUCAGACAGCGAACGAGCUCGACAGAUCAGGCUACAUUUGCUCGCCUCACUUGUCUCCAAGUCGGGUCCCUUGAGAAAUCGACCCUAAACCCAUAAAAAAGAUAAACCCAAACGGAACCUACCACGGCUUUGAUGCGAACAAAGCAUGAUGACGGCCGAUGACUGUCCCCUUUAUUCCACCCUUACUCGCGACUCUCAGCUCACCCUCACGGUCUCUCAAGUAUUUCUCACCCUUUCCACCUCUCCUCAAAUCUGGCCUUUCUCUCUCAGCAAGUAAUUUCAAGAAUUAUUAAUAUGCAUCAUUGCUCACGAAAAUCAUGCAACAUCAUCCAAGAUGCAAUAAUUAUUAAAUUUUGACAUUGUGGUGUAGAGAUAAUAGUCUUGAUUAAUCCUAAAUGCAAAUUACUGUAUGUAAUGCACGAAUAAAAAAAUUUGAUGUUGGACCUUAAGUUUCAAAGGUCUGAUGCCCCAAUACGCCUUGUUAAUGCAAGGAAUAAUGCAAAAGGAAUUAAAAUAUCCUAAGGUUCACGUGACAUCUUGUAGGGGUGAGCAUUGGUUCAAGGUCAACCCUGGACCGACCUUGGACCGGCCCAACCCUGCCGGUCCUGAUCCGGUUCCUAGGGAGACUAGGUCGGUCCUUGAUCCUAGAAUUUUUAGACCAACACUAUGCGGGUCAGUCCUUGGUCCUGAGAGUUCUAGGUCGGUCUAACCUGGACCAACCCUAACUAUAUAUAUAAUAUUAUUUAUAAUUUUUUAUAUAUAAAAAACCUUAAAAUAAAUAGUGUUAACAACAUUAAAUAGCUAUUUAGUGAGGAAUUCAAGUAAUUUUAUAUUAUUCUUUAAUAACUUAGAUUUUAGAUGUCCUUUACAAUGUCAAUAGUCAUAAUUUACGAAGAAUGAAAAUGUUUUUGUGAGGAGUCAUCUCAGCGUCCAAAAAGGCAUAAACAGCUCAUUAUAGCAUCUUUUCUAAUAUUCAUUAUCUUUUGUCUUAUUUGUCCUCUUAGUCUUUAAUUUGCCAAAAUUGAAAGAAAUAACUUCUCCGCUCGCUACUCAACACUCGCCUCGCUCACUUUGGGUCAUUCGUGCCGCUCGAUGCUCGCUUGGCUUGUUACUCCUCGCUCAACAUUCAAUGCUCAUUCUGUUCGAUGCUCACUCCACCUAACCCUCACCGCUUGCCUUUCUUAGCUGACCUCGCUCGUCAUCGAAUCCAUUGGCUCGGUACAGUUCUUGGUUGCCCUUUCAAGAAGUACAAAAAAUGAAAUAAAAAAUUAUUGGUUAGUCUUGGGUUGAUCUAGAAACUGGACCGAACCCAUUGGGUCAAUUCGGUCCUCAAUAAAUUUUAUAAGGAGUACAAAAAAUGAAAUAAAAUUUAUCAGUUGGUUCCGGGUUGACCCUGGAACUGGACCAAACCCAUUGGGUCGGUCUGGUCCUCGGUCCUAAGCUCAAUAGGGUCAGUUCUCAGUCUCAAAAAUUGAGGACCAUUACUGUCUGGUUAGUCCUAGGGUUAAGGGGUGGGCCGACCCAACCCGGACCAUACUCACCCUUAACAUCUUGGAUUAUUACGUUAACUUUGGAGUUCUGAAGCAAAGCAUUGGCACUAUAUCUAGAGGCGCCUCUGUGAGUUAAUUCAAGUUUUCACAUAUUUAUAUAAGAAUUGAUCUCUCCCUAUUCGAUGCAUAAUUUGGUUCAUUUCUACCCCAUUCACCAUUCUAAAAGCCUACUAGGAGUAACUCCUUAUCCACGCUCUCUAGCCCCGGCGACCACUCCUCCCGCUAGUCAGACUAGGUCAUUAUAGACCCACUAGCUUCCUCGUGGUUCGUUUUGAAUCACCCACUUACUAGAGAGGGUCCCUCUUUGAUACGAUGUUGUGACAUCCUCAAUUAACUCACCUGAUAUUUUGUCCACUUCAACUCUUCCUAUACCAAACCUCAUGGUUUUGUCCUUUUGUGCACAAGUGGGUAAUUUCCUAGAAAGUCACUCAUCCCGGUAGUGUUCCCACCCAAGCACACUUAAUUUCGAAGUUUCAAAGCAAAGCCUUACCAUUCCGUCAAAUUGACGUUUCAAUGAUAUAAUUCCAAUUUUCACAUAUACAUCUAUAAAUCAUUCUCUCCUUUUUCAGCGCGCAAUUUGGUUUAUUCUUGCCCCCUCAACAUUUUAAAAGCUUUCUAGGAGCCGCUCAUUGUCGAGACCUUCUAGUCUCAACGACUUUUCCCCCCUCUCUUUAAGCCGGAUUGUUACAAUUCAAUAACUAUAGGUUAGACAAUCAAAUCAUGGCCUAAAAUAAAAUCCAACCUAUUAUUUAUGCAAUUACUAAACUAACCUUAAUCAGGACUAACCUAGGGAACCAAGAGACUUAUGGCACAACACAAGGUGCAAAGGAAAGAGCCACCAGUAGGGAUUUUAAAGACCGGCAAUGGACGACGGUCUGCGGUGCCUGGGCAGUGACGUGAGGAGCUAUUGGACGUCUCCAAGAGGGUACAGGGCUGUUAGAGGAUUUAGACGCCAAAGGUUCCAGCGGUGCUUGGGCUAAUGCGGCCAGCAGGCAAAGCUCUAGAGGGAUCCAAAAGACGCCUAGAUGCUGCUGGAGGGGUAUCGUCGGAAUGCCAAGAGAAGGAGGAGCACCGGUGUCAUAAAGAAUUUUCAGUGAAGAAUUUUCUUUCUUGCCUUUAUUUCUUUUUAAUCAUUUAGUUUCGGACUCUUAGGCAAACUUUAAAAAUAAAUAAAUAAAAAGAACAUAAAGUGUCAUAAAGAUGACUCGAAAUUUCACUAUGCAAAUUUUUUAUUAAUAAUAUGGCUUCCUGAAACUUUUGACUCCAAUACUCUUCAAAGAAGUGCGCAAACCGCCCUAUUUAGAUAUCCAUGUCCACCAUAAAAAGCUAACGUGCCUCCUAACUUGCAGAAAAAAAUUACAGAGUUAUUUCACACGAGAGCUAUAAAAAUACCAUAUGUCCUUAUAUAUCAAGACCUUCCUUACACAACCACUCUUUAAAGACAUGAGUUAAUCGUUUGAAAUGAACCUAAUGCUUUACUAUUGAAGAAGUAGUUUGAGCAUUCUGUAUCACAGAUUUCUUCUACAUCAUCUAAUAAGUUGCUAGAGUUGCUAGUUUCCUUGGCAUCCAAUUAUGGUCGAGAGCUAACUAGAACAUGAGCUUUUCAAUUGGUAACUUAUGGUAUGUUUAUAUUGGUUUACUAUUUUUUUUUUAAAUCAAUACUAUGUCUUGAUUAUGUGUGAAUAUAUUCUUUUACAGUAACUCUUCUUAGUAGGCCAUAAGAUGGGUUACGUGGUACUAUAGUUAGAAUCACCUUUUUCACCCUUGACAUAUGAAGCUCCAAUCUUAAUUGUAGAUUUUCUUCUAGGUGACUUUUUUUUUUCCCUAAGGGAUCUCUAUAUUCAUCACAUAAAAUUAGACAUAAAUGAGGAGGCAUUGUGGUCCAAGAACAAUAAUGCCAUUUCCACCUAUGCAAGCCACAAAGGUAGUCGGCACUAUUUCUCUCUACCCCAAUUUCCACUAAGGCUGAUCUUUCCAUAAUAGGUAGGUUUCAAAUCUUGAACCUACCAUGUUAAGUCCGAUUUUUAGUUUUGGAAUUUGGGACCUACCUUGUAAACUAUGAAUCCUAGCGUGUCUGUCGGGUCUAAUUCUAGCGUAUUUUGGGAAAUCGGCCAGGUACUUUUUUUCCCUUUAUUUUUUAUCAUAAACUAUUUUAAAAUAUUUAUGUUCCAAUUUUACUUUAUACUUUAAAAUAAAAAUUGUGUUAUAUUCUCUAUUCAAGAGAGAGGGAGAAUGAGAAGGGAGCUUGUAAUAUGAGAAAUAAGAAAGUAGUAAGGUUUGAGUUUCUAAAUUAGAUUCUAAACCGCCAGUUGUAGAGUAAGUGAGUGGAACCUACUUGCACAAUACCGAUUCCAAAUUUUUGGAAUCAAUGGAACUAGACUAGAAUUGGCCAGCUCAGGCUAGUUCAAUCUAAUUCUACGAUAGACCUGGAAUUAAUAUUUAUCCCUAAUUGCCACACAUGGAUGGAUUGUCAAAGGUUACCAUCAAUUUGUAGUUGUGCAUGCUUAUCGUGGACUGCGACGUGGCACGUGCAACUAUAAUACGAAGUCACAAGAAGUCUACAAAGUGCCACUAGUUAAGUAGUAUGUACCAACCCAAUUUUUAUUCGCCCGGUUAUAACUCAAUAUAGGUUGUCUUUACAAUUUCUUUUUCGUUGUCGGUGCAAGUUGAAGGUCACCACCGUCCUAACUGAUAUCGGCAAUGACGUCAGAUUAGAAAUUAAUUUAGUCGCAUCAUAAUGCCACAUAUACUCAAUUCAAGUUCUUUAAACUUAGAUCUCGAAAAAAUCAAUGAUUGCACUUUAUUUAUUUCUCACCCCCAUGUGGGGUUCUUUUUUAAUCCAUUGCGCUGAUUUUUUUUUUUUUUUUGGAAAUGAAGAAAUGGGUCUUGCUAACUUCGAAAUAGAAAAACCUAUGAUUGUUCGUCUAUAAUACUGGCUUUGCAACGUGCGUAGGUGUUUUAGGAUUCUGUUGUGUCAUGUGAUGUGUUUACUGAUAACAUGGGCACAUUAGUUAUAUAAUAUGAUAUUCACCGUCACGUUUUCAAACUAGCUAGUGAAUCCUAGUGAAGAACUUUUGUUGCGUAAAUACCACGUUGAUGUGACAUUGAUAAAAAUUUCACUUUCAUAACAAUUACAUUUGUUGAGAGUUGUGCAUUACAUGCAUCAACGUGAAGUCAUGACUUUUCUCAAAUUCAUAGUGAUUGGAAAAAUAAUUUACAUGGACACUUUUGAAUAGGCAUGAUAUACGACAAUUUCACACACAAAAAGAUUGGUAAGUGUAAGCAUAAAGCGACGCUCUUCAUGAAAAUUUGUCCACUCAAAUAUGGAUUCGCACAUUGCAAAAUUGGACUAGACAUUCGAUUAGAGAGUAAUAUGGCAAGUGGGGCCCAGUACAGCACCUCACUUUCUUUUUCAGCGUGCCGUCUCAUAUACCCUGUCCGAUUUAUUCAAUCUCAAUGGUCGGAAAGCCCAAGUGGGGCCCUAUCAAAGUCAUGGUCGACCUAAGAAAUUUACUGAAAGAAAAAUCCAAAUACCGAGUGACGUGCUCGCUGACGACGACAAUAAUCUCAAAACCCCUAUAAAUUGAGACGAUCCCUUCACUCCAGUCCCACACCAUCGGCUCUCUCUCACACAUCCUCUUCUCUGAAACUAGUGACACAAUGUCUUCCAGGUACUUGCUAGUUUUUUUCCUGGGAGCGGUGCUUUUCGCCGCUGCCGUCCUCUCCGACGGCCACCACCCUUUCAAAAAAGAGCAUAAACCACACCACAAACACCACCACAAGCACCACCCUGGUGGUCGCGGUCUCUUGGAGACCGUUGAAGCCGAGGACUCGCACAAGCCGUACCCUAAACACAAGCCCCCACACCACAGCCACCCUCAUGAGCACAUUCUUGUCGAGGAGGUGGAAAAUGAAGACUCCCACAAAAAGCCAUUCCCCGGCAAGAAACCGCCCCACCACCCCGGUCACUUGCUUGCAGAGGAAGUGGAAACCGAUAAAAAAAAGAAGCCAUUCCCCGAGCACAAAUCCCCAAAGAAAGGUGACAAGCCACCACCGAAGCACAAGCCGCCCCACGAGGGACACAUUCUCGUAGAGGAGGUGGAAGAGGACUCGAAGAAGCCAUUCCCUGAGCACAAGCCCCCCAAGAAAGGUGAGGAGCCCAAGAAGGGAAAGGGAGAGAAGCCGCCACCAAAGCACAAGCCACCACACGAGGGACACAUUCUCGUAGAGGAGGUGGAAGAGGACUCGAAGAAGCCAUUCCCUGAGCACAAGCCCCCCAAGAAAGGUGAGGAGCCCAAGAAGGGAAAGGGAGAGAAGCCGCCACCAAAGCACAAGCCACCACACGAGGGACACAUUCUCGUAGAGGAGGUGGAAGAGGACUCUAAGAAGCCAUUCCCUGAGCACAAGCCGCCAAAGAAAGGCGAGGAGCCAAAGAAGGGAAAGGGAGAGAAGCCGCCCCCAAAGCACAAGCCACACCACAAGGGACACAUUCUCGUAGAGGAGGUGGAAGAGGACUCAAAGAAGCCAUUUCCUGAGCACAAGCAGCCCAAGAAAGGUGAGGAGCUGAAGAAGGGCAAGGGAGAGAAGCCGCCCCACCACAAGCCACCGCACAAGCCCCCCACCGAGAACUGAGCGUGCGUUCUUCAAUGAACAUAUAUGCCGUGUGCUUAUCACACGUUCAAAUAAGAGCUGUUCCUUAGAGUUCUGGUUCUUCCGCGUUAUCUGGUUGGCUCUUUGUGUUACAUGUAAUAUAGGAUGUUUGUACUUUGCUCGGGCAUUUCCUUUGACGUUCUUGAUAUUGCUAGUAUGAGUACCUAGAGGGGGGUGAAUAGGUGCCUAAACAAUUUAUCGAUAUACGGAAGCGAUUCUUAGCAUUUAAUAGAAAGUAAAUUCUCUCUUAAUUAACAAAAUGAAAUACGAUUGAGGUAGAGAGAGUAAGGAAGAGAAAAUUGAACACAGGAUUUAUAGUGGUUCGGCUUAUUCCAAGCCUACGUCCACUCUUCCGCACUGACAGCCCACCGGCUGGAUUUCACUAUGAUCAAAAGAGAAGUUACAGCACAGCUUUGCCUUGAUUCCACAGUGUAGAUGUUCUACCACACCUCCUCAAGGUCUCUCACAAAUAUAGACUCUCUCUUUCGUAUAUAAGUAUUUGCUCAAAGGAUUUGUCUAAACAAAAAAGAGCUUCAGACUUUGGAAUUCUUCUUUCGCGCACACCUUGAACAGCUAAGACAAUCUUCCUUAUAUACUCCUUUAUGCCAUCAUACCCGUUGGCACUUACCAAAGGAAUUCCUCCAAUCUACCCGUUGGACGGAAUCAAUUAGGAAGAUUGUCCAAGCUAUAAAUGGAACGUGUUGAUAGCCCAUCAAUCCUGUUCGCCCAUACAAUCAGGAUCUCGGUUUCCAUAAGCAGAACCUUCCAAUAAUAUUUAGGCAAUCACUGGAUCUUCAAUUUAUCGAAUCAAUCUUCGAUCAAUCGAAGGACUCCGUUUAUGUCUUCUCCAGCCAUGAGAUCUUCUCCAGUUGAUAAGGUUAAAUUCUCAACAAAACAUCCAGUUCUGGAUAACCUUUCUUCAACGGAUUAGAGACUGUCAAUGAAGAUAGACUUUGAGUCUUGAGUCUGGCUGUCCCAAGGUCUUCAAACUUUAAAUAGCAGAGUCUGCAAGCCUUCAGACUAGACUGAUAGAAACGAUUUGUCAACUUCAAAACACUUCAAGAAGAUUUCUCCAACAAUCUCCCCCUUUUUUAUGGUGACAAAACUAUCCUGCAGAUUUGGAUAUCUUUGACCUGCAAAACAUUUCUCAAACACAUAUGCAUAUCUUAUAGAGGUAAAUGUCUUAACAGAAUAACACUAGAAUCUGCAACCACAGAAAAUAGGUUAGUCCAGUAUAUGAUGAAGCCAUCCAUAAGAUAUCAAUAUUAGUUUAAUAGAAGCAGACAAGUCCAAGUCUAGUUCAGUUCUCAUCCAGACACAAACCAAAGUCAAACAGAUUCAAACCACAAAACAAUCCAACAAAAACAAUUAAAAGUUGAAUGAAAGGUUUUUUGAUCAAAUCUUGCAUCUCUCCCCCUUUUUGUCAUCAUUAAAAAGGAUGAGAUGAAGUUAAGAUUACUUGGGAACGCGGACAAGCUGGAAAUCUUCCAUAGACUGAACGAUGCCUUCCAGCCUUUUAAAGUCUUCCUUUAGCUGUGCAACCUCCUCACUCUUGGCAUUGGCCUGAUUCUGAAUAGAGAGGGCUUGCAUUUUAUCAUUCAAUGAACAGGAAGAAGCUUGACCUUCAUUCUUCAAGCUUUGAACUUCGCAUCCCAAGGCAUAAAUCUGACCUCGCAUCUCCAAAAGAAUAUCCAUGAUUCUGCGAAAAUUUGCUCCAUUAUCAGUUUGAGUACUUGCUUCGGCUCGAUCUGAUGGAGUAAAUGCAGAAGAUGGUAGAUCAGCAUAAUCUUGCAGGUUUGGCGAUGAAACUUCAUGACCUUCUUCUGGAAAUUGAGAUGCAUAAACAUCCUCUGGGUCUGCUGGUGAGCGACUGACUCCUUCACUUGCAUCAGGACAUGAAGACUUCACUCCUUUCUCUUGAUCUCCCCCUGUUUCCAUGCCUACAGGUGGAGAAGAGUGUUCUUCAGGUUCUCCUUCUUCUCUUCUUUCUUCUUCAGGUCUUUCCUCCUCUGUUUCUUUUUCAGCUUCUAUUUCUUCUUCUUCCUUCUCCUCUGCUUCUUUCGUCAUUUGCUCCGAUUCUUUCUGUGGAACAGGACGACUUAAAUUCUUCAAAGCCAAUGCAGAGAUGGUGAUGUCUUCCUCAUCAUCUUCAUCCUCAACAAGGAGAGCUCUUCUUCUCUUGGAUGGAGCAACCAUGGGCUCCUUCCCUUUUCUUUUAGCUGUAGAAGAUAUUUGAUGAGAUUUUGCAGGAGUCUUCUCCUUGAAUUUCUCCAACUCCUUGCUCAGUUCCUUCAAACGCAUUUUGGUCACCAUUUUCAGACCUACCACCAUAUGAUCGCAUGGUCGAACACAAAAGAUUUGUGGAGGUUGAAUAUUCAGAUAUCUGAAUAACUUCGUAACAAGGCUUGGAUAAGGGAGUUGACCUCUGUCCUUCAUCAUUGCUCUAUACAUGUGAAACAUCACAGUGUGAGGGAGAGAAAACCUUUUUCCAAAGAGAAUGGCAUACAUCAACUUGGCCUCUGAACUUGAAACAUCAGUCUUGGAAGUCGAUUUCGGUCGGAUUCAAUUAAUCACAAUCUUGUGAAGCAAGAUGUUGAAUGCACCCAUCCUUAAGUAGGUGAUCUUUUCAUCUGUUCUUCUGUCCUUCACCAGUUCAAGAGUGGCCCGAGCAAUAGAAACUUUGAUUGGCUGAUAUCUUCCUCUUUCGACUUCUAACACAUCUGCUAGCAUAUUCAUAUCCACAACAUAAUCUUGGUCUUUAACGCUGAACGAGAAUCUAUUCGCAUCCAAAAAGCUUAGAUUUGAAUAGAAAUAUGCAGUUAAUUCAACAUAGGCCUCUGUAGAGUCAGAGCAGAACUUUUCAAGUUGAAGAUAACUGAACUUUUCCCUCAAGUUCAUAUUCACAGCAUCCAGAAAAUCAAAAUCUACGCUCCUAGGGUUUAUCACCCCACGCUUCAGCAAUUUAGAGUACAGAUCCUUUUGCUUCUUUGAUCUGAACAAAUCUCCCAUUUUUCCUUGGUUAUCAACCGCAACACCCAUUUUCGGUUGGAAUUGACUGUACAAUUUAUCAUCAUCAUUCCCAUCUACAGGAUUUGGCCCCCAGUCACGAGGAUCACUUGGGAUAUUUGCAAGGGUUUCCUCAGCCACCCCUUUUCGAGCAAUUCCCAAACUUUCCAUUUUUUUUUCAGAAAGAUAUAUUUGUUCCCAUGUCCUUUAUCUUUAAGAAAAUCAUCAAUGUAGUUCAAAGGGGUACGAAUUCCUUUUAGGGCACGAUAUAACUGAUAAAUAUAAGCGGGCUUUUGAACUCUUACAGGGUCUGCAUCCUCGAUGAUUUCUUCAUGUUGUUAUUGAUCAACGCCUUGAGGACUAGAUGGAGGAGAAUGACGCUAUUGAGAAUGUUGUGGGCUCGCUUGCUGAUCUGGAGUCACUUCAUCUUCAGUAAGAUCGAAGUGCGUAGGCCCCUCACUCAUCCGCCGUGGUCCCCUGCUUGCAAUUCUCGAAGACUUUCUUGAAGAUGACAUCUUUCUCAGUUUUUGGAAGAUUCCUUGCUUGACUUUCCCAGGAAAGAUGACAACUUUUUGAGGAUUGAGCGAAGAAGACAAACGGGAAUGGAGGAUCGAUGCUUUCUAGGGUUUUUGAGAGAAAAGUGAAGAGGAAUCGACAUUUCAAGAUCGGUUAAAAGAGGGAUAAACGAACCAUCAUAAAGGAAAUAAAAAUAUGCCUUUUCAAAAUAACUGUCUUUUUCCGCAAAAAUAGCCAUUUCAAAAAUAACUUCCCUUUUGAAAAUGAAACGAUGCAAUAUUUUCGUCAAUUAAAUAUAGCAACAAUUUAAACACAGUCUGACAAUCGUACCUUUCCAAGUUGAGAUUCAAGAGAGAAAGACUUACAGUCUGACGGACGUACCAAGACUGUCUUUCAGAUAAAGUCUUGUAAGUCUGAGUCUGAAAGUCUUUAGACUUUGAUAUCCUCAUACCUCAGAAUGUUGAGUCUCGAGCGUAUAGACUCAAAUUGAUUUUUCUCUAAAGGCUUUGUGAAUAUAUCCGCCAGUUGAUUCUUUGAGUCAACAAAUUGAAUUGAAACAUCUCCAUUUUGAACAUGGUCUCUUAUAAAAUGAUGUCGAAUCUCUAUGUGCUUUGCUUUUGAGUGAAGAAUUGGAUUUUUGGUGAGGUUGAUAGCGCUGGUGUUGUCGCAAUUAAUCUCAGUACAUGAGUCUUCAAUUUCAAAGUCUCUUAGCUGUUGUUUUAUCCAUAGAAUUUGCGAACAACAGCUUCCCAGGGCUACAUACUCUGCUUCUGUUGUUGAAAGAGACACAGUGCUUUGUUUCCUUGAAAACCAAGACACUGUCCUGGUUCCAAGCAACUGGCAAGUUCCCGAAGUACUCUUUCUAUCAACUCUACAACCGGCCAGAUCUGCGUCUGAAUAUCCCAGAAGAUUAAAGUGUCCCUUCUUAGGAUACCAAAGACCGAUGCUUGAUGAUGAAGCAACAUAUUUAAUGAUGCGUUUAGCAGCAUUGAGAUGGGAUUCUCUAGGAUCUGAUUGAAACCUAGCACAGAUGCAAACACUCAACAAGAUGUCAGGUCUAGAAGCAGUAAGAUAAAGGAGUGAACCAAUGAUGCUUCUGUACAGCUUUUGAUCAACUUUCUUCCCUUCUUCAUCUUUGUCUAUCUUCAAAGAACUUAACAUCGGUAUGUCGGUCUUUUUGCAUUUUUCCAGUCCAAAUCUUUUGACAAGAUCAUUAACAUAUUUUUCUUGAUAAAUAAAGGUUCCUUCCUUCAAUUGUUUUACUUGAAGACCAAGAAAGAAUGUUAACUCUCCCAUCAUACUCAUUUCAAAUUCAUCCUGCAUAGACUUAGAAAAUUUCUUGCACAUAUUUUCAUUAGAAGAUCCAAAAAUAAUGUCGUCCACAUAUAUUUGAACAAGUAAGAAACUUUUGUUCUCCUUUUUGAUAAAUAAAGUUAUAUCCACUUUACCUUUGACAAAACCAUUUUGUAUUAAAAACUUACUUAAUCUGUCGUACCAAGCUCGAGGUGCUUGCUUUAAACCAUACAGAGCCUUCUUCAGUCUGAAGACUGAGUCUGGCUUCUUUGGGUCUUCAAACCCUGGUGGUUGUUCCACAUAAACUUCAUCUUGGAUGACUCCAUUUAGGAAGGUGCUUUUGACGUCCAUUUGGAAUAACCUGAAAUUCUUAUAACAAGCAAAUGCAAGUAAUAGUCGAAUAGCUUCUAACCUUGCUACUGGAGCGUAAGUCUCAUCAUAGUCUAUUCCUUCUUCUUGCGUAUAUCCCUUGGCCACGAGUCUUGCUUUGUUUCGUACGACUUUUCCUUUCUCAUUCAUCUUGUUUCUGAACACCCAUUUAGCUCCAAUAACAGUUUUACCUUUUGGUUUGGAUGUCAAUUCCCAGACAUCAUUUAUGCUGAACUGUCUGAGUUCUUCUUGCAUAGCUUCAAUCCAGCUUUCAUCAGACAAAGCUUCUUCUAUGCUUUUUGGUUCAAUUUCAGAAACAAGAGCUACAACACUAGACUCUUCUCGCCUUUUGGAUCUGGUGCGAAUUCCUUCAUUAGUUUCGCCGAUUAUAAGAUCUUUGGGAUGACUGGACUUAUGCUUCCAGUUACUUGUUGAUAUGUCUGUUUGAUGAUCUCUCUCUUUGAUUGAAUCUUCACGAACAUCCUGAUGCUGGUUUUCUAGAGUCUGAGAUGCUUCUUGAGUCGUAAGCUUUGGAAGGUCUGGAGCAGGUUCAGACUCUUCUUGAUGAGUCUGACUUGAUUCAUCUUGUGUUGAGUCUUGAAAUUUGACAUUCAUUGACUCCUCCACAGACUGGCUCUUCUUGUUAUAGACUCUGAAGGCUUUGCUUGAUGUAGAAUAUCCAAGGAAGAUACCUUCAUCUGAUCUUUCUUCAAACUUACCAACUCGAUCUUUUGCAUUUUUCAAUAUAAAACAUUUGCAACCAAAUACAUGAAAGUAUGAAACAAUAGGCUUCUUAUCUUUGAACAAUUCGUAAGGGGUUUUCUCUAGAAUAGGUCUUAAGAAGACUCUAUUGAUGAUAUAACAAGCUGUUGAAACAGCUUUAGCCCAAAAUCGUGAAGAAAUCUUGCUUUCUAUUAAAAGAGUUCUAGCCAUUUCCUGAAGAGAUCUGUUCUUUCUUUCCACAACUCCAUUUUGCUGAGGAGUAUAUGGAGAGGAGAACACAUGAUUAAAGCCAGAUUCACCACAAAAUUUUGUAAAAUCUUGAUUUUCAAAUUCAUCUCCAUGAUCUGUUCUUAUACAAGAGAUAACACAGCCUUUUUCAUUUUGAACCUUUUUAGCAAACUUUUCAAAAUACGAGAAGGUUUCGGACUUACUUGCAAGGAAAUAUACCCAAGUAAAACGGGAGUAAUCGUCCACAAUUACUAGGCAAUAUUUCUUACCUCCACUACUCUGUGUUCUGGUUGGUCCGAAGAGAUCCAUAUGCAGCAACUGUAGUACAUGAUUAGUAGAGACAUGAUUUAUUGGCUUGAAUGAAUUUCUUACCUGCUUUCCCAGAAUACAUGGAGUGCAUGGAUCAGUCUUUUGAUAAGGUAAUUUGGGUAGUCCUCGAACAAGCUGCUUUGAUGAGAUUUUGGCUAAUUGCUUCAUGUUGACAUGCCCAAGCUUUCUGUGCCAUAAGCUUGCUUCGUCUUGAAUUGAGAUAAAACAUUGCGAUUCAUUUGGUUUCACAUCCAGAAGAUAAAUGUUUCCAUGUCUACGACCCAUGAAAGACUGAGUAGAGUCUUUACUGAUUCCAGAACAUAUUCCUUCUUGAAAAAAGAUCUUGAAACCAGUAUCACACAAUUGACUGAUGCUGAGAAGAUUGUAAUUGAGUCCUUCCACUAAGGAAACAUUACUUAUUGUGAGAUUUCCAAUUUUAACAGUUCCAAAUCCCACAAUACUUCCUUUGUUGUUUCCUCCAAAUGAAACUUUUCCACCAUUUACUUGAGCAAGCUUUAUGAAACAUUUUGAGUCUCCUGUCAUGUGUCUUGAGCAUCCACUGUCAAGAUACCACUUUACCUUUCUCUUGACGGUGACCUGCAUUUAAAAAACAGUCUCAAGCUUUCUUUGGUACCCAAACUUUCUUGGGUCCUUUGGUGUUAGUAAACUAAGCAGUAUUAGCCCAUAUUUUCUUAACAGGUUUCCAAACCAUAGGACACUCUUUUUCAAAAUGAUCCGGACUGUUACAUUUUGAACAUUUUAGAGCAUUUCUACCUACAGAUUUAACAAAGACUUUCUUGAAGUGAUUUUUGUAAACCUCACUCGAGAGUCUUUUCUUAAUUCUUUCUUUUACUUUAGGGAAAUCAAUCAGGGGAAUUGUUUCUUCCAUCAUACCUAGACCAGACUUAUUGAAGUAAGGUCUUUGUGCUGAAAGAAUUUUCUCAAGUUUUUUAGACCCUAUUGAAAAUUUCUUUGAUAUAUUUGAUAAGUCUGUUUUUAAAAAGACAUUUUCUUUUGAAAGAUUAUCUCCAUUUUCUUUAAGAUUGGAAAUAGUCAAGUCUAGACUUUUAACUCUUUCUACUAAAACAUUUUCCUUUUGUUUUAGAGCUGAGUUUUCCUUUUUUAGUUCGGAAAUUCUUUUGAGAGAAGUCUUAAGACUAAAACAUAAUUCAUCAAUAUAUUUAGAAACUUUGACAGGAAUUUUAAUAUCACUUGCCUCAAAUUCACUGUCUGAGUCUGAUCCAGAGUCUGAGUCUGAUUGUGCCAUUAGACAUAGAUUGGCAUAUUCAUUAUCACUUUCUUCACACUCUGUGUCACUCCAUGUUUCGGCUUUGAGAGCUUUUCGAAAUCUUUUAGCUUUUCCUUUCUUCUUCUUCAGAAGAGGACAGUUGGGUCUGAUGUGUCCCUUUUUCUUACAUUCAAAGCAGACUAUGUCUUUAUCCCUGUCAAGAAUCAUCCCACAUUGGGACAAAUUUGAAAUGAAUGAUAGGAAUCUUCUUGCUCCCACUUUCAUCAAUCUUCGAAUAUAGCUUUUGCAGUGUAACUCGUACGGAAAUUUAAAGUGCCUUAAGAUGACAAAGAGCAGUUAUUUUUUUAUCCUACACACUUUCAUCCAUUGCAUAGCCCACUUGAGCCUGCAAUUUCAUUUAUUUAAACUUAGUUGGUGAUCAUCCUCCACACUAGGGCAAAGCAAAAGGCAAAUGAAGACUGUGGCGACCUUCUCGAAUUUUUUGAAGGUGAAUUAUUCGAAAAGGCUAAUGGAUUACUAAGUCCGAAGACUUGGCACGGACCCUCCCAAGUCCUACCAAUCGCAACUUGAUAGAAAUUAACUUAUUUAAACAUGCAAUUAUAUUUAAUUUGGAGCUGCCACUAACCAAUUAGAGUUGGUUAGAAACCCAAGUAAAGUCCGGUGACAUGGUUACGCUAGAUUAGUCUAACGCCCUUUCGGUACUUUUUUAUUUUAAUUUUAAAAAUAUUUUGCAGGCAAUGUUGAUUAAUUUAAACUUAAGCUACUAACAUACAAAUGGUGGUCAUGCGAGUGCACAAUCAAUAAAAUAACAUUCAAUAAAAAAUGCUAAUAAAAUUGCAUGCCCUAAACAUGAUUUCUAAAUGACAAGACACCUAUUUUUUCUUUUUCUUUUAAAAAUGUUAAUUAUAUGCAAUCUUAAUUUAACUUAAUAUGCAUGAAUUUAUUUUAAUGACAUGCUGGUAUGACUUAAACUUAUCACUAUAUAUAUGCAAUCUAAUUUAUAUAAUCCUAAAUAUGCAUGUGCUACGUGAUAUGGGAUGAAUGACGUGGUAUUUCUACUUGCAUGCUCUUUUAUGAUUUUUUUUAUGAUGAUUCAUUUUUUAAUGCAUAUAUGCAACCUAUGCUAAAUAAUGAUGAUAUGAGAUUAAUUAUGAAUUAACCUAUUAACUAACCAAGGAAAUGAUCUUUUCUUAUUUUAUUUUUUAAUGACAUAAUGUUUUUUUAUUGAAAAGAAAGUAACUUAAUGGUGCAAUGAUCAUCUUUUAGCAUUUUCCUUUUUAUUUAAAAAAACAAUUAAACUAUUACUCAUAUGGCAUGCAUAACAUUUUUUUUGUUCCACUUUUUUUGUUUACUAAAUGAAAAUUGGCUUAACCUAAAAAUAUCUAGGUGUGCUACUUUAAUGCGAAAUGUAUAUGGACCUAAGUACCUAAGUUCUAGAUAUGACAAUAUUUUACUAAUAAACAAAUUCUAAUUAAAUAAACUUAACAUGCAAACUUAAUUUUGGUUUUCAUUUUAUUUAAUGAGAAUCAUGCAAUGCAUGCUACUAAUUUUAACAUGAAAUGAUAUGACGUGGCAAUAUGAUCUAACAUAUAUAACAUGAAUAAGCAUGGAAUCUAUCCUAAAGCAUGAAAUGAAUUUAUUCUAAUUUUUUUUUUUGUAUUUUCCAUGAAAUUCAAAAUUAAAGAAAAGCAACAAUUAAUAUGCAAUCUAAAUUAAUUAAAUGAUCUAAUUCUAAUGACGAGCAAUUUCUAACUAAAUGAACUUAGCAAUAAUUACUAAAUGAUGAAAAUUUCAUAAACAUAAUCCUACACGUCUGAUUUAUUAAACCUACAUGCUUUGAUGCAAGAUUUUGAUUUUUGAUUUUUUGAUUUUUUUUUAGUGUUUUAGUGUUUUUCCAAGACAAGUAAUUAUCGACUAAACAUUAAAUCUAAACAAUCAAGAUAUUCAAUAAAUAAAUGAUUAAAAUAACCGAAAAAAUAACCCAUUGUCUCACAGGUCAAAUUAACGAUUAUUCUAAACCUAAUUAUCACGACAAAGAGAUCAAAAUAAUUAAAAAUAUGAUCCGAAGUCUUACGGAUCAAAUUAAUAAUUAUAAUGAUUUAACAAUUAAAAUUUUACCAAAAAGCCCAAAAAUUAAUAUAAUUAAAAAAAAUGAUCCGAUGUCUCUCGGAUCAAAUUAAUCAUUACCAAACUCUUGGACAAAGCCUUAAGGAUAAUGUCUAAACAAUACAAAUAAUUACAUUAAUAUACCAUGUUUUAACUUAAAUAAUAAUAACAAAACUUAAAAUAUAAACAAAUAAAUGAAUAAAAAAUAAAUAAACCACCUAAGGCUCAAAAGAGGACAGUGGCGUCGACAGGGAAGCGAAUCGCAAGCGGAGGCGGUGCGGUGGCACGGCGAGGUCAGGAGUGGCUGGCUUUGGAGCUCCGGCGAGGGCUGGGCAGCAACAGGUCACGGUAGCGUCUGGCUUCGACCGGCGGUGCUACAAAAUCAACAGACGCGGCAUCGGAUUUGGGUGCUUGUGGCAUCGGUGUUGUUGGGUGGAGGUGCAGGCACAGCUUUGCGGAUGGCAACCGGCAGGCGCUCGGGCAGAGGAAGACUCAAGCGUCGGGCGGUGUAGAGAUGGUGGCGCAGCGAGGUCAGGAGCGGUAGGCUUUGGAGCUUCGGCGUCGCGCUAGGCAACAGCAGGUCGCGAUGGCCGGCGCGGGUUCUCGGGCUGCUACAGCGUCGCGGGGGAUCGUCGGGUGGUGUGUGCGAGUUGCUGCGGGUUGCAGGUUGCUGCACGGCGAGGCUUGCGGGUGCUAGUGCGCAGAGGCACAGCGAUGACCGGCUAAAUCGUGAACCGGCGAGUUGUAGGCAAAGCGGAGGGAGCUGCUGCAGGCGUCAGUGGCAAGGCUGGAAGUCGAGGGGCUGACCGAAGCGUGAGGACUAGUGACUCGCGGGUUGCUGGCGCGGUGGCCGGCGCGGGUUCUCAGGUUAAUGCAGCUUCGCCGGACGGAUAGAGGGCCGAAUGGCAACGGACAGGGCGAAUCAAUUUGGUUUGCAGCAUCAGGUCACCGGUCGGAGGUUGCAGUGGUCAGAUCUAGCUGUAGGAGCGGAGCUCAAGUGUUGGGCUCAUGGUGGCGAGGUGACCAGCUCGAGCUUGGUCGCGGGUUUGUGCGGUUACAUAUAUGUUCGGGUCUAGCUCCAGAUGGAGGGGACCGCUAGGCGUCGUACCAAAGGCGGCGCGGCAGUGGCUUCAAGUGACGGUAGCAGUGCGGAGCCAACAGCGAGCGAACGGGGCGCGGGUAGACGGAAGUAGGGGUGACAAGACCCGAACUGAAAACCGAACCGAACCGCGAACCGAACCGAACCGAACUGAAAAUUUUGAUUUUUUCGGUUUGGUUCGGUCUUCGGUUUGGAUUUCAUCAAAAAUCGAAAAAAAUUUAUCGGUUUGGAUUUCAUCAAAAACCGAAAAAAAAUUAUCGGUUUGGAUUUCAUCAAAAACUGAAAAAAAAAAUUUAUCGGUUCGGCUUUUAUCGGUUCGGUUAACCGAAAACCGAACCACAAAGGCACAAACCGAUAAGAUGAAAUCUAAUUCGAUUCUCUCCCGACUCCCGUCUCUCAGUCCUCUCGUGUCUCUUGGUUUUUAUCGGUUUCGGUCUGAGUUCUCUCAACGGCGACGGCGACUGCAACGACGAUGGCGAUAGGGACGGCGACUGCGACGGCGACGGUGAUGGCGACCGAUUGAGGGACAAAGCCCCUUUUUUCUGCAAGUCUCUCCUUCGUCCCUCUUCCUUCUGUGACGAUGACGGCGACAAAGCAUGUCCUGCGCGCGCUCUUCUCUGGACUGAGGGGCCACCGUCUUCACUUUGCCGGCUAUACACCUCCAGUUCGCAACUCAUCCUCUUGUCCGACGCUUCCAUCUCUUCGAUUCACCUCACCGACUUGGCAAUCUCGGCGUUCUUGGAGCAGAUCAGGCCCUCCAGCAUCAGGACGAGGAACGCUGUCUCUGGGACAACCUCAUGCUCGAGGAGCUCGGUCUUGACGUACAACGGCGGCUUCGGCAAUUUCUGGAAGCCCAUCGCCAUCUUCACUUUGCCAGCUAUCAUCGGAGGGAGAUUCUGGAGCUUAGGUUUUCGGACGACGGUUAUAAUUACUUGGGGUAUUUAAGGGAGAUUAGGAAUGCAGGCAGGGGUUCCGCUUUCUAUCAUAAUCCUAAGGCUAGGCUUGAUCUGGUCCCGGAAGAUGUCAAGGUGGGUCUCUUGAAUUCGUGGUUUUCUCUCUUAAUGUCUGCAAAUCUUAGUGUUCUGCUUUCUAUCAGAAUCUGAGGUUGGGAUUACAGGGUAUGGAAGAAAGGGGUGAGUUUGCGUUUGAGGUUAGUGUAAAUGUGCAGCAUUUGAGAUGUGAGUGUUGCUGCUGCAUUAGACUCAGGUUAAUCUGAGGUUGGGAUUACAGAGUGUGAAGAAAGAAGUGAAUUUUUGUUUGAGGUUAGUGUAAAGGUGCAGCAUUUGAAGUGUGAGUGUUCUGCUGGAUUAGAUUCAGUUUAAUCUGAGGCCACUUCUAAUCCUCUCUCCACCCUCUCCCUCUAUCUGUCUCUCUCUCAUGGGUAGUUCGAAACAGAAUUAUAAGCUAAUAGCCACAGAGCAUGAUUUAAUUGAUUCUAAAUGGAGCACUAGUAGCUAAUGGCCUCUCAACUAGUCAACUGUAUUGCAAGUUAGCCAGAGGUCCCUACUUAUUCUGUAAUUUAGAGAUCAUGGGUGUUUUUAUAUCCUUUUGAGAUCCUUUUACGUGUUCAAUCUAUUAGGUGCUCUGUGGUGUUUGAGCAAUGCAUUGCUGGGUGAGAGGCAAUGUCCAUCAAGAUGUUUCGAUGUCCAAAUUGGGUUAAAACCGUAAUGAUUCGAUUGAACUUGAGAAUCUAGUCUGGGGUUUGAGCAAUUUUGAUUUUAUUCUGUUCCUAUGGUGAUGUACCCCUUUCUUCACCUUUGAGGUGGAACUACUUAUUUCCCUCUCUUCUUAGAUAUGUUGAGCUUAAAACAGUCUUGCAUGUUCAUAGAGAGUGACUUUCUUUCUUUUCAAGCAAUGAUGCAAAUAGAAAACACAGAAGCGAAAGUAUAUAUUGUGACAUUAGAUUCCUAAGUUGAGAUCACUAAUUUUAUUUCAAUUGUUUUGGUCAGGGUAUACAAAAGAAAGGAGUAGCAUUGUGGUUAUUGGGCUUAGCGUGCACACAACUCCUGUGGAGAUGCGUGAGAAACUUGCCAUUCCUGAGGCAGAAUGGCCUUGAGCCAUUGGAGAACUCUGUAGUUUGAAUCAUAUAGAAGAAGCAGUUGUCCUUAGCACCUGCAACAUAAUGGAGAUAUAUGUUGUCGCUUUGUCUCAACAUCGUGGGGUUAAAGAAGUGACUGAAUGGAUGUCUAAUGUGAUUUACUUUUGCUCCUUGCCAUGACAAUAAUUUGGAUUCUUGCAAUAAUUAAUUGCCCUAUGAUAUUUGUUUUAUGGAUGAAAAGCACUAGUUUCCUUUGAGUUCUUGUUAAUCCGGGAUUCUUUUCUUUUUUUUCCUCUUCUUCUCUGGUGAACAGAAUCCCUAUUUCAGAGCUUUGUCAACACCGGUUUUUGUUGUACAAUGGGGAUGCUACACAUCAUCUUUUUGAAGUCUCAGCAGGUCUUGAUUCUCUUGUCCUUGGAGAAGGACAAUUUCCUAGACUAAAUGGGUAUACUUGCUAAGUGAAAUGUGAUGUGAAGCAUAAAGACUAUAGUAGAACAUUCAUAUGAGAAGAUAAGUUGUUAGCAUACUUUAUCACGAUUUCAUAUGCUUAUGGCUGUAUUUACGAAUCACUAGUGUAAAAAAAAACACUUAAAAUCGCUACACUGCAUGUAGGACCAAAUAUUCCUUCUGGGAACAAAUUAAGAUUGGAAAAGCAAAAAGCAGGGCAGUUUUUGAUCCAUACGAGUUGCUCUUGAAACCCAGAAAGUCAAAAGUGAAGCUUUCGCUUCCUUUUGAAACCCAACUAGAUUGGAAGCAAUGCAAAACUCGAGCCAUUUCCAGGCUCAACUGGGACAAGCCCACAAAAGAAACCACGUCUCGGGACGCCAUCCUCCUUCCAAAGAAUUCUCAUGCAACAUUCCAAGCUCCUGUCCUCGCCGUCGCUUCUUAUCCUCCUUGGUUUCUUCUUGCUUGACUUCUCUUCGAAGUGAAGUCAUCUCGCUUCUCAUGAUGUGAUAAUUUCAGGAGAGUGAAAGGGCUAUAACAAGGGAAGAAGGAAGAGAUCUAGCUCAAAGAUAUAGAUGUUCGUUUCUUGAAUAUAGCGCAAAAACUAGAGAGAACGUCAAUGAAUGCUUCAAGGAGCUUAUACAGAAGGUAAGCUGUCCCGACAAAAAAAAAAAAAACCGAAAACCGCAAACCAAAAGUUGAAAACCGAAAAACCGAACCGAACCGAAAGUUCGUUAUCGGUUCUGGACUUAUUCGGUUCGGUUCGGUUUUCCAAAAAACUGAACCGAACCGAACCGUUUACACCCCUAGACGGAAGCAAACCUCCGGAGAAGAACAGUGUUCUUUUUCUUUUUCCUCUUGUUUUCUCACGUCAUCUCCUGUUCUACUUUUUCACUUUUCACCUUUUUGACUUCUUUUUUUCUCUCUCCCCCUCUCUCACGUCACUCACCCCCUACUCCCUGUGUACUUUCUGCAGGAGACUUUCUUCUCUUCUCUUUCUGCAAGAAAUCAAACUCUUAAUAUAGUGAGUCAUAUCUCCAACAAGGCGAUACUAAAAGACUCAAAUGCUAUUUCAAUCAAUGAAGUUGUGAUAUGAAAAUCUUCAACAGUGGACAAGGAAAGUAGUGGAAAUGUCAAGAUGAUCACCAACUUUGACUCCCCUAAACACUUUUUGAGCUUAAUGAUCCUUUCAUUUCUCAACCCAUGAGCCAAGCCUAUGUUACGUCCCUUGCAAAGUCUCUUCAGAUUAUGGCACUUGAAAUAACCUAGGGGUUCACAUGUUUUAAGCAUAGCUCGAAGAAGUGCGAGUAAAAUUAUUUCUUUCUCAUUAUGCAAGGUUCUUGACUUGUAAACCUGGAAAUGAUUGCGAAGCUGUUCUUUCAAUAGCCUUGACUCAAAGAGUCCCUUUGUUAAGCCGUUGACCAAGCUCACAAUAUGGUCCUUGUUAAAGAUCUCUCGGAUUGGUAAAGUAGUACCGCUUGCGAGAAUACUCAGACCCCUAUCGAUAUGGUGAGAUGGAGUGAUUCUCUUUUAAAUGAGAGUGAGAGAAAGUCCUUUCAAAUCGAAAGUUUCUCAUUUGACAUUUUCAAGAUGUCUUCAUUACAAGAGUAGAUUGUCUUGGUUAUAACUCUCCACAUGAGAUUCUGGUAAUAAUAGAAACAAGUGAUGAAUGCAUCUACUUGUUAUUACUGACCAUGUUUGAUAGGCAAAUUUCUCAUGAAAGUCAAGCAGCAAUUGGCCCUGAAGCAUUGGGAUUCGUCCAAACUAUUUGGUAACCCAAUCAAUCAAGCCUCCAAGAAAGGAGCCCCAGGUAAGUACCAAAUCUUUCAAAGUACUCAAGGUAAGACUCGGGUAACUCGUCUUCCAAUUUGGAUCUACAUGCAUAAAGAAAAAAGAAUUUGAGCAUCUUCUCCAAUCUACAGAAAUUGAGAGUCUAUGAAUGUCACCAAAAUCUUUCAACCCGAUCUUGACAUCUCAGUCUGAAUUUGGAUGUCUUAAUUCUUUUCAGUGAACAUUUCACUUUGAAUGUGAAUGUUUUUCGAUUUUUCUUGUUAUACCUUAGUUUGGAUCUAGGUAUUUCAAGUUCUAAAAUCUUGACAUCUUAGUUUGGACCUGGAUGUCCUAUUCGUUGAACAUUUCAUUCUGGAUGUUAAUGUUUUUCGAUUUUUCUUGUUAUACCUUAGUUUGGAUUUAGGUAUUUCAAGUUCUAAAAUCUUGACAUCUUAGUUUGGACCUGGAUGUCCUAUUCGUUGAACAUUUCACUCUGAAUGUGAAUUUUUUUCGAUCUUUCUUGUUAUACCUCAGUUUUGAUAUAGUAUUUCAAGUCCCAAAAUCUUGACAUCUCAGUCUGGAUCUGGAUGUCUAAACUAUUUUCAUCGAAACAUUUCACUCUUGAUGUGAAUGUUUUCCAAUCUUUUUCGUUAUGCCUUAGUUUGGAUCUAGGUAUUUUGAAUUCUAAAAUUUCGACAUCUCAGUUUGGACCUGGAUGUCCUAUUUGUUGAACAUUUCACUCUGGAUAUGAAUGUUUUUCGAUCUUUUUUGAUAUACCUAAAUUUGGAUCUAGGUAUCUCAAGUCAUAAAAUCUUGACAUCUCAGUCUGGAUCUAGAUGUCUUAAUUCUUUUUGUUGAAUAUUUCACUUUGGAUGUGAAUGUUUUUUAAUCUUGCUCGUUAUAUCUUAGUCUGGACCUAGAUAUUUUCAGUUCCAAAAUCUUGACAUCUCACUCAGGCGACUGUAGAAAGACACGAGUCCUAGAAAGUGUUUCCCUGUUUAGGCAACCGUAGAAUGAUAUGGGUCCUAGACACAACCAAACAUUGUCAUACUGGGCGACCGUAGAAUGGUACAAGUCCUGGGAAAGCAGUCUCUUUGCGAAGCCAUGUUACUAUUCUUGGCGACCGUAGAAUGGUAUGAGUCCUAGACAUGUAACGCCAAUCUAUCUUGAGUUACUCUACCCUCCUCGAAAGUAAGUAAUUCCAGGUAAAGUUCCUUUAUCAUUUGCAUUAGUAUUUUCAUAAAUCACAUAAAUUGCAUUUCAAAAUAGAAUUCAUUUUCCCCCAAAAAAAAAAGAAAACAAAAAGGAAAAAAAAAGAAGGGAAUUCAUUUUCCAACAAAAAGUCAUUUAGUGCAUGUGCAUGAUCAAAAUUUAGGUCCCAACUUGUCUUUAAAGGCAACCUCUACGAGCUCACCUUCAAAGAGGGGCAGAUGUUGACAUCUAAUUUUAGCAAAUCCAGGAAAAUAAGGAAAAUAAAAAUUUCAUUUGAAUAAAUAAAAGGAAAAAAAUGAAAAAAAUGGGAGAAAUUGAUUUGAUUGAUUAUGCAUGGAAACUUGGAAUUCCAAUGAAUAUUCGGAUUUUGUCAAAUGUAGAAGCAAUUUGAAAAUCAAGUGAAUAAAUGGCAAGAAUUUUUACCAAAUAGAAGAAAUCAGAGCAAAAUCGAAUUGAUUGCGAAACCACACUCUGAUUUACGGUCUUAAUUUAAUGCAACAGAAGAUGGAAACUCGAAAGUUGCUAUAAAAAUGGCCAUCUAGAGAUCAUUAUAAAAAUGAGCCACAAUUUUCGUGACCAAGGGGGACGAAUUCGAAAAAAUCGGAGAGAAAUUCUUGCUCGGUCGAAUUUAAACACAAAAAGGAGAGCUUGUUUUCUUUCUCCUUUCUUUCGUUUGGGAAGAUGGAAAAGUCAAAAUGAGAGAGUGAAAGAGACGUGAGUGCAGAGGGUGGACAUGCGAAUAGGUAAGAGAGAGAGAAAAUAAAAAAGAGAAAAGUAAAAAACGCCACUGUUCAUCUUCUCCGUGGCCUUCCUUUGCCGUGUGACUGACCCCUGCACCGCUGGUCUCCGAGCUGCACCCCCGGCCUCCACCGCGCCUUGCCAGACUUGCCCUCGACAUGCUGCAACAUCGCCACCGUGCCCGACGCUGUUGUCGCGCCCACGCCUCCGCCUGAAGCCCACUCCGAACGCGCCUCUGCCAAUGCCAGCGCCACGCCACCUCUACCCAUCCGCCGCUGCUGCUGCGUCACUACUCCACGCACCAGCACCCGCAAGCACCGCCGCGUAGCAACCUGCGACCUGUAGCGCCCGCGAGCCCCCUCGCUUCUCAACCCGACGCCGAUGCUUGCACCUCCACCACGCAGCACAGCCGCCGACACCCGCAGUUGCUCCCUUGCCACUCCAUCCGUGCCUCAACCCUCGUUGACACUUGCGCUCCUCGCCACUCCGCUCGCCGUUCACUACUAAUUAACCUGCAGUGCCGGAUGCCAGAAGACUCGUCGCCGGCCACUACCUGACGACCUGCGACCCACGCCAGCAUCUCCGCCUUCGUCGCCUCGCUGCAGCCNNNNNNNNNNNNNNNNNNNNNNNNNNNNNNNNNNNNNNNNNNNNNNNNNNNNNNNNNNNNNNNNNNNNNNNNNNNNNNNNNNNNNNNNNNNNNNNNNNNNUUUGUGUGAUGCAAUUUAUUUAUUUGAAUGUUUAAUAGUGGAUGAGCAUCCGUGUGGUCACCAUAUUUGCAUGAUAGCAAUUUGGUUAAAAUAAAUCCAAGCUGCCUGCAAAAACAUUUUUUAAAAUAAAAAUAAUGGUACCGAAAGAGCAUUAGAGAAAUCUAGUCUAACCAAGUUCUCAUACCCAUAGUCUCUGGUUUGUAGGAGUAAAAUAAUUCUUCAAUUAUUUUAUUUAGGUGUCUAAUCGACUUACCAUAAAUUGAUUAGUGGCGACUCCUAGAUAAAAUCCAUUUGUAUGUUAAAUAUUUGAAUCUUAAGUUGCGAAUUAGUAAGGGCUUGGGAAAGCUCGAGCUAAGUUUAAACACUUAGUAAUCUAUUAACCUAGUUUUAAGUGGUGCACUCAAAAUUUAGGUCACGACACUUGUGUUCACAAUCACGUUUGACAAUUCCCUAUUCAUAGGUAUGCAAAGUGUUGGAUGAUUUUGUUAUUCUUUCAUCUCAAAAGUUAGCUUAAAGAAUGAGACUUUUUCUCAUAUUUAUAAAUCGACUACCAACUUCUACAAUCGAAAUUCAAAUAAUCUCAUUCUCACAUAUCGGGCCUUGACUGGAAGCCGCAAUAAUCCGUAACUCAACCUGGGUUCUAAUAAUGAUAUUAGGUGAUUUUGAGCCUUACUCGUCCCAAAAGUUAACUUAAGGAGUGGAGUUUUUCCUCACAUUUAUAAACCAACUACAAGCCUUUUGCACAAUCAAUAUGGAAGAACCCCCAAUUAAAGGGUGUAAAAAUUAGAUUUUUAGAAGUUCAAUUACUAGUGAAGAAAUUUCAUUGCCCAAGUACCAUAAAAACUAAGCAAAGAGUUAGCGAUGUGUAUAGCGAUGUGUAUGGGACUUGCCUAUUUUAUGCGUUGAGAUGAAUUUGAUUCAAACCCUUAAAAUGAUGCAUGGAUCCGUCUUAUGGUGAAUAAUCAGCAUUGGUUCGCUAUUGAUUGAAGCUACUGAACUUUCAACUUGAACCGAAAUAAUAAGGAAUUUUUUUCAAAUCCACAAUUAUUGGAAAAUGAACCUACGUGAACACUUUUUGGAUUGGCAUAAUAUGUGACAUUUCCACGCAUAAAAAAUCGGUUGAGUUCAAGCAUAAAGCGAAGUUAACAUUUAUCUAAAAGAAGGAUUCGCACAAUGCAAAAUUGGACUAAACGUUGGAUUAAAGAGUGAUAUGGGUAGUAGAAAGCACAAGAGUCCAGAAUAGCACCUCACUUUCUUAUUCAAUGUGCUGUCUCAUAUGCCCCGUCCGACUAAUUCAAUCAGUAGUUGGAAAGCCCAAUUGAGGCCCUAUCAAAAUCAUGGUCGACCUAAGAAAUUUACCCAAAAAAAAAACGAAAUACCGAGUGACGUGCUCGCUGACGACGACAAUAAUCUCAAAACCCUAUAAAUUGAGACGCUCCCUUCACUCCAGUCCCACACCAUCGGCUCUCUCUCACACAUCCUCUUCUCUGACAGUGACACAAUGUCUUCCAGGUACUUGCUAGUUUUGCUCCUGGGAGCGGUGCUUUUCGCCGCUGCCGUCCUCUCCGACGGCCACCACCCUUUAAAAAGAGAGCAUAAACCACACCACAAGCACCACCCUGGUGGUCGCCGUCUCAUGGAGACCGUUGAAGGCAAGGACCCGCACAAGCCAUUCCCUAAACACAAGCCCCCACACCACGACCACCCUCUCGAGCACAUUCUUGUCGAGGAGUUGAAAGGAGGACUCCCACAAAAGCCAUUUCCCGGUAAGAAACCGCCCCACCACCCCCAGCCACUUGCUUGCCGAGGAGAGGAAGCCAAUGAAAAAAAGAAGCCAUUCCCCGAGCACAAACCCCCAAAGAAAGGCGACAAACCACCACCGAAGCACAAGCCGCCCCACGAGGGACACAUUCUCGUAGAGGAGGUGGAAGAGGACUCGAAGAAGCCAUUCCUUGAGCACAAGCCCCCCAAGAAAGGUGAGGAGCCCAAGAAGGAAAACGGAGAGAAGCCGCCACCAAAGCACAAGCCACCACACGAGGGACACAUUCUCGUAGAGGAGGUUGAAGAGGACUCUAAGAAGCCAUUCCAUGAGCACAAGCCACCAAAGAAAGGCGAGGAGCCAAAGAAGGGAAAGGGAGAGAAGCCACCCCCAAAGCACAAGCCACCGCACAAGGGACACAUUCUCGUAGAGGAGGUCGAAGAGGACUCUAAGAAGCCAAUCCUUGAGCACAAGCCGCAAAAGAAAGGCGAGGAGCCAAAGAAGGGAAAGGGAGAGUAGCCACCCCGAAAGCACAAGCUACCAAAGAAAGGCGAGGAGCCAAAGAAGGGAAAUGGAGAGAAGCCGCCACGAAAGCACAAGCCACCCCACGAGGGACACAUUCUCGUAGAGGAGGUAGAAGAGGACUCAAAGAUGCCAUUCCUGAGCACAAGCCGCCCAAGAAAGGUGAGGAGCCAAAGAAGGGCAAGGGAGAAAAGCCACAACCAAAGCACAAGCCACCACGCGAGGGACACAUUCUCAUAGAGGAGGUUGAAGAGGACUCUAAGAAGCCAUUCCCUGAGCACAAGCCACCAAAGAAAGGUGAGGAGCCAAACAAGGGAAAUGGAGAGAAGCCACCCUAAAAGCACAAGCCACCCCACGUGGGACACAUUCUCGUAGAGGAGGUGGAAGAGGACUCAAAGAAGCUGUUUCCUAAGCACAAGCCGCCCAAGAAAGGUGAGGAGCCGAAGAAAGGCAAGGGAGAAAAGCCACCACAUGAGGGACACAUUCUCAUAGAGGAGGUCAAAGAGGACUCUAAGAAGCCAUUCCCUAAGCACAAGCUGCCAAAGAAAGGCGAUGAGCCAAAGAAGGGAAAGGGAGAGAAGUUGAGAUAGCUAGUAUAAGCACCUAGAGGGGGGUGAAUAGGUGCACAAACAAUUUAUCGAGAUAUGGAAGCGAUUCUUGGCAAACGAUAGAAAGGAAAUUCUCUCUUAAUUAACAAAAUGAAAUACGAUAAAGGUAAAGAGAGCAAGGAAGAGAAAAUUGAACACAGGAUUUAUAGUGGUUCGGCUUAUUCCAAGCCUACGUCCACUCUUCCGCACUGACAGCCCACCGGCUGGAUUUCACUUAUGAACAAAAGAGAAGUUACAGCACAGCUUUGCCUUGAUUCCACAGUGUAGAUGUUCUACCACACCUCCUCAAGAUUUCUCACAAAUAUAGACUCUCUUUUGUAUACAAGUAUUCGCUCAAAGGAAUUGUCUAAACAAAAAGGAGCUUCAGACUUUGGAAUUCUUCUAUCGCGCACACCUCAACAACUUAGAACGUCUUCCUUAUAUACUCUUUUAUGCCAUCAUACCCGUUGGCACUUACCAAAAGAAUUCCUCUAAUCUACCCGUUGGACGAAAUCAAUUAGGAAGAUUAUCCGAGCUAUUAAAGGAACGUGUCGAUAGCCAUCAAUCCUGUUCGCCCAUACAAUCAGGAUCUCGGUUUCCAUAAGUAGAACCUGCCAAUAAUAUUUAGGCAAUCACCGGAUCUUCAAUUAUCGAGUCAAUCUUCGAUCAAUCAAAGGACUCCGUUAAGUCUUUUCCAGCCACGAGAUCUUCUCCAAUUGAUAAGGUAAAUCCUUAACGAAACAUCCAAUUCUGGAUAACCUUUUUUCAACGAAUUAGAGACUGUCAAUGAGGAUAGACUUUGAGUCUUGAGUCUGGCUGUCCGUAGGUCUUCAGACUUUAAAUAGCAGAGUCUGCAAGCCUUCAGACUAGACUAAUGGAAACGUUUUGUCAGCUUCAAAACACUUCAAGAAGAUUUCUCCAACAAUCUCCCCCUUUUUGAUGGUGACAAAACUUUCCUGCAGAUUUGGAUAACUUUGACCUGCAAAACAUUUCUCAAACACAUAUGCAUAUCUUAUAGAGAUAAAUGGCUAAAUGAAUAACACUAGAAUCUGCAACCACAGAAAAUAGGUUAGUCUAGUAUACGAUAAAGCCAUCCAUAAGAUAUCAAUACUAGUUAAUAGAAGCGGUCAAGUCCAAGUCUAGUUCAGUUCUCAUCCAGACAUAAAACAAAGUCAAACAGAGUUCAAACAACAAUACAAUCCAACAAACAGUUAAUUGAAAGUUUGUUCAAAUCUUGCAUCUCUCCCCCUUUUUGUCAGCAUUAAAAAGGAUGAGAUGAAGUCAAGAUUGCUUGGGAAUGCGGACAAGCUGUAAAUCUUCCAUAGACUGAACGAUGCCUUCUAGCCUUUUCAAGUAUUCCUUCAGUUGUGCAAUCUCCUCACCCUUGGCAUUGGCCUGAAUCUGAACAGAGAGGGCUUGGAUCUUAUCAUUCAAUGAACAUGAAGAAACUUGACCCGCAUUCUGCAAGUUUUGAACCUCGCAUCCCAAGGCAUAAAUUUGACCUCGCAUCUCCAGAGAAUAUCCAUGAUUCUGCGAAAAUCUGCUGCAUUAUCAGUCUAAGUACUUGCUUCGGCUUGAUCUGAUGGAGUAAAUGCAGAUGAUGGUAGAUCAGCAUAAUCUCACAAGUUUGGCGAUGAAACUUCAUGACCUUCUUCUGGAAACUGAGAGGCAUAAACAUCCUCUAGGUCUGCAGGUGAGCGACUGACACCUUCACUUGCAUCAAGAUAUGAAGGCUUCACUCCUUUCUCCUGAUCUCCCCCUGUUUCCAUGCCUACAGGUGGAGAAGAGUGUUCCUCAGGUUAUCCUUCUUCUCUUCUUUCUUCUUUAGAUCUUUCCUCCUCUGCUUCUUUUUCAGCUUCUCUUUCUUCUUCUUCCUUCUCCUCUGCUUCUUUUGUCAUUUGUUCCAAUUCUUUCUAUGGAACAGGACGACUUAAAUUCUUCAAAGCUAGUGCAGAGAUGGUGAUGUCUUCCUCAUCAUCUUCAUCCUUAACGAGGAGAGCUCUUCUUCUCUUGGAUGGAGCAACCAUGGGCUCCUUUCCUUUUCUUUUAGCUGCAGAAGAGAUUUGAUGAGAUUUGGCAGGAGUCUUCUCCUUGAAUUUCUCCAACUCCUUGCUCAAUUCCUUCAGACGCAUUUUGGUCACCAUUUUCAGUCCUACCACCAUAUGAUGGCAUGGUUGAACACAAAAGAUUUGCGGAGGCUGAAUAUUCAGAUGUCUGAAUAACUUCGUAACAAGGCUUGGGUAAGGGAGUUGACAUCUGUCAUUCAUCAUUGCUCUAUACAUGUGAAACAUAACAGUGUGAGGGAGAGAAAACCUUUUCCCAAAGAGGAUGGCAUACAUCAGCUUUGCCUCUGAACUUGAGACAUCAGUCUUGGAAGUUGAUUUCGGUCGGAGGCAAUUAAUCACAAUCUUGUGAAGCAAGAUGUUGAAUGCACUCAUCCUUAAGUAGGUGAUCUUCUCAUCUGUUCUCCUGUCCUUCACCAGUUCCAGUGUAGCCCGAGCAAUGGAAACUUUGAUUGGUUGAUAUCUUCCUCUUUCAACUCCUAACACAUCUGCCAGCAUAUUCAUAUCCACAACAUAGUCUUGGUCUUUAAUGCUGAAAGAGAAUCUAUUCGCAUCCAAAAAGCUAAGAUUUGAAUAUAAAUAUGCAGUUAAUUCAGCAUAGGCCUCUGUAGUGUCAGAGCAGAACUUUUCAAGUUGAAGAUAACUGAACUUUUCCCUCAAGUUCACAUUCACAGCAUCCAGAAAAUCAAAAUCCACACUCCUAGGGUUUAUUACCCCACGUUUCAGCAAUUUCGAGUACAGAUCCUUUUGUUCCUUCGAUCUGAACAAAUCUCCCCUUUUUCCUUGAUUUUCAACCGCAACACCCAUUUUCGGUUGAAAUUGACUGUACAAUUUGUCAUCAUCAUUCCCAUCUACAGGAUUCGGCCCCCAGUCACGAGGAUCACUUGGGAUAUUCGCAAGGGUUUCCUCAACCACCCCUUUACGAGCAAUUCCCAAACUUUCCAUUUUUCGCAUAAAGAUAUAUUCGUUCCCAUGUCCUUUGUCUUUAAGAAAAUCAUCAAUAUAGUUCAAAGGAGUACGAAUUCCUUUUAAGGCACGAUAUAGUUGGUAAAUAUAAGUGGGCUUUUGAACUCUUACAGGGUCUGCAUCCUCGAUGAUUUCUUCCUGUUGUUGAUGAUCAUCGCCUUGAGGACUAGAUGGAGGAGAAUGACGCUGCUGAGAAUGUUGUGGGCUCGGUUGCUAUUCUGGAGACACUUCUUCUUUAGUAAGAUCGAAGUGCGUAGGCCCCUCACUCAUUCGCCGCGGUCCCCUGCUUGCGAUUCUCGAAGAUUUUCUUGAAGAUGACAUCUUUCUCAGUUUUUGGAAGAUUCCUUGCUUGACUUUCCCAAGAAAGAUGACAACUUUUUGAAGAUUAAACAAAGAAGACAAACGGGAAUGGAUGAUUGAUGCUUUCUAGGGUUUUUUAGAGUAAAGUAAAGAGGAAUCGAUAGUGCACGAUCGGUUAAAAAGAGAGAUAAACGAACCGUCAUAAAGGAAAUAAAAAAAAUGUCUUUUCAAAAUAACUGUCUUUUUCCGCAAAAAUAGCCAUUUCAAAAAUAACUUCCUUUUUGAAAAUGAAACGAUGCAAUAAUUACGUCAAUUAAAUAUAGCAACAAUUUAAACACAGUCUGACAAUCGUACCUUUUCAAGAUGAGAUUAAAGAGAGAAAGACUUACAGUCUGACGGUCGUACCAAGACUAUCUUACAGAUAAAGUCUUUUAAGUCUGAGUCUGAAAGUCUUUAGACUUUGAUAUCCUCAUACCUCAAAAUGUUGAGUCUGGAACAGAUAGAUUCAAAUUGAUUUUUCUCUAAAGGCUUUGUGAAUAUAUUCGCCAGUUGGUUCUUUGAGUCAACAAAUUGAAUUGAAACAUUUCCAUUUUGAACAUAGUCUCUAAUAAAGUGAUGUCGAAUCUCUAUAUGCUUUGCUCUUGAGUGGAGAAUAGGAUUUUUGGUGAGGUUGAUAGCGCUGGUGUUGUCACAAUUAAUCUCCGUGCAUGAGUCUUUAAUUUCAAAGUCUCUUAGCUGUUGUUUUAUCCAUAGAAUUUGCGAACAGCAGCUUCCAAGAGCUACAUACUCUGCUUCUGUUGUUGAAAGAGCCACAGUGCUUUGUUUCCUUGAAAACCAAGACACUGUCCUGCUUCCAAGCAACUGGCAAGUUCCCAAAGUGCUCUUUCUAUCAACUCUGCAACCGGCCAAAUCUGCGUCUGAAUAUCCCAUAAGAUUAAAGUCUCCCUUCUUAGGAUACCAAAGACCGAUGCUUGAAGUUGAUGAAACAUAUUUAAUAAUGCGCUUCGCAGCAUUCAAAUGAGAUUCUUUUGGGUCUAAUUGAAAUCUGGCACAAAUGCAAACACUAAACAAAAUGUCAGGUCUAGAAGCAGUAAGAUAAAGAAGUGAACCAAUGAUGCUCUUGUACAGCUUUUGAUCAACUUUCUUCCCUUCUUCAUCUUUGUCUAUCUUCAAAGAACUUGACAUCGGUAUGUCGGUCUUUUUGCAUUUUUCCAGUCCAAACCUUUUGACAAGAUCAUUAACAUAUUUUUCUUGAUAAAUAAAAGUUCCUUCCUUCAAUUGUUUUACUUGAAGACCAAGAAAGAAUGUUAACUCUCCCAUCAUACUCAUUUCAAACUCAUCCUGCAUAGACUUAGAAAAUUUCUUGCACAGAUUUUCAUUAGAGGAUCCAAAAAUAAUAUCAUCCACAUAUAUUUGAACAAGUAAGAAACUUUUGUUUUCCUUUUUGAUAAAUAAAGUCGUAUCUACUUUACCUUUGACAAAACCAUUUUGUAUUAAGAACUUACUUAAUCUGUCGUACCAAGCUCGAGGUGCUUGCUUUAAACCAUACAAAGCCUUUUUCAGUCUGAAGACUGAGUCUGGCUUCUUUGGAUCUUCAAACCCUGGUGGUUGUUCCACAUAGACUUCCUCAUGGAUGAAUCCAUUUAGGAAAGCACUUUUGACGUCCAUUUGAAAUAACCUUUUUCUUGACGGUGACCUCAAAUUCACUGUCUGAGUCCGAUCUAGAGUCUGAGUCUGAUUGUGCCAUCAGACAUAGAUUGGCAUAAUCAUCAUCAAUAUCUUCACACUCUGUAUCACUCCAGGUUUCAGCUUUGAGAGCUUUUCGAUAUCUUUCAGAUUUUCCUUUCUUCUUCCUUAGAAGAGGACAGUUGGGUCUGAUGUGUCCCUUUUUCUUACAUUCAAAGCAGACUACAUCUUUGUUUGAUUCUUCAUCUUCAGCAGACUUGGUCUGUUGCUUUUGAAAACUUUGUUUCUUUGCAUUGAAUCUUCUUCCUUUUCUGUUCAGCUUUCUGAAUCUUCUUAUCAUAAGAGCAAGUUCUUCAUCAUCGAUGUCGUCUUCAGAAUCUGUUACAUCAGAAUCAUCAUUAGAUUUUAAUGCAAUAGAUUUCUUACCUUUAGGAUCUUCGUCUUCAUUGAUUCGUUCCACUUCAUAAGACCAAAGAGUCCCAACCAACUCAUCGACAGACAGUGGCAUGAUUCUUUGGGUCUCUCUGCUUGAGGUCUUUAUGUGAUUCCUAUCCUUGGAGAGUCCACGCAGUAACUUGUUUACUUUCAUGGGAUCAGAAAUUGGUUGACCUUGAUUUUCAAGACCAUUCACGAUAUCUGUAAAGCGACUAAACAUGUCAGUUAUAGAUUCUCCUGGUUUCAUUCUAAAGGCUUCGUAUUGACCGAGAAGAAUGUUGAUUCUUGUCUCUUUCACUCGAUCAGUUCCUUCAUAGGUAAUGUGUAAUCUAUCCCAGACUUCUUUGGCUGUAUCACAAGAAGAUAUUCUAUUAUAUUCAGUUGGUGACAAAGCACAAUAUAAAGAGUAAAUUGCUUUUGCAUCGAGUGCUUGUCUCUUGAUUAUCUCUUCCUGAGUCAUUCCGCUGGUCUCAACAGUUUCUUUCCCUAUUUCAGAGACUGAUGCAACGGCAAGAGUAAUUCCUUUUUCUACAACGUCCCAUUCCAGAGGAUCCUUUGAUCGUAGGAAAGCUUUCAUCUUGUUCUUCCAGAUGUUGUAAUCCUUUCCAUCAAAGUAGGGUGGUCUGGUGUUGCUUUGCCCUUCUACCAGCCCUGGAGCCAACAUACUAGCUAUGGAUCUUUAACUCUGGAGUAAAAUACUUCAAACAAAGUGAGUACACAGGCUUUGAUACCAAUUGAGAUAGCUAGUAUAAGCACCUAGAGGGGGGUGAAUAGGUGCACAAACAAUUUAUCGAGAUAUGGAAGCGAUUCUUGGCAAACGAUAGAAAGGAAAUUCUCUCUUGAUUAACAAAAUGAAAUACGAUAAAGGUAAAGAGAGCAAGGAAGAGAAAAUUGAACACAGGAUUUAUAGUGGUUCGGCUUAUUCCAAGCCUACGUCCACUCUUCUGCACUGACAGCCCACCGGCUGGAUUUCACUUAUGAACAAAAGAGAAGUUACAGCACAGCUUUGCCUUGAUUCCACAGUGUAGAUGUUCUACCACACCUCCUCAAGAUUUCUCACAAAUAUAGACUCUCUUUUGUAUACAAGUAUUCGCUCAAAGGAAUUGUCUAAACAAAAAGGAGCUUCAGACUUUGGAAUUCUUCUAUCGCGCACACCUCAACAACUUAGAACGUCUUCCUUAUAUACUCUUUUAUGCCAUCAUACCCGUUGGCACUUACCAAAAGAAUUCCUCCAAUCUACCCGUUGGAUGGAAUCAAUUAGGAAGAUUAUCCGAGCUAUUAAAGGAACGUGUCGAUAGCCCAUCAAUCAUGUUCGCCCAUACAAUCAGGAUCUCGGUUUCCAUAAGUAGAACCUGCCAAUAAUAUUUAGGCAAUCACCGGAUCUUCAAUUAUCGAGUCAAUCUUCGAUCAAUCAAAGGACUCCGUUAAGUCUUUUCCAGCCACGAGAUCUUCUCCAAUUGAUAAGGUUAAAUCCUUAACGAAACAUCCAGUUCUAGAUAACCUUUCUUCAACGGAUUAGAGACUGUCAAUGAGGAUAGACUUUGAGUCUUGAGUCUGGCUGUCCGGAGGUCUUCAGACUUUAAAUAGCAGAGUCUGCAAGCCUUCAGACUAGACUGAUGGAAACGUUUUGUCAGCUUCAAAACACUUCAAGAAGAUUUCUCCAACAGAAGCCACCCCGAAAGCACAAGCAGCCAAAGAAAGGUGAGGAGCCAAAGAAGGGAAAGGAAGUGAAGCCACCCCAAAAGCACAAGCCACCCCACGAGGGACACAUUCUCAUAGAGGAGGUGGAAGAAGACUCAAAGAAGCCGUUUCCUUAGCACAAGCUGCCCAAGAAAGGUGAGGAGCCAAAGAAGGGCAAGGGAGAAAAGCCACCACCAAAGCACAAGCCACUUCACGAGGGACACAUUCUAGUAGAGAAGGUGGAAGAGGACUCAAAGAAGCCUUUCCCCGAACACAAGCCGCCGAAGAAAGGCACGGAGCCGAAGAAGGGCAAGGGUGAGAAGCCACCGCACCACAAGCCACCACACAAGCCUCCCACCGAGAACUGAUUAUGCGUUCUUCAAUGAAUGUAUAUGUCAUGUGCUUUUCACGGGUUCAAAUAAGAGCUGGUCCAUAGAGUGUCUAGCACUACCGUGUUAGCUGGUUUGCUAUUUGUGCUCCAUGGGGAUAUAAAAUGUAUGUACUUUGCUUGGGCAUGUCCUUUGACUUUGCCUACAUUGAUAUAUGCUAAGUACUUGCUAGCCAUGAGCUUUCCUUUCUAAUUAUGCCUUUAAUUAGUAACUUACGAAUUAUGGACAAUGUCCCUUUGCAAUCUUAAGUAAAAAUAAAUAUAGGGUUUAUCCAUAAUUUUAAAUCAGAAAAUUGGUUGACCAAAGCUUCUUCUAAUCAAAGUUGGAGGAAGACAUGGCCCUUCUUUGUAGGUUUUUAAUAUGAUACAGUUAUUCUAAUGCCUAUUAAUUACAACUUUUCACAUCAUCCAACGUAUUAAUUUUGUAGAUUACCCUUGAUAUAUCUCACAUUAUUGGCCCAAAUAGUGGAGGCAUUUAUUGAGAUGAUUUACACACAUAGGUUGAAUCAUAAUGAUUUUCACCCCCCUCGAAAACUCAAAUCAUAGAUUGAAAGAGUGAUGCAUGGAACCAUUGAAGUUUGCCCCAGUGGCCACAUUUCCAAUAUGGAAGAGGGAGGUGGAGUGUUCGAAUCCCCACAUUCUCGAGGGGUUGGGGUGGGGAUGAUUUAUUUUCACGUGUAGGUUUCAACUCCCAUACUCUGUAAGGAGGCAGGGCAAAAGUCUCAAGAGUGAGAGUUAGUAGGAAUAGAGUAGGACCGACAAAAAAAAAAAAAAAAAAAGAGUGAUGCAUGGAAGUAUGCAUGCAUUUAUUGAUUUUGCAUAUUGCUAUAUGAACUUGUUAUCCCUCUCUUUGCACUUCACUACCUAAUUAUUUUCUUGAUCCUUCACGAGGAAUUUACAAGGGCAAAAUUACCAAACAACUCCAAAACCUAUUGUGCUUGUAUAAAUUCAUUCCUAAAUAUUUUAAUCAUGUCAAUUUAGUCCUAAAUAUUUUCAUGAUUUGCCAAUUUAUUCAUAAACUCUUUGUCAAUUUAGUCAUUUUAGCUAAUUUUGGCCCGAAAAACACUGACACGGGUCUAGUCAGCGUCAACCAUUCUAUUACUACUACUACUACUACUACUACUACUAUUGGCUUGUUUUUGUGGCCCUUGCCUAUGGCCAACAAUGGUUGGCUAGUGACCUCCAUGCCCUUGCUAGCAAAGAGUUGGAAAACAAGGUAAAGAAAAACGAAUACAAAAUUCAGAAAAAAUUAUCCACAUCAGCUUUUUUUCAGCAACAAUUAGUUGAAAUAACUAAAUUGACAAUUCGUCCAAAGGUUUAAGACUAAAUUGAUAUAAUUAAAAUAUUUAGGCUGAUUGACAAAUUGUCAAAAAUUUUAUAACUAAAUUGGCCAAGUUUAAAACUUAGGACCGAAUUAGCACAAGUACGAUGGAUUCAGAUUUUUUUUUUUUGUUGAUAUUUUUCAAUUUAUAAGUUAACAUAGAACACUCUCAUUUUAUCGUGAACUUGUUUAAUCCGAUCGUGAUAUAGUUGAGGAACUUCAUGAAUAACAGGUUUCUCACUAUACUUAAUUGCAUAGGAUACUAAAAAGUAAUCAUGUUACAAAGUCCUGGACGUGUGGUUAGUAUUGGAUGUGGUGUCGGCGAAUAUAUUAUCUUCAUAAAACUGAUAUGCCUAACCGACCUAAGUUUCAUAAAUGGAAACAAUGAUUAUAUGUCAAGAAAGCGAUGGUAUGGGAGACUCCAGAAACACGAUAAGAAGAUGCGUCCUAAUCAUGCCAAACAUGAUUGCUAGAAUGACGAAGCCCAUCACAUGCUCCAGUUUCACUGUUCAAAUUGUUGCACGAUGAAGGGAACAGCAUGUGAGCAUUUGAGAUCCUGAUCAGUUGAGUCCCGGUAGAGAGAGGGAUUUUGCGGCGUCUUUUCUUGGUUUCCCAUUUCAGAUGGGGACCCUUUGAUUUCAUACGUUUAACUAAAACGUGGAGGCAUUAGAGACGAUGAAAAAGGGACCCUCCACUCAUUAUUAUCUUGUCUAUUAGUUUCCUUAUAUUUUGCACAUUUUUCCUUAUCUCCGCAAGCAACAUUUUGCACGAAAACUAGGGGGGAUGUACAUUGAAACAUUGUUAGGUGAGCUCAUGAUAUGGGUUGGAUAGGUGGAUUUUUAUUAGAUACAUUGGAUGCUCGAGCCCUUCGGUUUAUGUAAUCUCCAUUCACGCAUGCUGGGUUUUUUCGUCCACCUAAAUCGUGAUGUGUUUGGAGGCACUGUAAAAUUUUUGUCAACCAUCACCUAAGUUCUUUUUUUUUUUUCUUUUUUUAAUCAAAAUCACAUAAGUUUAAGUUGUUAAAUGAAUGCGCAAUCUAUUAAAUAAAUACUGUUAUACUCUCUCUUGCGCAUAAGCUAGACUUUGAUAUAAGAUUUAGAAAGUGAGCACCGUUUUCAUAUAAAAAUACUUUAAAUCUCCAUCUCAUGCAUAAACAGGUUCAGUUCUUGAUUCCAAUCUUCUGUAACCAAUGUCCAUGGGUUGGUUUCUAAUUUGAUUUAUGAAACCAAUCACUCAUACUAACAAUAAAGCUUGGGAUCAAGAAUUGAGUCAACUUGGUUUCGAUUGUCCCCACUAAAACCGAAGCACAUAAGUUGAAAAUAUAUAUAUUAAGCAAAUUUUUCGUGGGAUCACUAAUAAGUAUUUAAAAAGCUUAAAUCUGUUAUUUAAUAUCUCAAGCAUGGUUUUCACACUAAAUCUCACUAAACAACCUUAUAAGUCUCCGACACCCUUUUGGUGUGUGCGCGCACGGCAUCUUCCUUUCCCUUCUCCCAAGGACAACCUGCAAUUACUUAAAUUCAAAUAUGAUGUCACCAAGCAUGUCAGCCACGACAGCGACUUCACCGGAUCGUGCGCCGGAAUGAAUAAAGACCCGACAAAGAGACAGACAGAGAAACGGGGUGGAUCCGAUCGGAAGGCUACAGGGUUUACGAUCGUUGAUCGCGAUUUUGGUGGCAAAAGCCUGUGUGAAAGGUCGAAAAGGUGGACAUUUCGCCCCGUUGGGAUUAGUUACGAUAAAAUCUUCUUUUGAGUCGAACAGCCCCGACAUCGGUGCUGCGUAUUUUACCUGGAUUUCAGUCUCGAUUCUGCUGAGAAAGACGUAGAGUAGACUAGACCCAGGCUCUUGACACCUCAUCCCCGGCAUCCUUCCUUUUUUCUGUGGUUUCCGUGAUCAUGUCAAACUUCUUCAUCCUUGCACUACGACUAGCCUAAGCAAAUUUCUGUCUAUUCUCGUUAUCAGUCUUUUCGUGUUUCUUGACUUCAAUAUUUAAAAAAUUAAGCCGCGGCAUCUCUAUCGUGUUCGGCAAGUAACUUUGAAUUUGUCAUAGAAAAUCAAUAUAUGAAGUGAUAAUUUUAGUUGAGCCAUGGUAUCGGUGAGAGUUGAUCGGUUGACUAAAUUGGAUGAAAACAUCAAGGUUUCGCUCUUUAAUAGAGUGCACAUUGAGUUGCUUGGAGUGCCCAUUGAGUUGCUUAGUAUAUUCUUUUUUAUCUUUAUUUUUUGUCAUUUAGUUUAGGAGUCCUACCCAACUUUUUUUUUUUUAAAGUAUAAGAAAGAGGACUCAAAGUUUCGCAAUGUAAAUCAUUUUUAAUAAUUAUACGGUUCAUUGAAACUUUUGGCCUUGAAUACUUUGCACGGAUAUGCGCAGAUUGCCCUGUCUAGACAUUUACGUCUAUCAAAAAAAGCUUACAUGCCGUCUAAUUUACUGUAGAGGAUAAUUCAUAUAAUUAUACCACGACAUACAUGAAAAUAAUACAUAUCUUACUUGACAGCUCUUAGAAAAAACAUAAAUGAUCAGUUUGAAAUGAAUCUAAUGCUUCACUGAAUAACUGUACAAAAAUAUUUCGAGCAUGGUAUGUCGGUAAUAUCCUCUAAAUCAUCUGACACGUUUCUAGUUUUUUUAUCAUCUAGAAUAGGAUUUAGAAGUACCAAGUCAUCUCAUGUUACGAACUCAUGCCACAAUUAUAACUAGAGCACGAGCUUUUCCAUCAGCAAUUUAUGUCAUGCUUAUAUAGCGUUGGUUUACUAUAAGAAAUCAAUAGCACGUCGUUUGUCUUUCAUUAGGUAUCAAAUUAUCCUCUUACGAACCCUCUUUCUUGCUGGGUUUUCUGCUACUAUAGCUAGAAUCACUCCUUUCACCACAAAAGAUACAGAGACGAUCUUGCAGGCCGACGUGGUCCUGCAACGAUAAUGCCAUCGCAACCUAUGGGAGCCACACAAAAGGUGGUCGGCACUGUUUCUCUCUGCCCCAUUCGCCACACGUGCGUGAAACUGCACCCGAUUCUUAUUCGCCCGGUUAUGGCACAAUCUAGCUUGUCUCUGCCAAUCGAAGGGCACCGUCCUAACUGACAUCGGCAGUGACGUCAAAAUUAGAAAAUAAUUAGUAAUACCAUAAUAAUAUAUUCAUUGAAUAUAUGUUUUUGAAUCUAAAACCUCCAUGCAAUUAAUGGUUGCACUUGUUUGAUCGGGAGGCUGCAGGAUUUGCGACCGUUGAUUGCGAUUUUGGUGGCAAAAGCAAGUGUGAACCGUCGAAAAGGUGGACAUUUCGCCUCGUGGGGGUUAGUUACGACAAAAUUUUCUUUUGACUCGAACAAUCCUCGAGGGGGGAUUGUUGUGCGUAGCAGACUCGACCAAGGUUCUUGACGUCUCAUCCCUCAUUCUUCCUUUUUCUGAGGUUUACGGGAUUUAUGUCCAAACUUCUUAAUCCUUCCACGGCAACUUAUCCUGAGGAAAUUUAUCUGUUGUCGUUAUCUAGUCAUUUCGUGUUUCUUGUAAUCAAUAUUUAUAAAAUUAAAUCAUGUCAUAUCAGUCAUAUUUGAAAAGUAUUUUGAAAGACUUAUUAAAAAUCAAGAGUGAUUGGUCUCAUAGUGACUCGAUUCUCACCCAGAAACUGUGAAAUGACUCACUUGAUCUUGAAAUUGAACUAAACCGGAACUAUUUCUUGGAUGGACCCGAGAAUUGACGAGGAUAUCUUUCUUUUCUUUUUUCCCUAUGUAGGAUCAUUCGUUUGCUCACUCAUUAGUCAGCAUAAUUUCAUACUUUGUAACACCGCCCUAAAUAGUAACAGACCUCCGCCCAAAUCUCUCAUCCCUUACUUCUUCACUGUUGCUAUUUAGGAUUCCCAAACUCCAUUGGAAUAAUCGUUCUUAGAAAAUUAAAGGAAAAGGUAUGUAAUAAAACAAACACCGAAUGAGAGAGGCACGUGACUGUGUGAGACUGAGAUUGAGAGUGAGAAGUGACAGGUGUGAGACUAAGUGAGUAAGAGGAACUGAGGGAGGUACCACAUGAGAUUGAGUGAGAGCAAAUAGGGAUGAGUAGUGAGUGAAAAUGAGAAAUUAGGGUUUUGAGAAUUGUUUUAUAAUAAUAAAAAUUAUAUAUAAAAAAACUUAUUCACCUAGUUAAGAUGGUCUGACAGAUCGGUCCACAUUGAAACCGGGAACUAAACCGAUAAUCACUAAUUCCAAAUCACCAAUUCCGUCUGGUUUCAUGCUCACCCUAUUAAAAAUAACAUGUGAAGUAUUAAUUAUAGUCAAGCCAUGGUAUCGGUGACAGUUGAACAUUUGACUAAGUUGGAGGUAAACACCAAAGUUUGUGUCGUGUUUCGCUUUCCUUUUUAAAAGAGUGCCCAUUGAGUUGCUUGCAAUGCCCAUCGAGUUGCUUGCUAAAUUCUUUCUUUAUGUUUAACUUUUUAUUAUUUAGUUUAGGCCCUUACGCAAACUUUAACAAAAGAUAAACAAGAACAUAGACUGUCAGAAAGAUCACUCAACAUUUUCUUCUUCUUUUUUUUGGUCGAAGAUGACUCAACAUUUUACUAUGCGGAAUUUCUAUUGAUAAUACGGGUCCCUAGAGUUUUUGGCCUCGAAUACUCAUCACAAAUGUGCGCAGGUCAGUCUCGUCUGGACGUCCACUUCCAUCAUAGAAGGCAAACAUGCCCUCAACGUUACUUUUUAGAAUAAUCCAUAGAAUUGUUACCCGCCUAUGCAAUGACUACAACAAUACUACAUAUCUUUAUGCAUCAAAACCUUUAUUACUCGACCACUCAUAGAAGAACAUAAAGUUAAUCGGUUCGAAACAAACCUAAUACUUUGCUAAUCAAUUGUGCAAAAGUAGUUUGAGCAUGGUACAUUGCGGAUCCUGUCUAUAUCAUUUAACAAGUUUCUACUUUCCUUGUCAUCCCAAUUGGGUUGGGAAGUACUAGGUCGCCUUACUUUACAAAAUUCAACCCACAAUAAUAAGUAAAACACGAGCUUUCCAAUAAGCAAUUUAUGGUAUGUUAGUAUAGUCUUGAUUUAUUAUAUGGAAUCAAUAGUGUGUCCUGAUUAUUUGUGAGAUUAUCCUCUUACAAUUACACUUUCCUUAGUAGGACAGGCAAUGAGGUUUACGGUGAUAUUGCUAGUAUAAACACCUAGAGGGGGGUGAAUAGGCGCACAAACAAUUUGUCUCAAAUACAUAAGCAAUUCUUAACAAAUUGAAAUACGAUCGAGGUAGAGAGAGUAAGGAAGAGAAAAUUGAACACAGGAUUUAUAGUGGUUCGGCUUAUUCCAAGCCUACGUCCACUCUUCCGCACUGACAGCCCACCAGCUGGAUUUCACUAUGAUCAAAAGAGAAGUUACAGCACAGCUUUGCCUUGAUUCCACAGUGUAGAUGUUCUACCACACCUCCUCAAGGUCUCUCACAAAUAUAGACUCUCUUUUGUAUACAAGUAUUCGCUCAAAGGAUUUAUCUAAACAAAUAGGAGCUUCAGACUUUGGAAUUCUUCUAUCGUGCACACCUUGAACAACUAAGAACGUCUUCCUUAUAUACUCCUUUAUGCCAUCAUACCCGUUGGCACUUACCAAAGGAAUUCCUCCAAUCUACCCGUUGGACGGAAUCAAUUAGGAAGAUUGUUCGAGCUAUUAAAGGAACGUGUUGAUAGCCCAUCAAUCCUGUUCGCCCAUACAAUCAGGAUCUCGGUUUCCAUAAGUAGAACCUUCCAAUAAUAUUUAGACAAUCAUCGAAUCUUCAGUCAUUGAAUCAAUCUUGAUCAAUCAAAGGAUUCUUAUACGUCUUCUCCAGCCACGAGAUCUUCUCCAGAUGAUAAGGUUAAAUCCUGAACAAAACAUCUAGUUCUGGAUAACCUUUCUUCAACGGAUUAGAGACUGUCAAUGAGGAUAGACUUUGAGUCUUGAGUCUGGCUGUCCGGAAGUCUUCAGACUUUAACUAACAGAGUCUGCAGACCUUCAUACUAGACUGAUGGAAACGUUUUGUCAACUUCAAAACACUUUCACUGAGAUUUCUCCAACAAUCUUCCCCUUUUUGAUGGUGACAAAACCUUCCUUCAGAUUUGGAUAACUUUGACCUGCAAAACAUUUCUCAAACACAUAUGCAUAUCUUAUAGAAAUAAAUGGCUAAUAGAAUAACACUAGAAUCUGCAACCACAGAAAAAGGUUAGUCCAGUAUAUGAUUAAGCCAUUCAUAAGAUAUCAAUAUUGAUUAAUAGAAGCAGUCAAGUCAAGUCCAAGUCUAGGCAGUUCUUAUCCAGACACAAAACAAAGUCAAACAGGUUCAAACCAUAAACCUCAAAACAAUCCAAAAAGUUUAAUGAAUGAAACGUUUUUGAAAUCAAAUCAAAUCUUGCAUCUCUCACCCCCUUUUUGUCAUCAUUAAAAAGGAUGAUAUGAAGUUAAGAUUGCUUGGGAACGCGGACAAGCUGGAUAUCUUCCAUAGACUGAACGAUGCCUUCCAGCCUUUUAAAGUCUUCCUUCAGCUGUACAACCUCCUCACUCUUGGCAUUGGCCUGAUUCUGAAUAGAGAGGGCUUGCAUCUUAUCAUUCAAUGAACAGGAAGAAGCUUGACUUUCAUUCUUCAAGCUUUGAACUUCGCAUCCUAAGGCAUAAAUCUGACCUUUCAUCUCCAAGAGAAUAUCCAUGAUUCUGCGAAAAUCUGCUCCAUUAUCAGUCUGAGUACUUGCUUCGGCUCGAUCUGAUGGAGUAAAAGCAGACGAUGGUGGAUCAGCAUAAUCUCGCAGGUUUGACGAUAAAGCUUCAUGACCUUCCUCUGGAAAUUGAGAUGCAUAAACAUCUUCUUGGUCUGCAAGCGAGCGACUGACUCCUUCACUUGCAUCAGGAUAUGAAGACGUCACUCCUUUCUCCUGAUCUCCCCCUGUUUCCAUGCCUACAGGUGGAGAAGAGAUUUCCUCAGGUUCUCCUUCUUCUCUUCUUUCUUCUUCUGGUCUUUCUUCCUCUGCUUCUUGCGCUGCUUCUCUUUCUUCUUCUUCCUUCUCCUCUGCUUCUCUUUCUUUUUCUUCCUUCUCCUCUGCUUCUUUCGUCUUCUGUUCCGAUUCUUUCUAUGGAACAGGAUGACUUAAAUUCUUCAAAGCCAUUGCAGAGAUGGUGAUGUCUUCAUCAUCAUCUUCAUCCUCAACGAGGAGAGCUCUUCUUCUCUUUGAUGGAGCAGCCAUGGGCUCCUUCCCUUUUCUCUUAGCAGCAGAAGAGAAUUGAUGAGAUUUGGCAGGAGUCUUCUCCUUGAAUUUCUCCAAUUCCUUGCUCAGUUCCUUCAGACGCAUUUUGGUCACCAUUUUCAAUCCUACCACCAUAUGAUCGCAUGAUCGAACACAAAAGAUUUGCGGAGGCUGAAUAUUCAGAUGUCUGAAUAACUUCGUAACAAGGCUUGGGUAAGGGAGUUGACCUCUGUCCUUCAUCACUGCUCUAUACAUGUGAAACAUAACAGUAUGAGGGAGAGAAAACUUCUUUCCACAAAGGAUGGCAUACAUCAACUUUGCCUCAGAGCUUGAAACAUCAGUUUUGGAAGUUGAUUUUGGCCGAAGGCAAUUAAUCACAAUCUUGUGAAGCAAGAUGUUGAAUGCAUUCAUCCUUGAGUAGGUGAUCUUCUCAUCCGUUCUCCUGUCUUUCACCAGUUCAAGUGUGGCCCGAGCAAUGGAAACUUUGAUUGGUUGAUAUCUGCCUCUCUCAACUCCUAACACAUCUGCCAGCAUAUUCAUAUCCACAACAUAGUCUUGUUCUUUAACGCUGAAGGAGAAUCUAUUCGCAUCUAAAAAGCUAAGAUUUGAAUAGAAAUAUGCAGUCAAUUCAGCAUAAGCCUCAGUUGAGUCAGAACAGAACUUUUCAAGUUGAAGAUAACUGAACUUUUCCCUCAAGUUCACUUUCACAGCAUCCAGAAAAUCAAAGUCCACACUCCUAGGGUUUAUUACCCCACGCUUCAGCAAUUUCGAGUACAGAUCUUUUUGUUCCUUUGAUCUGAACAAAUCUCCCCUUUUUCCCUGAAUUUCAGCCGCAAUACCCAUUUUCGGUUGAAAUAGACUGAACAGAUUAUCAUCGUCAUUCCCAUCUACAGGAUUCGGUCCCCAGUCACGAGGAUCACUUGGGAUAUUCGCAAGAGUUUCCUCAACCACCCCUUUACAAGCGAUUCCCAAACUUUCCAUUUUUCGCAGAAAGAUAUAUUCGUUCCUAUAUCCUUUGUCUCUAAGAAACUCAUCAACAUAGUUCAAAGGAGUACGAAUUCCUUUUAAGGCACGAUAUAGCUUGUAAAUAAAAGCGGGCUUUUGAACUCUUACGGGAUCUGCAUCCUCGAUGAUUUCUUCCUGAUGCUGAUGAACAACACCUUGAGGACUAGAUGGUGGAGAAUGACGCUGCUGAGAAUGUUGUGGGCUCGGUUGCCGAUCUGGAGUAACUUCAUCUUCAGUAAGAUUGAAGUGCGUAGGCCCCUCACUCAUUCUCUGUGGUCCCCUGCUUGCGAUUCUUGAGGACUUUCGCGAAGAUGACAUCUUUCUCAGUGUUUGGAAGAUUCCUUGCUUGACUUUCCCAGAAAAGAUGACAACUUUUUGAAGAUUGAGUGAAGAAGACAAACGGGAAUGGAGGAUCGAUGCUUUCUAGGGUUUUUGAGAGAAAAAGUGAAUAGAAAAGUGAAGAGAAAUCGACAGUGCUCGUUCGGUUAAAAAGAAGGGUAAACGAACCGUCACAAAGGAAAUAAAAAUAUGCAUUUUCAAAAUAACUGUCUUUAUCCGCAAAAAAUAGCUAUUUCAAAAAUAACUUCCCUUUUGAAAAUGAAUCGAUGCAAUAUUUACGUUAAUUAAAUAUAGCAACAAUUUAAACAAGUCUGAUGAUCGUACCUUUUCAAAAUAAGAUUGGAGAGAGAAAGACUUACAGUCUGAAGGUCGAACCAAGACUGUAGAUAAAGUCUUGUAAGCCUGAGUCUGAAAGUCUUUAGACUUUGAUAUCCUCAUACCUCAAAAUGUUGAGUCUGGUCCGUAUAGACUCAAAUUGAUUUUUCUCCAAAGGCUUUGUGAGUAUAUCAGCCAGUUGAUUCUUUGAGUCAACAAAUUGAAUUGAAACAUCUCCAUUUUGAACAUGAUCUCUAAUAAAGUGAUGUCGAAUCUCUAUAUGCUUUGCUCUUGAGUGGAGAAUUGGAUUUUUGGUGAGGUUGAUAGCGCUGGUGUUGUCGCAAUUAAUCUCCGUGCAUGAGUCUUCAAUUUCAAAAUCUCUUAGCUAUUGUUUUAUCCAUAGAAUUUGCGAACAGCAGCUUCCAAGAGCUACAUACUCUGCUUCUGUUGUUGAAAGAGACACGGUGCUUUGUUUCCUUGAAAACCAAGACACUGUUCUGCUUCCAAGCAACUAGCAAGUUCCUGAAGUGCUCUUUCUAUCAACUCUGCAACCGGCCAGAUCUACGUCUGAAUAUCCCAGAAGUUUAAAGUCUCCAUUCUUAGGAUACCAAAGCCCGAUGCUUGAUGAUGAGGCGAUGUAUUUAAUGAUGCGUUUCGCAGCACUGAGAUGAGAUUCUCUAGGAUCUGAUUGAAACCUAGCACAGACGCAAACAUUCAACAAAAUAUCAGGUCUAGAGGCAGUUAGAUAAAGAAGUGAUCCAAUAAUGCUCCUGUACAGCUUUUGAUCAACUUUCUUCCCUUCUUCAUCUUUGUCUAUCUUUAAAGAACUUGACAUUGGUAUGUCGGUCUUUUUGCACUUUUCCUGUCCAAACCUUUUGACAAGAUCAUUAACAUAUUUUUCUUGAUAAAUAAAAGUUCCUUCCUUCAAUUGUUUUACUUGAAGACCAAGAAAGAAUGUUAACUCUCCCAUCAUACUCAUUUCAAACUCAUCUUGCAUAGACUUUGAAAAUUUCUUGCACAGACUUUCAUUAGAGGAUCCAAAAAUAAUAUCAUCCACAUAUAUUUGAACAAGUAAGUAACUUUUGUUUUCCUUCUUGAUAAAUAAAGUCGUAUCUACUUUACCUUUGACAAAACCAUUUUGUAUUAGGAACUUACUUAACCUGUUGUACCAAGCCCGAGGUGCUUGCUUUAAACCAUACAAAGCCUUUUUCAAUCUGAAGACUGAGUCUGGCUUCUUUGGGUCUUCAAACCCUGGUGGUUGUUCCACAUAAACUUCCUCAUGGAUAAAUCCAUUUAGGAAGGCGCUUUUGACGUCCAUUUGGAAUAACCUGAAAUUCUUAUAACAAGCAAACGCAAGUAAUAGUCGAAUAGCUUUUAACCUUGCUACUGGAGCGUAAGUCUCAUCAUAGUCUAUUCCUUCUUCUUGCGUAUAUCCUUUGGCCACGAGUCUUGCUUUGUUUCGUACGACUUUUCCUUUCUCAUUCAUCUUGUUUCUGAACACCCAUUUAGCUCCAAUAACAGUUUUACCUUUUGGUUUGGAUGUCAAUUCCCAGACAUCAUUAAUGCUGAACUGUCUGAGCUCUUCUUGCAUAGCUUCAAUCCAGCUUUCAUCAGACAAAGCUUCUUCUAUGCUCUUUGGUUCAAUUUCAGAAACGAGUGCCACAGCACUAGACUCUUCUCGCCUUUUGGAUCUGGUGCGAAUACCUUCAUUCAUUUCGCCGAUUAUAAGAUCUUUGCGAUUACUGGACUUAUGCUUCCAGUUACUUGUUGAUUUGUCUGAUUGAUGAUCUCUCUCUUUGUUUGAAUCUUCACGAACAUCCUUAUUCUGGUUUUCCAGAGUCUGAGAUGCUUCUUGAGUUGUAAGCUUUGGAAGAUCUGGAGUAGGUUCAGACUCUUCUUGAUGAGUCUGACUUGAUUCAUCUUGUGUUGAGUCUUGAAAUUUGACAUUCAUUGACUCCUCCACAGACUGGCUCUUCUUGUUAUAGACUCUGAAGGCUUUGCUUGAUGUAGAAUAUCCAAGGAAGAUUCCUUCAUCUGAUCUUUCUUCAAACUUACCAACUCGAUCUUUUGCAUUUUUCAGUAUAAAACAUUUGCAACCAAAUACAUGAAAGUACGAAACAAUAAGCUUCUUUUCUUUGAAUAACUCAUAAGGGGUUUUCUGAAGAAUAGAUCUUAAGAAGACUCUAUUGAUGAUCUUUCUCAAGCAAUUUAUUGGUUCUAAAGCAGUGCGAUCCUGACACCCCUGAUAUCUGCUAUGAAUUUAACCAUUGUGACUUCUGGGUAAAUCUAUUUGGCCUCCCUUUUGGAAGAGUUACAUAUGAGGUAGUUACGGAAAUUGCAUCAAAAAUCAGAGAUGUUGUGGAGGUGAAAUUAGAAGCGAAAGAGAACAGCAAUUACAAGGUGGGUAGGGCCAGAAUUAAGUUGAAUUUGGAAAACCCUCUUAAAACUGGAGUUCUUGUGAUCUUGACAACAAGAGUUUGUGGGUAGAAUUCAAGUACAAAAGGCUACCGCAUUAUUGCUAUAAAUGUGGGAGAAUUGGCCACUAUGCGACAUUUUGCAAAGAAAUACUAUAUGAGGAAUCAGGGCUAGCUGAGAACUUACCAGGCUGCUUUGGACAUUGGCUAAUGUAAUUGACUCAAUGCCAACUACAAGCAAACAACCAGCGUAUGCACAUCACGUUUACACAUGCCCCAAAUGAAUUUCAGGAGAGAAUUAGAUUAUGGGAGAAUAUUUAUCAGGAAAGCCUACACUAUCAUUUUCCUUGGUUGUGUAUGGACGAUUUUAAUGAAAUCCUAUAUCAUUGGGAGAAAGUGGGAAAGAAAAGAGCAUAAAUUUACCGGCUUACAGCAUUCAGAGAUUUUCUGUAUAAAUGUUCUUUGCUGGAUUUGGAAUGUAAGGAUGUGCCUUUACCUGGACCAACAACAGAGAGGGAGAAAAUCUGUUCAAUAAGCGAUUAGACAGAGUAUUAUGUAGUUCAGAAUGGCGCAUUAACUAUCCCACAGCUGAAUGCAUUGCCUUACCUGCCAUUGGUUCCGAUCACACACCAAUUAUUCUUUCGACAAGCCUGCCGAGGAAAAGGAAGGGGAAGAGCUUUAAAUACGAAGCUUUCUGGGUAGAGGAGGAGGAUUGUGUGACUCUCGUAAGGGACACUUGCGCUGAACCGGCUUUCCAACAGUUUAGCAUGGUGGAGAAACUGCAGAUAUUGUCAAAAAAGUUGUUAAAAUGGAGCCAGAACAAAUUCACCAAUGCUAAAAAAAAGGAUUACUUGGCUGAAUAGAGAGCUACAACACUUAAUGAACAGCACAUGAAUAUCCAAUGAGAGCAAGGCAACAAAGGAAUUAAUAAAAGAAAUUGAUCAAUUGUGGAGACAAGAAGAAAUGUAUUGGGGAGUGCAGUCAAGAAUCAAUUGGUUAAAAUGGGGGGGAUAAAAAUACCAAAUUCUUCCAUGCCACAACUAUCCAGAGGAGAAUCAUAAACCAUAUAUCAUUGUUGAAAAAUGCAGAAGAUGUUUGGGUGCGUGAGGAGUAGCAGCUAAAAGAGAUGACCGGUACCUACUUUCAAAAGCUAUACGAGUCAGUGGGGCCUCAAAACUUUCAGCCCCUUUUACAACAAAUUCCAGUUUUGGUGGAUGUGAGAAUGAAUCAAUGACUAGUCGAAUCUGUUAGUAUGGAGGAAAUCAUGACAGCUAUGCAGCGGUUAGGAGCCAAUAAAGCGCCUGGACCAGAUGGCAUGCAUGACAUUUUUUUUCAGAAAUCACUGGCCAGAUAUUUGUCAGGACAUAUUUACAGAAAUACAGAAUUUUUUCACCACCGGUUAUCUCAAUCCUGAUCUAAACAAAACACUUAUAACCCUUAUUCCUAAGACCCCAAACCCAUAAAAGUUGGAAUAGUUCCGCCCCAUCAGCCUUUGCAAUUUUAUAUAUAAAAUCAUCUCAAAAGUGUUGUCCAAUAGAUUAAAACCUCCACUACCUCAACUCAUUGCAGAAGAACAAAGUGCUUUUGUGGGGGGAAGGCAAAUACAAGACAAUAUAUUGAUUGUACAAGAGGUUCUUCACAGAUUACGAACUCGGGAAAGGAAAAAGAAGUUUCAAGCAGUCUUAAAGUUAGAUAUGCAGAAGGCGUAUGAUCGGAUUGGAUGGGAUUUCCUAAGAGCAUGUUUAACUAUAAUGGGAUUUUGCGAACAAUGGGUGCAAUAGGUAAUGCAGUGUGUUUCCACAAUUACAUUCAGUGUAAAUUUUAAUGGGGAGGUUCUUUCUUCUUUCAGGCCAACUAGAGGAAUUCGCGAAGGUGAUCCACUAUCACCCUAUCUUUUUAUAUUAGUAGCUAAUGUUCUAUCAACCAUGAUGAGAAAAGCAGUGGAUGAUGGCACACUUAGAGGAAUUAAACUGAACAAUAGCUGCCCUACCCUUUCACACUUGUUAUUUGCAGAUGACUCUAUCUUUUUCCUCAAUGGCACUACCCUAGAAUGUCAAAAUCUAGCGAUGAUCCUACAUGAAUACUGCUUUGCUUCUGGUCAGGCCAUUAACCUUAAUAAAUCAGGUGUAUAUUUCAGCAAAUUUUGCCCUACUACAUUGAGGAGGAACAUGGCCACAGCAUUGCGAGUCCCAGAGAUAGAAAAAACAGGGAAAUACUUAAGAAUUCCCUCGGAUUGGGGCUCCUUGAAGAAAGAUAUGUUCACGUGGAUCCUAGCGUGAGUAAAUAGAAAGCUAGAAAGCUGGAAGGAAAGCUUGUUAUCAAAAGCGGGAAAGGAGAUUUUAAUAAAAUCAGUGGUUCAGGUUAUCCCUCAAUAUGCUAUGUCCAUUUUCAGAAUCCCAAUUUCUAUUUGCAAAGCUAUUGAGAAGAGGACCGCAAAUUUCUGGUGGAAAACGAACAGUAGACAUGCUGGUAUACAUUGGAAGAAAUGAGAAUCCUUGAAACUCAGAAAGGAUGAAGGGGGUAUUGGCUUUAGGCUGCGUUUGGGAACUACUUUCCCAAGGAUCUUUAGGGGGCUAAAGGCCUUUGGGCCAAGGAGAGAUUGUUUGGGAAGAUUUUUUUUACUUGCCUUUGGGAAAGGCAAGCCUUCCCAAGGCUAAAAGCUCAAGGCACCCCUAGGGCUGCCUUGGGCAUUCAGCCUUCUCGGAAGGCUGAUGGAGAGUAAGACAAAAAAAAAAUUUCCAUAAAUGUCAUUGCUAACAUUUCAUUUUUCCAGUUUUGUCCUCGUAACUAUUCACCUUCUUCUUCGUUGAAGUUGGCUGGCGAAGUUGUGCCGAGCUGUGAGGGGCCGGCAACAAGCUGGACAGAGGCAGCAAGAGGCCGAUGUGUCACGGCGACCGUUGGUGGCCAAUCGCAUGACCUCGGUGCCCCCCUGAGUCGCGUCGCCGCGACCGCUACAACCCUCGGCAACCACCCAGAUCUGGGUCACAGUAGACCACUACAACCCCGGCGACGCUGCGACGCUCGACAGAUCUGGGUCACCGGAGGUCUCUGUGACCCAGAUCUGGGCCACGCGACCUCCGGUGACCUAAAUCAUGCACAGAUCUGGGUCGCCGGAGGUCACCACGACCCAGAUCUGGGCUGCGCGACCUCCGGCGACCCAAAUCGAGCGAUCGGGAUCGCGCGAUCUGGUCGCGACAAUCUGGUCGCGAUCGGGGUUACCACAACCAAAUCGAGCGGCCCCAGCAACCUCCGCACGGAGGUCGCAGCGCGGCGGGUUGCGCGACCUUCCGGCGAGGGUCGCCGCGACCUACAUCUCAUGAUUUGGGUCAUUGCGACCCUCGUUGGACGGUUGCCGCGACCCGCCGCACCGCAACCUCCAUGCGGAGGUCGCCGGGAUCGCUCGAUCUGGUUGUGGCGACCCUCGCCGGCCGCCUGCCUCUCGCCAGACCGCCUGCCCCUCGCCAGACCCUCACCGGACCACCUGCCCCUCACCGGCGGUAACUAGACAAUUCUCUCUUCUUCUUUUUUCCUUUUUUUAAUGACAAAAGUCUUUUACACAGUUAAUUUAUCCAAACACUAUUUUGCUCAAACAUACUUUACAAUGGACUUUUACAAAUACGAUUUACCAAACACAAUUUGCAUAUUCAAAAACCCUUUUAGCUCAAAGGCCUUUACAUUUUCUCAAGGACUUUCCCCAAAAGUCUUCCCAAAUGCACCUUUAAAGAUCUUAUAGCUUUCAAUACAGCUAUGCUGGGGAAACAAGCGUGGCGAAUCUCACAGAGUUCUCAGUCCCUACUGAGUAAAGUAAUGAAGGGUUUGUAUUAUCCACAGGGUGAUUUCUGGAAAGCUAGAAAAGGCUCUCGUCCGUCAUAGGGUUGGCAAAGUAUAACUUGGGGAAGAGAUUUUAUCACGCCACAUAUAAUGUACUCAGUUGGGAAUGGGAAAGAACUCUAAAUCCGAGAAGACAAAUGGCUAAAGAGUGACCCUAUAGGCGGUCUAGCAACAAGAAACGAACCAGUUCAAGUGGCAGAUUUAAUAGAACAAGGGACUGGAAAGUGGAAUACAGAGAAGGUGGAAAUGAUGUUUGAUGAAAGAAUUGUGAGGGAAAUACUCGCCACCCCUACUGGUUUGCCCAAUUCAAAAGACAAACUGGUCUGGAUGAACACUAAAUCUGGUAUUUACUCAACUAAAAGUGGCUAUUUCUCAGCAAGAGAAAACCCAACCAAUAACCAUACCACAGCAGCAACCUCAUCACAUCAAAUAAAUCCAGAUCUCUGAAAAUACAUUUGGCAUUCUCAAACCCUACCCAAAAUCAGACUAUUUCUUUGGAAAGCAUGUCACAACGCACUACCAACAAGGGAUAACCUUCAUAGGAGAAAGAUAGUACCUGAUCUUUUAUGUUCCAUUUGCAAUAUGGAAGCUGAAACCACUGAACACAUCCUCUUACACUGUCCAUGGACAGCUCAAAUUUGGAGCGCCGCACCCGUGCACAUCAAAAUUUCCAGAUUUGGGUUAACACGGUUUGAUGACUGGCUUCUUUGGAGUAUCUGGAAGGACCGGAACCAGCAUAUCUUUGGCCAUCGUCCCUUGUCACCGCAACACACUUUAUUCCAAGCAUAUACUAUGUUUGAUAAUCUCAGAUCUUCGACUCAUCUACCAGAAAGUGAAAAGAAGAAAGCUACUGCACCUGCUCAUUGGCGACCUCCCCCUCACGGCACCCUAAAAAUUAAUGUAGACGCGUCCUUCUUUGAACUGAACGAAGCGGAAGCAGAGACCGAAGAAGACUUGCGAUCGGCAAAGAACAGAGCAGCGAUCGCGUGUCUUUGUAGAGAUCUUGAGGAUGUCUCGUUGAUGGCUUCAUGAAAAUUGUCGAUGCUUCCUCGGCUACACAAGCGGAAGCCCUAGCUCUCCUUCAAACCCUAGAUCUGCUCUCCAAGCAAACGGAACUUCAUCUGGAAGUACAAUCUGACUGUCUUCCCCUCAUGCAAGUGAAGCCUCUAUUGGACUAGGCCCAAAGCAAGUUGAAGGAGUUCCAGCACAUUUCCUUGGCCCAUUGCACCAGAAAUGCCAACAGGUCUGCGGAUUGGCUUGCCAAAGCAUGUCGCUUAAAUUAUCUUCCCUCUAAUUGGUUGUUUAAUCCCCCGCCUACUCUACUAGACCUUUUAAGCACCGAUGCUUUUGAUGUAUUUCCUCAAAACUUUAAGAAGUAAAUCCAGUAAUUGCAUUUCAGAUAAAAAAAAUUACAAGGUUUCAAUCCUAAUUUUAGAUUUCCAUCUAGGUAAUCUUUAGUUUGGAAAGGGUCUAUAAAAUCUCUAUGUUCAUCACAUAAGAUUAGAUAUCAAUUUGGAGGCCGAUGUGGUACUAGAACGAUGAUGCCAUUGCAACCUAUGGGAGCCCCCUCAAGGGUGGUCGGCCUUGUCUAUCCGCCCCAUUCGCCACUCGUGCAUGGAUCGUCAAAGGCUCAGCAUCAACCUGUAUUGGUGCAUGCCUGCCGUAAUUUGCCACGUGGCGCGUGGAGCUACACUACGACGUCUCGCGAAGUCUACGUUAAUCAAGUAGCAAGAGUACCCGCCCGAUUCUUAUUUGAUUGAAUAUGACUCAAUCUGGCUUGUCUCUACCAAUUGAAGGUCAUUGUCCUGGCUGACAUGAACAAUGACGUCAAUAUUAAAAAAAUAAAUUUGUAAUACCAUAAUAAUAUAUUCAUUUAAUAUAAGUUUUUAAAUCUAAUGACUCAAUAUAAUUAAGGUAGAAGUACAACACAAGUCUCAAAACUUAGCAUAGGGGCUUAAGUGCCAAAAGUUCCAAAAAGUACAUUUAAGUACCACUUUUUUUAAUAAAAAAAGGGAUAUUUAAGUAUCAAUUCCGGCGAAGGGUGCCGAAAAUCUGAUGUGACUUAUUUUUAAUAAUAUAAGUUGCCUACGUGGCUCGUCGGAAAGCUAAGUUAGUAACAAAAAAAAACCAAAACAAUGUCGUUUUGCCUCUUAUUUAAUUAAAUUAAAUUAAAAACUAAAUUAUUAAAAAAGAAAAAAGAAAAAGAAAAAGGGAAUUGCAUCAAGUAGCCCUCAUCGCUGCCACCCCAUUAUCAUUGGAAUGGGCCGGCGACAAUGGGGGGAGAGUCUGCUGAGGUCGCCUAGCCCCCCACUACUGUCGGUCCUUCCUAGCGAUGGUUGCACAGCACUUGCCAAACGUGUUGCAAUCCCCCCCCCCCCUUUUUUUUUCCUUUUUUCUCUUUUAUUUUUUUUUUAAAAAUUAUUUUUAAAUUUAGUUUGAUUAAUAUUUAUAUUAAAUUCAAAUCUGAUGCAAAAUGACGUCGUUUUUUGCUUAUCUAACCACGUUAGCGUGCAAAACGUCAUUUUUGGCUUAUAUAGUCAGGUUAGCAUGCAAACUGAUAUUGUUUUCCACUUGUUUUGCUAGAAAAACACCACAUCAAUAUUUUUGCUAGAUUUUCUCGCCAUUGGCACUUAAUUGAUCAAUUUUGCUCCGAUUUUGAUACUUAAGUGUACAUUUUUGAAAUUUUGGCACUAGUGUCUUCCUGUGUUAAGUUUUGAUACUUCAGAUGUCCACGCCUCUAUAAUUAAUGGUUGUGCUUGUUUGUGUUCUCAAACCCAUGUGAGUCUUGUCCACUUCGGCGUAGAAAACCUCAAAAUUGUUCAUUUUAUAAUACUAGGGUGCGCAUGUGUAGGUGUUGCGGUAACUGUUAGCCCAUGGGAUGCGCUUACUUGUAAAAUGAGAAUAUUAGUUAUAUAAUAAUCUUGUGUUCACUAUCACGUUUGACAAUUCCCUGUGCUCAGGUAUGCAAAGGUUGUUGAAUUUAGAUUUCUACAAGUUCUGAUUACUAUUGAAGAGUUUUCAUUGACCAAAUACCACGUUCAUGCAACACGAUAAUAAUUAAUCAAAAAACCGAGCACGUUUGUAGCCUGUAGGGACUUGCCCAUUUCACGAGUAAACAUGAAUUUGAUACGAACCUUAGAAUGAUGCAUGGACCCAUCUUAUGUUAAAUAAUUGACAUCGAUAUGCUAUUGAUUAUAGCUAGGGAAGCUUUUGACUUGAAUCGGACAACUAAGGAUUUUCUUAGAUCCGCCAUUUUUGUAACUACAUCUAAACAAAGACUUUUUGAUUGGCAUGAUAUGUGACGAUUUCACACACAAAAAAUCAUUGAGUAUAGCCAUAAAGCGAAGUUCUUCAUGAACAUUUUUCUACACAAAGAUGGAUUCGGAUAAUGCAAAAUUGGACCAGACAUUCAAUUAGAGAGUGAUAUAGCCAGAAGAAAGCUAGAGAAUCUAGUACAGCACCUCACUUUCUUUUUCAAUGUAAUUGAUCCAAUGACUUAUACAUAUGUUGUUUCUUAUCCCCAAUAAGAUUUGUGGUUAGAUGCAAUGAAAUAUGAGAUGUAAUCUAUGAAUUAUCCUGGUGUUUGUGAGCUUAUUGAAUUGUCUGAAAGUUAUAAGUCCAUCGGCUGCAAAUGGGCAUAUAAGACUAAAAAGAGACUCUAAAAAAAAGAUUGAGAAGUUUAAAGUCAAACUAAUAGCCAAGAGUUUUACUAAAGAAAAGAAUAAGCUAUGAAUGAACUUUUUCCUCGGUCUUUUCUAAAGAUUCUUUUAAAGUAAUCAUGGCAUUAGUAUCUCAUAUUGAUAUGUAGUUACACUAGAUGUAUAUUUAAAAAAAAAAAAUGGAUACCAUGAUGAGGAGGUCUAUAUGGUGCAAACCGAAGGCUUUGCAACAAAUAAUUCAAGUAGACUUAUAUGUAUAUUGAUAAAGUCUAUUUAUGACCUCAAGCAAGCUUCUAGACAAUGGUACUUGAAGGUUCAUUAUGUUGUCACUUCAUUUAGUUUUGUUGAGAACAAAGUAGAUUAGUGUAUAUACUACAAAGCCAAUGGAAUGAAAUUCAUUUUCUCAUACUUUAUGUAGAUGAUAUCUUGCUUGUGGGCAGUGAUAUUGGAUUACUACAUGAGACAAAGCGGAUGAUGUUGAAAAAAUUUGAAAUGAAGGAUUUUGAUGAUACAUCUUUUGUCCUUGACAUUCAGAUCCGUACGGAUCGUUCUCGCCGUAUGUUGGGAUUGUCUUAGAGGGUAUAUGUUAAUCGUAUUUUGGAAAGAUUUUGUAUUUUUUUUUUUUUUUUGGUAAGUAUCACUCCAGAGGGUAAGUUUGGAAAAGAUUUUGUUUGUAGCAUUGUAAGCCAAAAAUUGCUUAUGUCAUUAAGGGUGAUAAAAUGAAUCUCUCACAAUGUCCUCAUUCAGAUUUUGAAAAAUCCCAAAUGAAUGAUGUACUUCAUGCUAGGAUACUUGGAAAUAUCACGUAUGCUUAAGUUUACAUUGGAUCAAACAUUGCUUUUGCGAUAUGACUUCUGAGCUAAUAUUAAUCAAAUUGCUGCCAAGAAGGUUUUAAGAUACCUAAGAAGGACAAGAAACUAUAUGCUGAUUUACAAACAUGUUCAAGAUUUGCAUUUAGUAAGCUAUUCAUAUGUAGACUUUGCUAGCUAUUUGGAUAAUUUGAAGUCAACAAUAGGAUAUAUCUUUAAGUUAGCAAGAGUUACAAUGUUAUAAAUAAGAAAGAUACAGAAAUCUAUGUCAUCCUCAACCAUGCAAGUGGAGUUGGUAGCAUGCUUUUCGAUUGCUACUAAGGCUAUUUGAUUCCAAAACCUUAUUAGGGAGUUGGCCAUAUUUGAUUUUAUGAAUAGACUUAUAUAAUUGUAUUGCAAUAAUAAUUGUGCAUUGUUGUUUAUCAACAACGACAACAGAUGUCUUAAGGUAUCUAAGCAUAUGGUGGUUAAGUUUUUGAAUAGUUUAGAAUGUUGGUGCUACAGUAGAGCAUAAGCCCAUCACAUGCAUGCCAAUGAGCCUUCGUGACAUUGCUCCAGUUUCACUGUUCAAAUUGUUGCACGAUGAAGGGAAAAGCAUGUGAGCAUUUGAGAUCCUGAUCAAUUGAGUUCCGGUUGAGAGAGCGAUUUUGCGGCGUCUUUUCUUGGUUUCUCAUUUCAGAUGGGGACCCUUUGAUUUAUUACGUUUAACUAAAACGUGGAGGCAUUAGAGACGAUGAGAAAAGGGCCCUCCAAUCAUUAUUAUCUUGUCUAUUAUUUUCCUUAUAUUUUGCACAUUUUUCCUUAUCUCCGCAAGUAACAUUUUGCACGAAAACUAGGGGGGAUGAACAUCGAAACAUUGUUAGGUGAGCUCAUGAUAUGGGAUGGACAGGUGGAUUGUUAUUAGAUGCAUGGAAUGCUCGAGCCCUUCAGUUGAUGUAAUCUCCAUUCACGCAUGGUGGGUUUUUCCGUCCGCCUAAAUCGUGAUGUCUGAGCAUAGCUCCUGAGUCAUUACAUAUGUGUUAGGAGACAUUGUAAAAUUUUGUUGGCCGUCGCCUAAGUUUUUUUUUUUUUAAUCAAAAUCGUCUAAGUUUAAGUUGUUAAAUGAAUGCGCAAUCUAAUAAAUAAAUAUGUUAUACUCCCUCUUCAACAUAAGCUAGACUUUGAUAUAAGAUUUAGAAAGUGAGCACCAUUUUAAUAUAAAAAUACUAAAUCUCCAUCUCAUGCAUAAACUAGCUGUUUUGGACUUAUAAAUUAGUCAUUAGUUGCAAAAUCAACAGGUUGGAUUCUCAAUUCUAAUCUUUUGUAACAAUGUUCAUGGGGUUGAUUUCUAAUUUGAUGUAUGAAACCAAUCACCCAUACUAACAUUAAAGCUUGUGACCAAGAAUUGACUCAACUUGGUUUCGAUUGCCCCUACUAAAAUGGGAGAAUUACCAAAAAAGUUAUAAACCUAUUGGAAUUGUGCCAAUUCAGUCCUAAACUUUUUUUUUGGCCAAUUUAGUCCUAAACCUUUUACAAUUAUGCCAAUUCAGUCCAUCCGGUCAAAAUUGGCUGGCCGACGCUGAUGUAGACGCCGGCCGUCCGGCGAACGCUGAUGUGGCAUUUUUUUUUAAAUCGAAUUUUUUAAUAUUUUUUUUCGAAUUUUUUAAUAUUUUUCAAAUUUUUUUAUUCUUUAUUCUUUUUUUCUCCCAUCAUCUUCUUUGCCUCCUGGCCGGCCGACACCGGCCGAAGGUGAGGGCUGGCAAGGUCAGCCUCGCCGGCCACUGGCGAGGGCGAGCCCCUGCCAGAUCUGGCGAGCUCGGCCCCCGCCAGAUCUGGCAAGGCCUUGCCCAGCUAAGGCGAGAGACCUCGCCAGUGGCCGGCGAGGCGACCUCACCCACCAUCCACAAUGCGGCGGCGAUCGAAAGCCGCGAGCUCGCUCGCACUCCGGAGGCGCAAUUGCAAGGCACGGAUUGAGGCGAAGAGAGAACGGUUCCGAGCGAGUGGCGAGGCGACCUCCUCAACCGGAGAAUCUUCGAGUGACUAUCCCUCUCUCUCUCUCUCUCUCGUUUGAAGUGACCGAGCAGUGGUGACGUAGCAGACGGCGACGGGGCACGCGGUGCGGUUGCAAUAAGCACAGAGUACGCUCGGCCAAUUGUGACAGAGACGUGGUGGCCAAUAGGGUUUCGAGGGAAGACAACGGCGACGACGCGUCGAGCGGCAGCUUGUCACCUAUUCGUAGCGAGGGUAUGGCACAACGACAUUGCUGGUCAGCGAGAUGGCGUCAACUGCUGUGACGGCGACAGACAGUAGGGAUUUGUCUCUAGGACAGUGUCGGGGCUACACUGAAGCAGAUGCUGGCGAGCGAUAGUGAUGCGGUGGAGAUCUGGUGCAACAAUGGCGUCGGGGGGUUCGGGCAACGUCGACGGCACCUCCUUCCUGCUCGGAUCUAGCCCCCUUCUCUAGUUUCUCUUCCUCUCUCCAGCCCCUCUUCGCAGAUCUGGAACUCCCUUGCCCAGAAUUCCUCCCCUCCGGCCAGAUUUGAGAUCUCCGCCUUGCCCUCACCAAUGGUCGGCGAGGCUGACCUCACCAGAUUUGGCGGGGUCUCACCCUCGCUAGUGGCCGGCCAGGUUGACCUCGCCGGCCCUCUCCUCCAGCCGGCAGGGGCGAGCCUCGCCAUUGGCCGGCGAGGCUGACCUCGCCAGCCCUCGCCUCCAGCCGGCCGAAGAAGAUGAUAGGAAAAAAAAAGAAAUAAAAGAAAUAUAAAAUUCGAAAAAAAAAAAAGUUAUUUUUUUUUAAAUGCCACGUCAGCAUUCACCGGACGGCCGGUGUCCACGUCAGCGUCAGCCUGCCAAUUUUGGUCUGAUGGACUGAAUUUGCACAAUUGUAAAAGGUUUAGGACUAAAUUGGCCAAAAAAAAAAAUUUCCAACUUGUGCACUAUAAUUUGCACAAUAGGUUUAGGACUUUUUUGGUAAUUCUCCCCUACUAAAACUAUAGUGCACAAGUUGGAAAUUUUUUUUUGUGGGAUCACUAAUUAGUAUUUAAAAAACAUGGUAUUCACACUAAAUCUCACUAAACAACCUCAUAAGUCUCCGACACCCUUUUGUUGUCUGUGCGCACGGCACCUUCCUUUCCCUUCUCCCAAGGACAACCUUCAAUCACUUAAAUUCAAAUAUGAUGUCACCGCGCAUGUCAGUCACGACAGCGAUUUCACCGGAUCCUGCGCCGGAAUGAAUAAAGAACCGAGAGAGAGAGAGAGAGAAACGGGGUAGAUCGGAUCGGGAGGCUACAGGAUUUGCGAUCGUCGAUUGCGAUUUUGGUGGCAAAAGCCAGUGUGAACGGUCGAAAUGGUGGACAUUUCGCCAUGUUGGGAUUAGUUACGACAAAAUCUUCUUUUGACUCGAACGGCGCCGACAUCGGUGGUGCGUAUUUUACCUGGCUUUCAGUCCCGAUUCUGCUGAGUAAGAGGUAGACUAGACCCAGGUUCUUGACACCUCAUUCCCCCUCAUCCUUCCGUUUUUUUGUGGUUUCCGUGAUCAUGUCAAACUUCUUCAUCCUUGCACUACGACUAGCCUAAGCAAAUCUCUGUCUAUUCUCGUUAUCAGUCUUUUCGUGUAACUUGAAUUCAAUAUUUUAAAAAUUAAGCCGCGGCAUCUCUAUUGUGUUCGGAAAGUAACUUUGAAUUUCUCAUAUAAAAUCAACAUGUGAAGUGAUAAUUUUAGUUGAGCCAUGGUAUCAGUGAGAGUUGAUUGGUUGACUAAAUCGGAUGAAAACAUCAAGGUUUCGCUCUUUAAUAGAGUGCCCAUUGAGUUGCUUAGUAUAUUCUUUUUUAUCUUUAUUUUUUUGUCAUUUAGUUUAGGAGUCUACCCAACUUUAAAAAAAAAAAAAAAGUAUAAGAAAGAGGACUCAAAGUUUCGCAAUGUACAUCAUUUUUAAUAAUUAUACAGUUCAUUGAAACUUUUGGCCCUGAAUACUUUGCACAGAUAUGCCCAGAUUGCCCUGUCUAGACAUUUAUGUCUAUCAGAAAAAACUUACAUGCCGUCUAAUUUACUAUAGAGGAUAAUUCAUAUAAUUAUACCACGACAUACAUGAAAAGAAUAUAUAUCUUACUUGACAACUCUUAGAAAAACAUAAAUGAAUAAGUUUGAAAUGAAUAUAAUGCUUCACUGAAUAAUUGUACAAAAGUAUUUUGAGCAUGGUAUGUUGGUAAUAUCCUCUAAAUCAUUUGACACGUUACUAGUUUUCUCGUCAUCUAGAAUAGGGUCAAGAAGUACCGAGUCAUCUUACAUUACAAACUCAUGCAACAAUGAUAACUAGAACACGAGCUUUUCCAUCAGCAAUUUAUGUCAUGCUUAUAUAGCGUUGGUUUACUAUAAGAAAUCAAUAGCACGUCGUUUGUCCUUCAUUACGUAUCAGAUUAUCCUCUUACGAACCCUCUUUCUUGCUGGGUUUUCUGCUACUAUAGCUAGAAUCACUCCAUUCACCACAUAAGAUACAGAGACGAUCUUGCAGGCCGACGUGGUCCUGCAACGAUAAUGCCAUCGCAACCUAUGGGAGCCACACAAAAGGUGGUCGGCGCUGUUUCUCUCUGCCCCACUCGCCACACGUGCCUGAAACUGCACCCGAUUCUUAUUCGCCUGGUUAUGGCACAAUCUAGCUUGUCUCUGCCAAUCGAAGGGCACCGUCCUAACUGACAUCGGCAGUGACGUCAAAAUUAGAAAAUAAUUAGUAAUACCAUAAUAAUAUAUUCAUUGAAUAUAUGUUUUUGAAAUCUAAAGCCUCGAUACAAUUAAUGGUUGCACUUGUUUGUUUCUCGACCCCAUGUGAGUCUUGUCAGCUUAGAAAUAGAAAACCUAGAAAUUGUUCAUUUUAUAAUGUUGGGGGUGCAACUUGUGUGUAGGUGUUGUAGGGUUCUGUCGUUCCUUGUGGUGCGCUUACUCCUAAAAUGAGAACAUUAAUCAUUUAAUCAUAUAAUAAUCUUGUGUUCACAAGCACGUUUGACAAUUCCCUAUUCAUAGAUAUGCAAAGUAUUGAAUGAUUUUGUCAUUUUCUCAUCUCAAGAGUUAGCUUAAAGAAUGAGGUUUUUCCUCAUAUUUAUAAAUCGAUUGCCAACUUCUACAAUCGAAAUUCAAAUAAUCUCCUCACAUAUUAGGCCUUGACUGGAAGCCGCGAUAAUCCGUAACUCAACUUGGGCUCUAAUAAUGAUAUGAGGUGAUUUCGAGCCUUACUUGUCCCAAAAGUUAACUUAAGAAGUAGAGUUUUUCCUCACAUUUAUAAACCAACUACUAGCUUUUCGCACAAUCAAUGUGGAAGAACCCCAAUUAAAGGGUGUAAAAAUUAGAUUUCUACAAGUUCAAUUACUAGUGAAGAAAUUUCAUUGCCCAAGUACCAUAAAAACUAAGUGAAGAGUUAGCGAUGUGAAUGUGACUUGCCCAUUUUAUGCGUUGACAUGAAUUUGAUUCAAACCCUUAAUAUGAUGCAUGGAUCCGUCUUAUGGUGAAUAAUCAGCAUUGGUUCGCUAUUGAUUGAAGCUACUGAACUUUCGACUUGAACCGGAAUAAUAAGGAAUUUUUUUCAAAUCCACAAUUAUUGGAAAAUGAACCUACGUGAACACUUUUUGGAUUGGCAUAAUAUGUGACAUUUUCACGCAUAAAAAAUCGGUUGAGUUCAAGCAUAAAGCGAAGUUAACAUUUAUCUAAAAGAAGGAUUCGCACAAUGCAAAAUUGGACUAAACAAAGGAUUAAAGAGUGAAAUGGCUAGUAGAAAGCACAAGAGUCCAGAAUAGCACCUCACUUUCUUAUUCAAUGUGCUGUCUCAUAUGCCCCGUCCGACUAAUUCAAUCAGUAGUUGGAAAGCCCAAGUGGGGCUUUAUCAAAAUCAUGGUCGACCCAAGAAAUUUACUAAAAGAAAAAUCCAAAUACCGAUUGACGUGCUCGCUGACGACGACAAUAAUCUCAAAACCCCUAUAAAUUGAGAUGCUCCCUUCAAUCCAAUCCCACACCAUCGGCUCUCUCUCACACAUCCUCUUCUCUGAAACUAGUGACACAAUGUCUUCCAGGUACUUGCUAGUUUUGCUCCUGGGAGCGGUGCUUUUUGCCGCUGCCGUCCUCUCCGACGGCCACCACCCUUUCAAAAAAGAGCAUAAACCACACCACAAACACCACCACAAGCAUCACCCUGGUGGUCGCCGUCUCUUGGAGACCGUCGAAGUCGAGGACUCGCACAAGCCAUUCCCUAAACACAAGCCCCCACACCACGGCCACCCUCACGAGCACAUUCUUGUCGAGGAGGUUGGAAAGGAAGACUUCCACAAAAAGCCAUUCCCCGGCAAGAAACCACCCCACCACCCCGGCCACUUGCUUGCUGAGGAAGUGGAAGCCGAUGAAAAAAAGAAGCCAUUCCCCGAGCACAAACCCCCAAAGAAAGGCGACAAGCCACCACCGAAGCAUAAGCCGCCCCACGAGGGACACAUUCUCGUAGAGGAGGUGGAAGAGGACUCGAAGAAGCCAUUCCCUGAGCACAAGCCACCCAAAAAAGGUGAGGAGCCCAAGAAGGGAAAGGGAGAGAAGCCGCCACCAAAGCACAAGCCACCACACGAGGGACACAUUCUUAUAGAGGAGGUGGAAGAGGACUCUAAGAAGCCAUUCCCUGAGCACAAGCCGCCAAAGAAAGGCGAGGAGCCAAAGAAGGGAAAGGGAGAGAAGCCGCCACCAAAGCACAAGCCACCACAUGAGGGACACAUUCUCAUAGAAGAGGUCAAAGAGGACUCUAAGAAGCCAUUCCCUGAGCACAAGCCGCCAAAGAAAGGCG